CCAAGUCACAUCCAUAUAAACAUAGUUUUUCUAGGUAAACCAAGUAAGGAGUAUCAUAAUUCAGACAUAAUCAUAAAAAGGCCCAUCUAACUUAAGAGAAAAUCUCAAAAAGAGGGAUGCUGAGCUAUCAGUCUUGUAUCUAUAAGCAAUAUCAAGACUUUACAUCACCUGCUACAUCGUGAGUGGCUACACAACUUUCAGUGGUUUGUCUUUCUUUGGCAUGCCUAACUCAGCUUUGAUGUUGCUGAGAUAUUGAUAGUAGAGACACAUGAUACUUCUAGCUCAUGCAUUCUAUCUAACUCAUCCAACAACUAUCUCUUUUUUAAUUCAUUAGUGUUUGCUAAACCUCAUGCUUAAAAGUCCUGUUCUCCUAAACAAAGUUUCCUAAGAAUGACUUCCUUAGCACCACAUUUGGACACUUUUAGAGCAAUUUUAUUUGGGGGAAAAGAAUUUUCAAGGUGUUAACUAAUAAAUUUUUAAAAAAUAAUUACAAUUUGUCCUACGAUCAUAUGACAAUUUAUCUGGGAUGAAAGGAUACAGAUAGACAUCUUCCACUUUCAAGACUAAUCACUACUUCCGUAGAUGUUGUGCAAUAAUACAAAUACUUGACCAGAUGGUAGUAAUGGUAGAAAAAAAUUUUAUUGCUCCAAAAUUAAAAUAAGAAUGCAAUAUGUUAAGCAAAAGGCUGUGCAACAUCAAAUUAAUUGAUAAGUUUGUAAUUCAGUAAAUUAACAACUUUCAUGGUAAAAUACAACAAAUUUCUUUUGAAAAAAAUAAAAAAAAUAAAUCUUAAAAGACAGCAUUCAAUUUUGUGCGCAUCUUAUUUCUUAAGAUUUUUCAGGAGGAGGGCAAUAGAGGGACUUUCACCUAUGCAAGAGAGCAGAAGCCUUACUUUCCCUAUAAAGUAGACGUCAUUCUGAUUAAUAUGCGUUUGCAAAUCAGCUCCGUUUGAAUCAGUAUUCUGAUAGACACACGAGGCAUUUACAUCCAUUUCCAAAGUCACAUGUUGCGAGGAGGACUCAUUUGAUUGCUCCUAUACGAUCAUCUAAUUCAAGUAGCAAGGGUUGGAAGAGAAUAAAAAGUCACAAUUAUUCUUUUGCAUAAGUGAGACGAAAAUGAUAAAUGCAAUAUUAUCAGCAGUAAACAAGAAGAGAACGCUCCAAGAAAUAGAUAGAUGCAGACAAGCAAGUUAAAAUGCAUAGUCCCAAACCUCCGCAUACAACUUCUCUAAAGUAGCAAUAACGUGUUGAUGCUAUGUUUUCUCAGCAUCUACCUGCAAAGGCCCGAGACCAGGAAAACAACAAUAAAACCACUAGCUGAAGGAGAAAGCAAAGAAAGAAAUACACUUGACAUAAAUCUUGACAAGAAGCACAAUUUAAGACAUAACAAACCCCAAUCAUAUUGUUUAGAACUACCAUUCGUUAUUUCGUUAUUGUAACAUUUCGAACAAGUGUUGACUUAAUUCAACAUUGUUGGAAAGAUAGGCUUUUAGAAGCAGAAGAAAGCCUCUCAAACCAAAGUGCUUGUCCUUGUAUUGAUCAAGGGAUGUAAACAUAUUACAUUUGCAGGAUGAGAUUUAAUCACUCCCCUGAUUUAUUUGGGUUGCAAUAAAACUAAGCGAGCAACUGUUUGACUUUCAAGCAACAACUAAAUCAGCUAUUAAAAUUCAAAUAAAAUCAUAAUAGAAUAAUAACAGGCCAUCUUGCAUCAAAAAUUAAGUUUAAUUUGUGAAUUUUUUUCUAUAGACAUGUCAGUUUCUGCUAUUGAAAUGUUAAAAGUAUUGAAAAAUUAUUCAAUAAAUUAUGCAAGCAUUAAAAUAGAGGAAAAAUUAAAAAGUUUCUAAUUACAAUGUUAAUAUUUCCUAUAUUUUAGCAUUUGCAUAUUUUAAUUUAUUUAAAAGCUACGUCGAUCAACUUUGGGCAUGAAGAUUUUAGAUUCUACGAGACUUGAUUGGAAUAUGCAUAAGAGUGUUAAAAUAUGAUGCAUCCAACGAAAGACAAACCACGUGUAGUCUUUUAAUUAAGCCAAAGUAGCAGCUCAAACAAAUGACACUUGGACCAACAUGCAAUCAUGAAGUGGCCGGAAAAAGGACAAAUGCUACUUUGGCUUAAAUAAAAAAUAACAUGUGACUUGACUUUUGCUGGACAUGCAUCAUGUUAUUACAAGACAACAGAAAUCAGUAUGAUAGUAAUAAAAGUUGACAAUAACAUGAAGAUAAGAGGCAGAAUGUCAACACAUGCAUAGGCACACACAAGAAAGUAUUAACAUAUAUACCAUAGCAAAAACUCUUUGAUAUGUCAUCUGUUGCUGCUGUGAUUCAACUGACAGCAUGGCAGCUGUCGCUUCUCUACCAAGAGCCAUUAUUGUAGAUUUAAGCUCGGUCAAUCUUGCUUCUGCAUUUCGAAGCUUCACAGCACUCUCUGCUGAUAUAUCAGAUUCCCUAAUCUUUGAUCGGUGCCUAAAUACUUCAGCUGCCUGGUGAAAAUAUUCAAUAUAAAUCUAAUAUAAUUCUCAUCUUGCCUUAUACAUGCAUAUGUUACCUCAAAGCUUACCUGGGCUUCAACUUCAUGUCGAAGUUUGUCAUAACGAUGAGUCAGGUGUUGAGCAUCUUCCAAAGGUGCUCUGUUGAUUAACGCCCGUAGUGGCUCAGAUACCUACAUGUCCAAAAACCUGUAACAUAGUUAGAAAAAUGAAAAGAAAGAGCGAAACCUAAAUUAAAAAGUUCCUCCAACAUAAUCAUGGAAUUUGGGCCUACUUUAAGAAUAUAUAUAAGGAUAAUUUAUGCAAUUUUGGGUCUUAGGAUGAUUGGUAUUAGGUUAGUGUUCUUCUCUUCUGUAUUUAAGGUUAAAAUAGAAAUAAACCUAUGCAAAUAUCUAAAUUAGGCCUGUAAGACAUCCACAUGCAUCCUUCAGUCUCAUGGAUUUGAUUUUACUAUAGAUGCAAGUGUCUUUAUCGAAAAUGCUUGGAGUCAAUUGAGAGAACUCAUGGCCAAUAACUUGUCACACGCUAGUCUUUGCUAGUGAUGUAAGAAGUCACAAGGUCUCUUCAACAUUUGAACCAAUAAAAUUAUUAAGUCAUGGAUGUCACUAGCAAUGAUUUUAAUAUAAAACAUUAAAUAUUUCAGAGUUGUAACUUUAAAAUGGAUUCUUUUAUUCAAUAUCAUAGAACUAAGUUUCCUUAUGAGAAGAUAAUAGUUUCGAUAAUAAUUUUACAUAUAAUUUUCUAUAUUUGAAUUAUUUUCUAGUUAGGGAUGAACUAACCUGAUCACGAAGAAUCCCGAGCAAAGUUUCCCUCUCAUUUUCCAUCAAAUCAUGUGAAGUGCCAAAUUGAAGAGCAGCUCUUGCAACGCAAGAAUUGUCACUUUGAUUCUCUGCUCCAUACUUGCAACAAUCUUCAGCCAACUUUCUCGCUACACUAUUUGAAUACAAAAAUAUUGUACACAAGAACUAUAAAAAACGAAUGAAAAAUAAAUAAAAUCGAGAAAUUUCACUAAUUAAAAGUCUAAAUAUAAUUUUUGAAAAAAGAAAAGAAACGGACUUGCUGCUGCUUGGCGACUUGUUCUCGGAGCUUGAUUGCCUGUUUCUUGAUAGUUUCCAUACUGUUUCUUUCAAAAAGCGACGACGGCUCAGCUCAUGGAAGUGGAAAAAAAAAAGUGUGAUCUAGAAAAAUGAAAAGGCGUGAAUAAUUUUUGACAAAAAGCGAAAAUCAAGGAAAGCCGGCUCUUUCCAGAAAAUAAAAAAAAGAAAAUCAUAAGUUUGAAAGGAGAAGAUGAUAGUGGAAGUAUGCGGUGUGGCUGCCAGGUACUUGGAUUGUAUUGUCGGGUAAGGUAAUAGUAGCGAAUUAUAAGUUUGAACAGAGCAUGUUGGACUUUUGUUGACCAAAUUCAAAAGCCCAAUGGCACGGCCCGGAAGCUUUUGAAUAGAAAAACUUGCUAGAAAGCAUCAGUUUAAAUCACUACUUAAACGCUUGCUUUAACUGCACCGCUUUGUACUGUUUUAUGUAUGUAGCGGUUGUGUGGUUGUAAUUCACGGCUGACGCUAUGUGUUUGUUUGUACUGUUCUAUUCGGUGAUUGGGUAUUAUUAGUUAGGCCAAAACUAUGUUGCAAUAGUGGUAUUUCAGUCAUUGAAUCUAUAGUUGUACAGUUACAUUAAUAAGAUCUAAUGGCUGAAAGCAACAGUGGUACCGUACCACUGUUGCAAUAUAACUGGACCCUAUUAGUUAUUUCAAAGGGAUAAAUAAGAUUGCUUACAACAAACCUACUAAUUUUAUAAAAUUCAAGUAAUAUAGAAUAAAUUAAAAAAAUAAAUACAAAAUUGACUUUUAUUUUUUAUGGUUGACUAUAUUUUGUGUUCUCUCUGCUACAAUUCUUCCCUAUAUAUCAAUUACACCACAUACUAUCGACACAAGAAAUGAAAUCUAAUAUCACCCGUUUAGUUAAAAAAUCACUCAUGAAAAAAUUUUACCAUUUUGAUUUGAGGAUCCAUAUUUUAAACUGCAAGCUAAUGUUCAUCAAGAAUUACUGAUGGCCGUUGAGUAGAAAAAUUAUUUUUGGACAAAUUAUUUUUGUUGAUAGAAGAAUUUCUUUAGGGACUACUAAAUUAUUAAUAAAAAUGUCGAACACACCCACAUAUCAUCGACACAAUUGAUUUUGAGGAUCCAUGCUUUGAACUGCAGCCUAAUGUUCAUCAAGAAUAGAGUAUGGCUUGUGAGUAGAAAAUUUUCUUAUUUUGGCCCGAAAUAAAAAGAAAUUAAAUUGGAUGAGAAUCUGCCACUUUCUCAUGAAGAAAGGCAUACGGAGCAUACCAUGGUACCAUACAAUAUAAGGAGCCUCUAUUCUUUGGUUUUUCAAACUCUGAACGGGCCAAUAUUGCCAAAUUCCCCCUUGAAAAUUCUGAUUACGACAUUAUUCAUCGCUUGAUGCAAUCAAAGUAGUGACAAAGUUAGGAAAAAUAUGAGUCCUAAGUAAUUGCUAGGCAGGGUUCCUGAGAGCAAAAUUGUCCUAAGCAUUAUAUGCAUACAUGGUGCGGUACAUAGAGCACGUUAAAUUCCCCACUAUAUCACAAACCCAGAAAGACAAGUAAUAACUCAACUGAUAUAAAGACAAAAAGAAGAUAAAAUGAUAUAGAAAAAAGAAUUUCAAAGAGACAGCAACAUACGAUAGACUGAAGCCACUUGAUCUGCUCAUUGAUUGCAGCCUUAAACUUGCAAAUAGUUACUGUACGCUAGUGCUCUAAGAAGUGAAAAUGAUGCCAGCCCUGAUUCCCUUUUGACUUCCAUUUACUGUCAAACAUUCUAGUAAUACAAAAAAUUGUUUAGAUAUCUUGCUAUAAAUAUAGCCGUUUGACUGUCAUAAUAAAGUCACAAAUAACCAUUCAUAUUGAUCUACUGUCACACAGCAUGCUUUAUGCAUACAACAGCUGUAUGUAUACCAACUCCUAACCUUAUCAAUACAUUUGGCAAAAACUUAAGAAGAAAGCUAUUUCUCCAUCUCUUUUUUGAAAUUUCACAAUAACCAGCACAAUGUGAAAGCUAUGUUCUAACCUUAUGAUAAAUGCUCUAGACUCCAAAAGGAUUUUAUAUAUGAGAGUUUGUUGCAGCAGAUAUAUUGACUUAUCAAGUAUGAAUCAUUGUCUGGAUGAACUAUCUUUAGAUAAAAGAAUAUUAGAACCACUGUAGAAUAUCUUUACGCUGCUGGUUCUAACAGGAAUCUGCAUGUGGCAACAAUUGCUAGAUCCACAAUUCCCCAACUUGAAAUACAUAGUUGCACACCAUGAGAUAGUGCUACAAUCUACUGAGAUCUAACUUAUAUGGUACUUUAAGCUACUAAUGUUUGCAUAUUUCUACAUGUUAAAUUAACACUAUUAUCUAUAAUCACUCCAAAACAACAAAUGAUAAGCAGCUUUUGGCCACUUAGUACUAGCAUCCACAAUUAUAAAUAAGAGAUCAUGGGUUUACUUGUUGCACCUACUUAAUUAUCUGCAGUUGACAUCCUGACGCAAGGUUUAAAUAGUGACUGCUUAGAACCCUUGUAGUUGGAUCUUGACCUCUCCCAUUGUAGCCAAGAUUGGUUACUCUGGUAAUGAAUCAACACUCUCCUGCUCAGGGCCAUGAAGAUCUGAAAGCUCAGCACUAGUGGAGAACUUCAUCAAUCUCUUCUUCUCAGCAUACUUGAGACAAGGCUGCCUUACGAGACCAAUCACCACAGCACCAACGCUUAAAACUGCAACUUUUAAAGAAGAAAGAGCCAACACAACACAACACAAAUCAAUAUGGUUGGAGGAAUACACAUGAUAAUGGCUCCAACAGUGACAGUGGGUAUCUUGUAGGGACGAGAUGCAGCAGGAUAUUGCAUCCUUAACCAUACAAAUGCUAUGAACUCCAUAAUCAUUCCAAAACAGUACAGGAAGUUCUCUGCAGCUACAAUAUCUCAAAAGCUCAGCCAUGAUAGCAAAACCACACCAGAUGCUGAGAAUAUGAUUCCAAUCAAAGGAGUCCCAUAACAAGACCUCUUAGCAAAAAACUCAGGUAGCAUUCCACGCUCAGCCAUCCCCAAAAGUUGGAAAGAGUCGCUGCUCAUCUCAGCCACAAACAUGCCCAUAUUGGACAUUGCUGCAGCCCCCUGGAUGCACCAUCUCAACCAAACUCCUCCAAGCACUUUAGCGAUAUCUGAAAAGUAACCAUUGGUCCACAAGUCGCGAUCUAAUGGAAUAGCUCCAGUUCCAAGUAGAAGGGGAAAGAAAUAUCCAAAAACGACCAAGAUCAAAGCAUAAAACAAAGCCUUUGGAAGAGUCUUCUUUGGGUUAUCCACCUCUCCAGCUAGUGUACUUAUUGAGUCCCAGUAGUUGGAGAUUCCAAAACAGGGUGUUCAAAUACAAAUUCCAGUCCACUUCACCUAAAUUUACUACAAGCCAUCUUGAAGGCUCUAACUUGGGAAGGGACACAAGUCCCAUAACCACAAAAGGAAGGAAUGAGAAAAUCCCUAAAAGAACAGCAGCCCAUCCCACAAUGGUUAGACCCCUAUAGUUCAUGAAAGUGAGAACAAAAGUCAAAGCUAACGCCGCAAAGGCUCUAGGUAACCCAUCGCCCAAAGCAGGGAUACCAGACUUCAAGUAGUCAAGAAACAGAACUGGGUAUAAAGCAUUAUCAAUAACCCCACUUAGCCACUUCAUCCAAACUUGCUGAAAACCCCAAUAUGGGCCUAAGGCAGAUGAAACCCAAACCAUAUAACCACAAUUUUCAGGAAACACGGUACCCAUCUCGGCAGUAAUUAAAGCUUCAGGGACACUCCAUAUAAUCGGAAACACCAAGAAACCAAGAAGUGCUAAAAGAGGACCAGCUGCCUUUACACUAUCCUCAACACCAAACGGCCCCCCAGAAACCUCAUAGAAUAUAAGGAAAAUAAGUGGCAAGAUUGAUACUUUUUAGCGCCAUGGACUCUAGGAGAAGAUGGUUGGUCAUUGAUAUUAACAUAUUCAACAGCAUCAGACUGCCCCAUUUCUACUGAAAGUUGCCUAUUCACAGUGUUCCUCAAUUUCUGCAUCAAGUUUAAGCAUAACUAUCAAAAGGGUAUCGGCAUCUAAAUUAUGAAACAAAAUGAGCAUUUACUUAUUAAAAAAAAUCAAAAAAACAGAAAUGGAUUUCACAGAAUACAUGAAUUUAAGUUCAACAUUAAACAGGCGCUUAAGAAAACAAAAGGGUCUGUUCGUAAAGCCAUCAGAUUGCAAGAUUGAACAACAUUAACGGAAUCAAUAGAAUAGAUGUAAAGAGAUCUGAAAAGAAAAUAAAAUAAAAGAUGAAGAGAGAUAAAACGAACCAUCAAAUAAGUGCAUGCAGAGCAGAGAGGCAGAUACUAGAGAAGCUCCGUCGUGUUAGAGUAGGGGUGGCAAUAUGGGUCAGGAUUCGUUUAUUCGAUUCGAUUCGAUACGAAUUAAAUGGGUUUGGGUUUGAAAAAAUUAAUUCGUUUAAUAAAUGGAUGAAUUCGAUUCGAUUCGUUAAUUAAACGAAUCGAAUGCGGGUUUGAAAAUUUAGAUUCGUUUAUUCGUUUAAAAUUCGUUUAAUAAAUGGGUCAUAAACGAAUAGAAUACGGGUCGAUUCGUUUAAAAUUCGUUUAUUAUUUGUUUAAUUAAAUUACUUUUUUAUCCUUAAAUUUAUUUGAAAGCUUUUUAAAAUUUGAAGGUUAAUAUUGUAAUUUUAAGUAAAUAACAAAAAAAAAAAAAACAAAGUAGCGGAAACCUAAAGCUAAAUCCCUAAAAAUUCUCCCUUCACUCAGCCGCCGCUCUCGUUGCUCUCUAGUCUCUACCUCUCUCACACGAAUCACACUCACCCACCCAUACCAAGUGAAGCAAUCAAGCAACAAAAACAGCCGCCGGUAGCCACUGUCAUUAACUCACAGCGAACCGACGAUUACAACCACCAUCGUUCAUCCAUCAUCGAUUGAGCUUGAGGGACGCAGCCACGCGAGUGCAGCCCGCAACUCGGCAGCAACCCAGGAGCAUCAGCCGCGCAACGUAUUAGCAGCCACUCGAACCCACAGCAGUAGCUAACUCGUGCGGCGGUGCAGCAGCAGCAAACCCAGGCGAGCGCGACCCGAACCAGUGCCCAGGUUCUGAGUGAGUUCCUCGUUUAGGAAGAUCGCUUUUAAUCUUUUUGUAGUUACUUUGAUUUUAAGUAACAUAGACGAUGAACCCAACAGAGAAGCUGCAACGAGCUAUCCAUUUUUGAAGCGGCUUCUGUGGCUCUGCGUAAAGAGCUAAUUAACCAGCUGCAUCUUGGACCAAGAGAUAUAAAUGAAUAUAUUUUUCUUUUGCGCAGUACGAAGCAGUAAUUAAGUUGUUCUCUAGGAAAUCAAUCCAUAAUCAAGGUUUUAAUGCUAUUAAUGAUAUACAGUAUGUUCUUCUUUAGAUUUUAUAAGUGUAUAACACCUCCUUUGACAUAAUAUAUAUUGAUGUAGACCUCUCGGAGUCAGAUGGAUGAUUUGCCCAGGCCGGCUGCUUUCUGCAAGACAAUGCCAAAAAAAAAAAAAACCUUUUGCUCGCAGUUUAUGUGUUUUAUCCACAUUUGACAGGGCAUUUUGUAAUUUAUUUGAGCAUUAAUUAUGCCAAGUUUCAGUUCUGUUCUCAUUUUUCUUGGACUCGUAACAGCAAUCAGCAUCAGGAAGAUGCAAGGUAGGUUUAAGUGCUUAUUUAAUUAAUUCCCAAGCGAUCCGAAUCAACAAGCCAUCACCAACUCAGGGUAAUAUCAUGAGAUUAUGGUUGAAUUAUUGAGAAAUUUUGUAUUGUAGAAUAUUAUGAGAUUAUGGUUUAGAAAAUGUUUUGUAUUGUUCGGAAAAUAUUAUGAAAUUAUGUAUAAAUUGAUUAUGGUGUUAAAAAUUAUCUGUAGGAUAAGGAAGAAGCCCCCACAAAUAUUGGAUUAAUUUUUUUUUAGUAUUAAAAUUUAUAAUUUAUUAUGUUGUAUUGUUAAUAUUUUGUGUAUUGGAAUAUUGUGCAUUAGGAAUAUUGCUGGGUUAGAAUUUGGCAUACAUGAUGAAUAGAUUUGAUUUUUGAAAUAUUGUUAGGUAAAGUUUUUAUCUUGUUCAAUUAUCAUUUCCUUGAAAAUGCUACAAAUUUGCUAUAUAUUUGAUUUUUGAAAUUUUACAAUGACUAUUAUCAAUAUUGCAGCAUGUUAAUAACAUUUUAUUUACUUUUUGGUGUAGGAUUUUUGUUUUCAAGGUGACAAAGACAAAUGAAGAGAAUUAAAGAAAUUACAUUUCUUUAUAAUUUGAAUUUGAAUUAUUGUUAUUUGUAAUAUUAAGGAUUUGGUAUUUGGUAUUUGGAUGACUGUAUAAUAUAAUUUGAAUUAUUUGUAUUUUGUUGUGGGAUAUUAAAUUUGUUUUUUUUGCUUAAUUUUGUUUAUUAAUUAUAUUUUCUAAACGAAUUGAAAACGAAUCCUAAUUCGAUUCGAUUCGUUAUGGAUUCGUAAAUGAUAAACGAAUAAUAAACGAAUCCGGAUUCGAUUCGAUUCGUUUAUCAAUUCUAUUAAACGAAUUAAACGAAUCGAACCGAAUAUUCGUUUAAUAAACGAAUCGAAUCCGAAUCCUGAAAUUUCAAUUCCUUUAAUAAACGAAUCGAAUUCGAAUUCGAUUCGUUUAUUCGUUUUGCCACCCCUAUGUUAGAGAGAGCCUAAUUCAAUCAGAGCUCACUGAGUUUCUUUUCAACCGACCGGCAAAUUUGGAGUGCCACAACAUAAUAUUUUUACUUUUAAUUUUUGGAACACUUUUGAAUAGAAUUUUUUGUUUUUAAAAAAGGUAAGGGAGAUUAGUAUUUAUUUAACUUUAUAUUUUUUUAAAUACUUUACAAAUAUUUUUGUCGUUAAAAUAUUAAUAUUUUUAUUAAUAAUUUUUAUAUUUUUAAUUUAUUUUUAUAAUAUUAUUUUUUUAUAAUAAUUUUUUAUUUUAAUAUUAAUAAAAAAUAAUUAAAUUAACAAGUUAAUCCUAAAAUAAAUAAACACGUGUUUGGUUUUGGGCUUUUUCUUUUGUUCGUUUAAUAUCAUCUGGCUCCCUGAUUUGUGACUAAUUAUCAACGGAAUCCCGUUGGUUUCUAAAUUGAAAUAAUAGAAGGUCAUGAGACUAUUUACUCCAUUUAGCACUGCAGACUUAGGUGGCGUUUGUUUUUUAACUUAAUGACUUAAAGUGACUUAACUUAAUUAAUUAAGUUAAUUAGAGGUGUUUAUUUUUAUAACUUAAUAAGACCUUUUAGAUAAUUUUGACUUAAUAAAAUAAGCCAAUUUUUUUGGCUUUUUACUUAAUGGAGAAAUCUGAAUUAAGUCAAUUACUUGCUAAUGUCAAAAAUAUCCUUGCUUUAUAAUUUAUUUUUUAUGUCUAUCCCAAAACUCACCCAUAGACAUUUACCCCACACAAAAAUAUCCUUAUUUUUUCUUUCUUAUAUUAUAUACGAUAAAAUUUAAAAUUUAUGAUAUUUUAUAUAUUAAAAUUCCAAAAUAAUUAUGUAUUCACUUGAAUAUAGUUUUACUUAUAAAUGUUAAAAUAUUGUGGUAUUUAAUUUAUUAUUUAUUUGACAUUCAAAUUUAAUAAGGAUACAAAUGUAAAAGUACAUAUUUUCAGCUUUUUAAGUUGAAAAAAACAAACAACUUAAUACUUGUUUUCCGAGAUUCAGACAAAAAAAUAAACAUAUUAUUCAGAUUCAGACAUUCAGAUCUAUUCAGAAUUCAGAUUAAUUCAGGUCUAUUCAGAUUUCAGACAAAAAACAAACGCCACCUUAGAGUAUAUUGAAAAAGCUUUGUCAAAUAGUAGUAAUAGGGGCAUAAGAAAUAAAUUAUAGCUAUCACAAAUUCGUUAGAAGAAUUUCAAUUUUUUCCAUCAAUAAUGGCUAUGAAGCAAAAUUACCUUAGGUUAUAUUGCAAUACUAAUACUUCAAAUCCUGAUAAUAAAUUUGAUGACAGUCGUUUUUAUCAUGGUUUUAACAGAUAUAAGAAGAGAAAAUUAACUGUUCAAACAAAUUAGAAGCAAAUUCUUUCAUAUCUUUCUUUUAUUUUUCCGCUUACUUUCUUAGCAUCCAAACAAGUUAAAGUUAAAACGCUGUUAGAGCCAACAAUAUGCAGGCAUCAAUAAGCAUAGUAGUUUUGUAUAUGUAUUCUAUACGAUAUUCUAGGGAUGUCAAUUGUAGAACAUUUUGUGGUAACUUUUUUACAUUAAUUAAUGUUUGAAGAACUUGUUAAAAAGAAAAUGGUAAUUUUAUCAUUUUGAAAGACAAAAAAAAAAAAAAAGAGUGAAAGUGGCGUUACCUCAUGGUCAUUAGAGACUUGUUGCAAUGAUAGCUCAAAAUUAAAAAUUUGUGAAGAAUUAGUAGACAACGACGAUACUAUAUUUAUACAGUCACCAACGUGUUGAUUUUUGUUUAAUGUUUGAUCGAUAGAAACUUUCGUCGUCGUCGCCGUUGUUGAAUUCGUGCUUAGAAUAUCACAAGAGAAGAAAAAAGGAUGAAAGGGAAGAGAAGAAGAGAGAAGUGGUGGAUAGCAAAUAUGAUAUGCUAGCUACACACAGGCCUUAGAGAGUUUUUUUUUAAUAUUUAUUGUAUUUUUGUUUUUGUUAUUGGUUUUUCAUAUGCUUCCAAGGCAGCAAUGCGUUACAUCAUAAAUUGGACCUUUUAGGGGAGGUGGUAAAAAACAUGAGAGCAAUGCAUUCUAGCGCAUACAUGCAGAAAGAGUUUCCAAAUUUUCAAAAGUUUUUUUAUUUCUUCCACCUUUUUUUGCUUAAAAUAAAUUUUAAUUGUAUUUUGCAUUAACUUAGAGAAAAAAAAAAUCCAGUUCUAUACAUAAACGCAUACAUUGAUUAGAAAAUGAGUUUUAUGGACACAAAGGGACAAUAUAAGAGAUUCUUUUUGUUUAUUAGAAGUAACAUAACUAGUUAGUGUAACAUGUAAUUAUAAGCUACCAAUAAUUUGCACUGAUGAUAAUUAACGGUAUAGAUUUUGAGCUAUGAAUGUCUUGUGGCUAGUUUAAUUGGAUUUUCGAGUUUUCAGCAGAUCUAUUUUAAUGAUUAUUAAAUUAUUUUCACUUCUUAUGCCUUAAUAAAAAAAAUCAAUAUUUUUUGUUGUAUUCUAUAUUUUAAAACUUAAUUUUUAGUUCUUUAUAUUGCAAACCAAACUGAGUCAAAUCGAGUAUGCUCUUCAAAUAAUUUUUCCAUUGCCUUCAAGAAGAAUUCAUUUUAUUUUUAUAUAUUAAUUUAACACUUGUAAACCGGGCCGUCAGAUUGCACAUAAAGCAAAUGAUCAAACCGUUACAAGACCGGCCCAGGCCCACCGACUCUAUUUUCUUUCAUUUGACCAUUAAAAAGCUUUUGGCCACCCCCACCAAAUAAAUAAGCUCUUGUUCUCUUUUGUUCCCUCUCAAAGGAAAAUAUCUGAUCACCGAAUAAUGAUUCCGGUGACAUAAAAGAUCGAAACACCCCCCUAAAUUCCCUAAAUUUACGAUAAUACCCCACCAUGGAUGAUUAUGUUGAAAUGCCGCCUUACGAUGAAAGGCCUAAAAAGGGUUUUAACUUCACCUCCAUGCGCUUGAUCUUAACCCUCGUUUUCCCAAUUUUAACUUGCUUUUUGUUGGCAUUUUUUAUUGGAAUCGUAGCUGUUUUAUUCGGCAAAUCAUCAGUUUCCAGUUCCAUUUUUGUCCCUUCCCAGUGCAAGAUAGUGUCCAGCAGUAAGCUUUUUUUAACAUUUUCAAUUUUUUCCAUUUAUGAAGUCCAAAAAUUUUAUUAAUUUUGAUUUUUUUGAAUGAUUUUGCAGGUGUUGAUAUAAGUUCAUCAAAAGUUUGUGAACUUGGGGUGUUGAAUUAUAAGGCGAAGCGUGUGUUUUAUCCAUUUGAAGCAAGUAAAUUUCGAUGUCGGUAUGAUUACUAUUGGGCUUCUAUCUUCAAGGUAUUCAUACAUUUUUCCCUGUACUAUAAGCUUCUCAGUGGCGUUCUUGUGAGCGGUAGUGAGCGGUGUGGCUGACAGCUUCUUGAAAAUUAUAAGUUUGAACAGAGCAUGUUAGAGCACCACCAAAAGCCUCUUUAAAUAAGAUUUUAUUAUUUAUUUAAAGAGUCACAUCAAUAUUGAAAGCUCCAAAAGACACUUCAAUUAAAAUUCUUCAAAUAAGAAUUGAUUCUCUCUCUUCAAAUUUGGAGAGUUAAUUUCUCCCUCUUCAAUUUAUAUUUUAUUACUUUUCAUUGAAGAAAUAGAGAAGUGCUUUAAUUGCUAUUGACUUUUCCUUUAAAAAACUAAUUAUAUGAUUAAAAUAAUAUUAACUUAUUUAUAUUUGAAGAGUCUUUUGGAGAAUAUCAUAUUUUUUUCACCCUUCUAUUUGCCACAUAAGUAAACAAAUAGAUAUUUAAAAAGUAAAAUUUAUAGAAGCUUUUGGAGAUGCUCUUAGACUUUUGUUGACCAAAUUCGAAAGCCAAAUGGCACAGCUCAGAAGCUUUUGAACUGAAUAACUUACUAGGAAGCUCCAAUUUUUUGUUGGCUACAGUAAAAGGAUGUUGUUUUAUUCUUCUUAUACUUUACGCUUGCAUCAGCUUAAAUCACUUCUUAAACGCUUUGCUUUAACUCCACUGCUUCGCUGGGGGGAUUUACCUUGGAACAAGUGGGGACUUAAGUCCCCACUGAAAAAAAAAAUUGUUUUAAUAAUUAAUUUGAUUUGCCAAAACUUCUCAAUAAAUUUUUCUUAAGCCCCCCAUAAUUUCUUUCAACAAGCAAUUGAUCUAAAUGAGUUAAUUUCUGUCAGUUGUAUCCAAAUGAGUUCUCUGCAAUUGAUAUCAUGGCACUUGAAAUUCAACUUGAUACAUAUAUUUUGGAUAUGCGCACUAGUGCGAGACUAAAAGACAUAAGGUAUAUCCAUUGGUUUACUUGUUAAUAAUAUUAGCAUUGACUUUACCCGUUGCCACUGCUAGUGUAGAGAGAGUAUUUUCAGCCAUGAACAUUUUGAAGAAUUGGUUAUAAAGCCGUGAGUAAUGGAUGAAUGAUAGUUUAAUUAUUUACAUAGAAAAAUACUUAUUUAAUAAUAUUGAUAAUGAACUUGUAAUGCAACAUUUUUAAUGUAUGAAAACUUGAAAGGACAAUUGUAAACAUAUAUUGAAGUAUGAUAAAUCUUUCAAAUUUAUAUAUUUAUUACUUUUAAAAUUUUUUUAUAUUGCCGUUGAAUGAGCCCCCAGUCAAUCAAUAUGUUGUCUUCGCCCUGCUUCGUACUCUUCUAUAUAUGUAUCGGGUAUGCAGUUGUAGUUAACGGCUGAGACUACGUGUUUGUUUGACGUGGUAGUAACGUUACGAGUCUGUUAAACAUUCGAUGAUUAAAGUAUUAUCAGUUAUUUCAAAGGGACAAAUAAGAUUAGCUACAACACACCCACUAGUUUUAUAAAAUUCGAAUGAGAUGGAAUAAAAUAAAAAAAUAAAUAAGUAAAUUGACUUUUAAUUUUAGUGGUUGAAUAUAUUUUGUAUUCUCUUAGGGCACUGCUGUAAUUAUUCCUUAAACGUCAGUCAUACCCACAUAUAAUAGACACAAGAAAUGAAAUCUAAAAUCACCUGUUUAGUUAAAGAAUCAUCAUGAAAAAAUUUUGCCAUUUUGAUUUGAAGAUCCACAUUUUGAACAACCAACUUAUGUUCAUCAAGAAUGGAUCAUGGCCUGUGAGUAGAAAAAUUAUUUUUGGACAAAUUAUUUUUUUUAAUAGAAGAAUUUUUCAAGGGACUAAUAAAAUUACUAAUAAAAAUGUCAGACACACCCACGUACCAUCGACACAAUUGACUAUGAGGAUCCAUGUUUUGAACUGCCACCUAAUGUUCAUCAAGAAUAGAAUAUGGCUCGUGAAAAGAAAAUUUUCUGAUUUUGGCCUGGAAUAAAAAGAAAUUAAAUUGAAGGAGAAUCUGCUACUUUCUCAUUAAGAAAGGCAGACAUGGUAUACCAUGGUACCAUACAAUAUAAAAAGUCUCCAUUCUCUGGCUUUUCAAACUCUGAAGGGGGCAAUAUUCCCCAAUUCUCCCGUGAAAAUUCUGAUUACGACAAUGUUCAUCGGUUGAUACAUAAGUACAAGUAGUGACAAAAUUAGGAAAAAUAUGACUCAUAAGUAAUUACUAGGCAGGGCUCUUGAGAGCAACAUUGUACUAGGCUUUAUAUGCAAACAUGGUGUGGUACAUAGAGCCCGUUGAAUUCCACACUAUAACACAAACCCAGAAAGACAAGUAAUAGCUCAACUGAUAUAAAGACAAAAAGAAGAUAAAAUGAUACAGAACAAAGAAUUUCUAAGAGACAGCAACAUACAAUAGACUGAAGCCAGUUGAUCUGCUCAUUGAUUGCAGCCUUAAACUUGCAAAUGUUUACUAUAGCCUGGUGCUCUAAGAAGUGAAAAUGAUGCAAACCUUGAUUCCCUGUUUACUUCCAUUUACCAUCAAACAUUCUAUUCAUAAGAAAAAAAAUGUUUAGAUAUCUUGCCGUAAAUAUAGCCAUUUGAUUGUCUUAAUAAAGCCACACACAACCAUUCAUAUUGAUCCACAUUGCCACAUAGCCUGAUUUAAGCAUACAACAGCUGAAUGUAUACUGACUCCUAACCUUAUCAAUACAUUGGCGACAACUUAAGACGAAAACUAUUUUUCCAUCUCUUUUUUGAAAUUUCACAAUAAAACAGCACAAUGUAAGAGCUGCAAUGAAAAUGGACCGUCUGGAACUAUGGCGGAAGCUUCAACUAGUGUAGUGAUUUGACCUUCUUAUUAACCUAGCGAGAUCAAACACUGCCGUUGAUCUUGAACAGAUCAAUACGAUACGCACAACUUAUGAUUGAAUCCAGAAACAAUCAAAUCUUUAGCAAGAAUAAUUAAUCAGAAUCAAGAAACAAGUUUAAUGAAUAUAAACCUAUAAUUGGAACAAACACAGCCAAAGAACCCAAGAAUGACACAACGUACACCAAGGGAGAAGCUUUCCAGUGAGAUUAUAUUGAUGAUCAAAGAAGAAUCUUUUUACAAAGCUAACAAAAGUGAUUUCAGAGAAUAAGCUAUGACCCUCUCUCUCUUCAAUCUCUGUCUAGUUUGUUAACAGUGAUGACCCCAAUCUGCUUUGUUAGCCAGCUUCAUAACUGCGUCAGUGACAAACUAGCAAACCCAGAUUGAGCAGACUAACGACACGUGCAUAACAGCUUUAACGAACUUGGUUAAAGAACUGCUCACAUGUUCGUCACGCGUGUAGCUUAAAUGAUAGCCAAAACGACUUCAACCAGAUGCCGUUUUGAAGCUUAUGAAUUAUAAGUGAAAACACGUGCUUGUCUCGUGACAUUUAAAUGCAACAACAAGCCCAAAACACUGCCGUUCCACUAUGUUGAGUUUGCCAUCUCCAAGCUUCACAACUAGCAACGGACAAGAUGAUAAUUUAAUUGACAUGGAGAGCUUUUAUAUCACUUUUACAACAUUCUAUAUAAUUGUGAUAUUGGUAAUCGUCGGUGUUGUAUAUGUGAACCCUCGUUGGCGACACUGGUGGUUUUAUCUUUAUUGAAAUAUGGAUGACUUUUCGUUACUAUUUUGUUGUACAUAACCUUAUUCACAGGAGAUUUAAUCAUUGAAAUUAACAUGUUAGUUUCAUUAGAAGGCUGAGUGGUUAGGGCUGCUACCCUCCAACUUGGAGGGCAAUAGUUUGAACCCACAAGCGCAAUGUGGGGGUAUUUCAUUCUUUAAUUACAUUGUAUAAUUGAAUAAAGAUAAUAUUCUCUCUUACCUAAGUGUGAGUGGAGUAGACAUCCUUCGAAUAUUAGUGAGGGUCAAAACUUGGGCAGAGCUCAAUAAGUAUUGAUAUAAGUUGGUCCUAAUAAUAGUCUGAUUUGUAAAUAUCAGUUAUAGUCUCAUGUUUCCUUCCUUAGUUAUAUUGUAUAAUUAAGUAAAUGUACUCUUUUCUCUUACCCAAGUGUGAGUGGAGUAAACAUCUCUCGAAUAUUAGUGAGAGUUAAAAUCUGGGCAGAGCUCCAUAAGUAUUGAUGUAAUUUGAUCCCAAUAAUAGUAUGAUUUGUAAAUACCAGUUAUAGUAUCAUGUAAUAUGAGUUGUAAUUUGAGUAAUAAUUUCAUGUAAUUACAAAAAAAAUGUUACUUUCAUUACUUUUUUCUUCGUUAAAAUUCUCAAGUAUCAAUUAUGUUUGCUUAAGAAAUAAAAUUUCAUUAUGAAAAUUGUAGCAGUAUUUCCGAGCACCUCACAUUUUCAAUGAUUUUUCAUAAAUCAAUUAAUCUGCCAUACCAAUAUCAGGUUUAGUUUUUCAGACUAAAUGAUCAAGAAAGCAAACAUACAAAUUCACAUUUUAGAGGGGUAAACUAGCUUUUAGAUUUUAGAACUAGGCUAGCUACCUCACCAAAUUCCAAUCUGUACAGUGAACUACAAGAUUAAGAAAAUAAUGUAUUUAUAGUUUAAUUGAAUCAUGAGAAAACAAUGUAGUCAUAGCUCAAUCGGACAUGAUCACGGAGAGGCAUAUUCUUUUCAAGUUAAUUUGAUCCAUUUAUAAGAAAUGAAGUGGAUUGAAGUUAAAAGUUCAAAUAACAAAUCCUUAUUCUUGAGUUUUACGACGUCGUUACUCCUUCAAGAGGCUGAUUAUGCAAGUGAAUGCGGAAACAGAAUGCAUUAUCCAAUUUCACUCAUAUAGAAAAUUAAUUUUUUAUAUAUACUAAUCAACACUAGAUUGAUUAUGUUUUGUAUGUUUAUAUGCUAAUCAACAAUAAAUUAUAUUAAAUGAAGAAAUGCUUCAAAAUUUUCUAAUUUAAUUUAGAAAAUCAAUUAUUAACAUUAAUAUUCCUAAUAAAAAUUAUUUUCCAUCGGUAUUCAAAAUUUUCACUUAUAGAAAAUGCGUUUUACGUGAAUACAAGUUAUUGUGUAAAUUUGAAUGAUAGCGAAAAAUAUUUUUUUUAAUAAUUGUAAAAAUAAUUAACCAUAACAAAUCCCUUGCGUAAAUAAUAAUCGUUAUUUAAAAGGUAGAAAGAUGGUUAGUGCACAAUCAAAUUUUAAGCCCCUACCUCCUCAGCCCAAGAUUCAAACUUAGAUGAUCAGCCAAAUAAAAGUAUUUGAAAAUCAUUCAAUCAGGUUCUCGGGGCAAAAAUACAAGAUCCUUAUUUGCAUGAUAUAUAUGAAUUAAUGUAAUUUAUUUGAAUUAUCCAAAUUUAUUAGAGAUAAAACUAUAAAAUAUACCAAAAAAGUUAGAAGGAAGGGUGUGUUGGGAUAUUUUACAAACUAUAGGAAUCUAGUGAGAUUUUGAGCCAAACUGUAGGGAGUUGAAGGCAUUUGCCCAAUAUGUUUAGACGUACACUAACCGUUAUUUGCUCUUGUUGUUGGUCCCGGAUGAGCUGUAGUCUUAUUUUAAUUUUAUUUAAACUCACCAUAAGAUUCGCGGAGCUCCUAACUAACUUAAAUGACUCUGCAGAGCAUGUCAACACAUAGCAUGUUUAACCGUUUUAUUUGUAGAAGAAUUUAUGAUUUCCCAUUAGCAUUAUUAUUGAAGUGGGGCGGGUCAAAUCUCAAUUGCUUGAAAAUUUUUAUUAUUAUUAUUAGUCUUGAAGUGGGGUGGGUAACGUUCGCUCAAUUCGAGGGGAAUCAAAUAUAUCAUCCAAGGUAGAAUUGUGGAAAAUUAAAACAAAAUAAGAAAUAUGGAAAGAAAAGAAGAAAGUUAAGAUAUGAAAGACAUAUACAGUUGAAAUUGAUAAUCAUGUUCCUAUUUUGUUAACUAAUCAAAUGGAAAGCUGAACUGUAAACAAACAUUAAAACGUGUGAACCAAGCUAGCUGUCCUACAAGUCUACAAUAAUAAUUGAGUACUUUGAUUCAUCCUUCUAUAAAUUUCUACCCAUAUUGACUCCACCGAAAUUUCCACAAAAUAAAAAAAAAAAAAAAACUGAAUUUCCACAAAAUGCAAAACCCGUAGAACUUAAUUUUUGGUCAUGUGAACUAAGAUGUAAAUUAAAGAAAAAGUAUAAAAUUAAAAAAAGAUAAGAUUUCUAAAAUGUGUGGAAGGUGAUUCAUGAUUCACUGACACUACUUACUCCAAAUAUGAAGAUAAAUCUAUCUAAUUUCAUUAAAAAUAGUUGGAAAAAAUUAACUAAUAGAAAGCUACGGAAAUUAACCCCCCACAAAAAUGACUUUUUAUGGAAGAAUUUAUGUUUUUUAAAAUAUGUUAUCAAAGUGUAUUUGAUCAAAUCUCAAUUGGUUAGUAUGGUUAGGAUUUUGUGAACAUCACUAAAAAGUGAAAAAUAUGAAUGAUAGGGGUGAUGCUUGCAAUAUGAAUAAAUAAUGGACUGAUUCAAUUGAUGAUUACAUUUAUAUAUUAUUGAUUAUUUAUGAAUUUUCAGACUUGUUAUGAUGUAUAACUAUGUGAUUUUGAAACUUGAAACCGUGGCAAACAUUGAAAGGAAUUAUAACUUGAAAUCAUGACUCACGGGGUAUGUCAUGAUUCACGUGCACAAAAAAGGUAGAAUUGUGGAACUUGAUAACCCAACGACAAAUGCGGAAAGAAAGGAAGAAAAUUAAAAGACUUGGGGCCUAGCCUGCGUGUAUAAAUUAUUAGAUUUCUUUCUAUUUUAUAAGCGUAACCAUCAAUUUACUCCAUAACAAUCUUUAAUUCAUUUCUUAAAGAGUAAUGAUAUAGCCACAAACUCUUGUACAAACUUAUUUUGUAUAAAUUGAUGUGGCAUGAUAAGAUUUGUUGAAUUAAAUAUUACUUGGCCCAUAUGAUUUGUUUUUAUUAUUUUAUAUUUUCAUUCAACCAAUGAAUUAAUGUCAUGUCAGUUUGUACAAAAUAAAUUUAUACAAAAAUUUGUGGCUGUAUCAUUACUCUUUCUUAAAAUAUCAAAACUUUAAUUUAUCUUUUAAAUAUCGUUACCUCUCCAUUGGUUUUAACAGUUAAAAGGGUAAAAUUAUAUUUGUAUAUUUUCUUGACUGUUAACUAAAUAAUAAAAGUCAAAAUUCAAUCUUGUUAUCUUGUUUCAAUCCUCUAUCAAUCAAACAAGAUUUCUAAAAUAUGUGGAAGAUAUUGCAUGAUUUCCUCAACGUACCUGGCCCGAACAUCAAGGUAAAUAUCUCUAAAAUAGUUGAUUAAAUCUCAGUUGCUAAGUAUAGUUAGGAUUGUGUGAACAUCACUGAAAACUAUGAUUGAUAGAAGUGAUCUUUGCAAUAUGAAUAAAUAAUUAACUGAACCAAUUGAUUUACAUAUUAAAGUUUAUGAAUUUUCGGACUUGUUGCGAUAUAAUAAUAGCAUAUGAUUUUGAAACUUGAAACAGUGGUAAAUAUUGAAAGGAAUUAAUUUGAAAGCAUGAUCCGUGGGGAAUGUGAUGAAUCGUGUUUACCAAAAAGGUAGAAUUGUGGAAAUUUAUAACAGAACGAUAAAUAUGGUAAAAAGGAAGAAAAUUGAAAGACUUGGGGCCUGGCCUGGGUGUAUUUUCUAACUGUCCAAUGGACAAAAUUAUAUUUGUAUAUUUUCUCAUCCCUAGGUUUCAUACAAUAGCUCAUUUCAUUUUUAUUUUUUAAAUAAUAGCCUAAAACAUCAUUCUAUUAACUCACUAUUAGUUGAAUGUCGUUUGUUAGUAAUUCAUUAAGGGUAAAAAAUCAUUUUCUAUCAAAGAGAAAAUUAGAAAAAUAAAUAAAAGUUGACAUAUAACUAAAAAUGAUUUGAUCUAAUCCCACUAAAUAAGAAAUACCAAAAAAGAUGAAAAAUUUAUAUUUCAAGCAAUUCUUUUUUCACUUAUUUCUAUUUUGGCAACAUGAAAGCCCUAUAAACCCUAGAUCUAAGUACUAAAAAUAUCACAAUUUUCUUAUUCAUAUAAGUAUACUCUCUAAUUGCAUUGUAAAAUGGUUUGAAUUAAAUUGAAAAUAAAGAAGAUAUUCAGCACAUGCAAGCACAUAAAAAUUGGUGGCAUUUUUUAGUUUUUCUUCCAAUGAUUUAAAGAUAUUGUUUUAAUUACAGUUUGUUCCUUAUGACAAUUAUUCAAUGGCGAUAUCAAACUAUAUCAUCGUUGAUUUUAUUUAAGAAAAAGUUAAUGAAUUUUGCAUAUUUUGUAGUGUUAUUUAAUUGUGUAAAAAAAAUUAUUUUAAUAUAGUUUGUAUCGCUUUAAUGAAAAAUCAUAUUUUGCCCCCAAUGAAUUACUAGUUAACGAUUUUACAUUAAUGGUGAGUUAACGGAAGGAUAUUUUAGGCUAUUGUUUGAAAAGUAAGGAUAAAAUGAGCUAUUGCAUUAAACUCUAGGGAUGAAAAAUGCUUUUUCCCCUUUCUUAUCAAUCAACUAUCUGAUAAAAGUCAAAACUCAUAUUUUUUUUUUCCUUGUUUCAAUCCCCUCUCAAUCAAAAAAGUUUCCUUGUCUAAGCAACGAGGAAUAUGGCUAGAAAGAUUGUUAUUAGAAAGAUUUAUCAAUAGUAAUUGGUUCACAACUGAACAUUUUUAGAUUAUUGUGAGUCAAUAUAGGUCCUGUUUGGGAUUGAAGUGUUGCAGUUUUUAAGUUACAACUGCUGUGGAAAAAAAAACUAUAAUUAUGAAAUAAAAGUUAAUAAUAUAUAAUAAAUAUAAAUUUUAACUAAUAAUUUUGAUAAAAUUAUUAAAAAUAUAAUAGAUUUUUCAUAAUACAAGUAAAAUAUCAUAUCUACAUAGCUUGCAAGGUACAACAGUUAGUAUUUACCAAAUAGUUUAGUACUAUUUGUAAUGUUGUAAUGUCGAGAGAUUACCCAACCAUUAUGGAAUCCUACCAAGAUGAUUGUUACCACUAAGAUAAAAUCCUUCUAGUGAACAACAAUCAGACAAAUUUUUUGGGGAUCUCUCUUACAAAGUGAUUACCAUCCAAUCGCAAUUUUGAAUGAAAAUAAUUUUUUUUUAUUGGGAGUUUGACCUUAACAUUAAAUUUAGACAAUAAAUUUUAACUUUCUUCAAUUAUUAAACAGAUUACAGACAUUUGACAAAUUUGAAAACACUUCAUCCAUCGAAAGUUCAAAUUAGAGAUGGAAGCUAGGUGCUACAGCUAAUGGGAACAUUAAUUCCUGUCCCUCAUCACACUUUAUUUUGGGUCUAAUAAUUUUACGGCAGCAUUGACCACUGCUCAAGGUAAGUAAAACUUACAAAUGUGUGGCAAAAUAAAUAAUUAAGUGCAUAAACUCUUAACUAAUUUUCUUGAUAUAUACAGCUAAGGUACUUGUUCCUUUUUUUUUAAAAAAAAAUGUUAAAAAAUUUCGGCUGAGCCUGCUUGUGGUUUUGAUAAAAAGGAGGGGCUGGCUUCAAAUAUUUGAAUAGGCAUCUCCGCCGUACCUCAAACAAAACUGUCAUUAUUAGUGUCAUGAAACAUGUUUCGGCCGUCAAAGUCAUGAGAGGGUUGAUGACGCUACUACGUAUGAUGACACACCAGCCGACAGUGUAGUAACAGCUCAAAAACAAAAUCUACCAAAAUCAACGAAAGUUAAUAAAAUUUUAUUUUAUUAAUAAAAAAACUUUUUAUUUGUGGAGAUAUGUGUAUUUGAGUCUGUGGACUGAAAUGGAAAAUAUGAAGACGUUCGUUGUGUAGAUUGACUUCAGUUGAACGGGUCUAACUGGUAUUUUAUGCUGACGUGGCACGAAUUAGUUAUAAUCUGUUAUAACGAUUCCAGAAAUAUCAGUAUAAAUAGAAGCUGAUGAGCAGUGCCUGUUGUACGAUCCUUUUCUUCUUCACUUGUUCGUCAAUUUGCAUAGCAUCUGUUUCAUUGUGAUCUAUGCAAAGUCUUCUGUAAAUCCACUUAUGUUUGAUUAGUUGUUGAUCAAUAACGAGAGUAAAUUUUUCCUUCAAAUCUUGCUGCUUCGUGCCCCUGUUUCAGUUCUGGUUUUUUUUUUUUUUUUUUUUUAGUUCUGGUUUCUUAAUUCAAUUGAAUUUCUUGGUGCUUAAUUCAUCAAGAUUCAGUGGAAUCGACUUGAAAAGGACUCAAUAGACUCAACAUUAUUUAACGACACUCUGACCGUGGAGUACCGUUAUAAUAAUCUGAUUUUAAGAAAAUUAUAACUUAUUUUAAAUAGCGCCACAAUAUAAUUCUAAAUAUUUAAAAGGAAAACAUUAAUGACAUUUUGUUUUGAAAAAUUCAAUUAUUAAACUCUCACGUUUCAUGUGUUUGAAGUUAAAUUAUUCAUUAACUAGAACUCUGUUCAAAAUUGACUGUCCUGUGUUCCCAAAUGUAGUUGCAAUAUUGAAUGAAAGUAAAAACUUUCUAUGGCGAGUUUAAAUCUAAAUCUGGACAAUGAGUUUUUAGUUUCUCAAUGCUAUUCUAAUUACAAAAAUUAUAUUGAUUGAUUUAUUGUUACAGUUACUAGCCUUUGAAAAUGGAUGGAUUUAUUGUUUCCGUGACCCAAUUAUGCCUGUCUAACGCUGCAACUACUAAAAAAUCUAAUAUUUAAUGCACAUGUUAAAAGAUUUAAAAUUUUAUGCAUUUAUUAAUUGUUAUAAUCUAAAAGAAAAUUAAUUCGUUCAGGUCAAUCUGAGUUGGUGCAUCUGCAGAGCCUUUUUCUUUUUUCCCCUUAUUGACCAUAAUGAUCUAAGGGGUAUAAUACGACCUUGGUUCUUGGUAAAAAUGACAUCUCCUUCAACAUGACUAUUGACUAGGAGCAUGUAAAAACAUGGAAACAGAAUUUCCACAAAAUGCCAAACGUGUGGAACUUCAGUUUUGGCCAUGUGGACCAAAUGCAAAUGAAAGAAAAAGGAUUUUCCCAGCUAAUGUACAAAUAAAUGAACAACCUUGAAGCCUUAUUAUUCGCAACAAAAAGGGAUUACUAAUUGGAGAAGACUACACACAGUUUCUCUCACACUUUCUCUCUGUCAAUUUCAUCUAGAAGUCCCUCUGAAAGCAUCUCCCAAAACAGUUAGUCAUCUUUUAUUCUCUGUUUUCUGGAAACAGAGUCCUAACUAACUUAACUGACUGUACAGAGCUGAUCAAGAAUUCUGUUUUGUUAACUAAUCAAUUGCAAAUCAUAUAUUAGUGUUGAACGGUGAACAAAAUUGAAAAAAAAAAAUUCUUAAAAAACGUGUGGACUCGGAUAGCCAGACCAGAAAUCUAUGACAAUAAUUAGCUUUGAUGCUGGGAAUCUUUUAGUUUCUGGCCGUAUUGACUCCACCAGUGAAGUUUUUAAAAUAACAAGUUCCCAUUCUUCGUUUUUUUUUUUUAAAUGUGCUUAUAAUAAUUUUAGAAUAGUGACUUAUUUGUAGAAGAAUUUAUGAUUUUCCAUUAAUAUCAAUAUUGAAGUGGCGUGGGUCAAAUCUCAAUUGCUUGAAGAAUCUAUUUAUUAUUAUUAAUAUUGAAAUGGGGUGGGUAACGGACCAACGGUUCACUCAAUUAAUAUGUGGGGAAUUAAUUAAAUAUGACCAUCAAAGGUAGAAUUGUGGAAAAUUAAACCAAAAUGACAAGUAUGGAAAGGAAGGCUGAAAGUAAGGCAUGACGAAAGUCUUUGAGAAGGCUGAAGACCACCAAAGAAGUCAACUGAAAGCUAGCUGGGGCCUGGUAUGUAUGUUAGAUGUGUUUGUUAUAAAUAACAUAGAGCCCUUUUGUUAUUUAUAGUUAUAGAGAAAGAGAGAAUGUGUGUUUUUUAAUAGUUAGAGAUAUAGCUAGAAUGGGUGGUUCAAAAUCCAAAAUGGUGACGAUGUUAGUUUUGGGGGUAGAGUGAGGGAUGUUUGGAGCUUGAGAGAUUUGCUCUUUUGCGGCUUAAGCAUUUCUUCAAUUCUCCUUAUAGACUUUAAAACUGGGUAGACGAGCAAAGAGGUUGUUGUCAGUGGGAAACCGUUGAGUGCAGCAAAGUGAAAUUAAUUUCUCCCUAUUCUUAGUCUUACCAGGAGUAUCGAUCUGGGAGAGUGGUAUCUGAAUGCUUCUCUAUUUACUCCCUUUCAACAAAUUGGCAACAAAAUAGCCGGUUGGGUUAAGAACGAAGGUCCUUCACUUAAUUUAAUUUACUUAAUUUAAAUUAAGAAGAAGUUCCGUCAUCAAUAGAGUGCCUAGCUGAUCGUAAAACGUUGCGUUUGAGUAAGUGCACGAGGCUGAAGAGGCUUUCCAUCAAGCAUUUGUAAAUUGAAAUCUCUUCUUGAGCUUUAUCUCUAUAACUGCUCAAACCUUGAAAGUUUUCCAGAAAUCAUGGAGAAAAUGGAACGUUUAAAGAUAUAAAUUUAGCAAGGACGGCCAAUUACAGAGCUGCAAUCUUGAUAGCCUUCGGGAUUGGUAUCAUUUUCAAGCAAUUUUCUCAAUGCAGAGGUUUGGUAUCAUUGCCUCCAAUAUUAUUGUCAGGUUUAGUUUAUCGAAUUUGUUACAGCUAAAUUUAAGGGACUCUGCUAUAAUGGAAAUUCCCCAAAAUAUUGUUUGUCAAUCCUCAUUGAAAAUUUUAAAUCUAAAGACUUGUUUGUUAACUAAUUGAAGUAUGUAAUUAAUGCUUUGUUUUUGUAAUUUAUGUUUGAUUUUGAGAUAUUUACAUUUGAAUAAAAAAGUAAACUUUUGUUACAUUUAUCUAAAUUAAAAAAAAAAAGGCUAAAUGAGAAGUAAACUAUGUUCAAGCAAUUUUUUAUUUAUAAAAAUAAACCAAAUACUACUUAUAUUCAUAUAUCAAAAAAUGAAAAACAAACAUGUUAUUCAUAUGUUCACAUACAAACUUAUUCGAACCUCAGCUAAAUACAAAUCCAUUUUGAUUUCAAACAAAAAAAAAAAAACUUCGUAAGUGGGAAUAACUUUGAGAUUUGACUUGCAAAUGUCAAGCAACUUGCAAGGCUAGAAUAUCUUGACUUGAACGGUUGCAAUGAUUUCUCAUCAUUGAGAGUUUAUCAUUGUGCUUCAUCAUCAUCAUCAUCAUCAUCAUCAUCAUCAUCAUCAUCAUCAUCAUCAUCAUCAUGAUUAAUAAAAAGGUAAGCAAUUAAGAGUCAAAUUAAACCACUUGAAAAUCACUCAUCCACGCUUUUGGGACAUCAUUCUGCUCAUUAUUUUUAUUCCGUAUCUUCAUUGUUUUAUUUGGUAAUUAUUACCAUUAGUAAAUAAAGGGAUUAGUUGAUUAUUGUGAACUAACUAAAUGGAGCUCACCCUUAAAUGUCGGCUUGUAUCAGGGAGGUGCCUUAGGGUUAAUAAAUCAACUAAUCCCAUAAAUUGUUGAUGUAGGGUCCUAACAAAUUAUUGCCGUAGAACAGCACACAGCUCGAAAACAUAUUUGAUCCACACAGUGAAGAUGAUUCAAUAUUAAGCAUGUCAUAUAAUCUGGAGUUGGAUAUUGGAUCAAUUUGAUGAUAAUGAGUUUCUUUCAGUCUCAAUCUUUAUCUUCUUCGCAACAUGACUAGCCAUUGCGCAAAUUCAAACUCUGACAAUGAUUUCUCAAUCGCUUUCUAAGACGAUGAGCACGUAUGUAUAUAUAUGUGUGUGUGCGCGUGCGCACGUGUGUGUUUGUGUAUGUAUAUAGGGAGAGAGAGAGAUAUCACACGUGUGUGCUUUCCUUUUGUCAAUAAGAUAUGCAGAGAGCUUAAUAAUCAUAGAUUAGCUUAUAUCCUUCAAACCAUAUGCUAUGAAGUAAUUUCACAAACACUUGUUGAAUGUUAUUGAAUCAGUAGUUCACAGUUCAAUACAAUGUAGGUUUCCUAUUUGAAGUAAAUGAUUAUGGUGUGUGCAUUUUUCAUAAAGCUAACAACUGAAUUUACCAUUGAAACUUGCAAAAUGUAACAGAGAGAUGCAGAUAGCAGCCACGAAACACUAAGAUUGAAAAUCAGGACUACUGAAUUCUAUUACAAGCCCUUAAAAUAGACAACAAUCAUCCUCAAAUGUAUGUACUGAAAAUAAGAAAUAUUAAUCGUAAAGUUAUGCAUUAACAAAACUAUUGACUACUUACCUUUAGCUAUAUGUUUUUAAUUGUAGCUCCCUACUUUGUUCUAAGAACUAGGCAAAAGUAGCAUAUCUUCAAUCCAAUCAGCAUAUAUACCGCUCAUCUUCUCCAGUUCUUUCCACUUUGAUUUGCAUUUCAUACCCUGCACUUGCUGCUUAGAAAUAGUCAUAGUUUGCACAUUGACAGUAGAAAAAGUACUUGAAGCAAUCAUUGGCAUAGCAUGGGAUUCCAUUGAGUCGCGGUCUCCAAGCUUUCAUGGUUCUGUAAAGAAAAUGACAAAAACAUCAUGCUAUUGGCAUUCUACUUUUAGCAAUUUUCCACAAGCUGAGCUAUUUCAUAUCUCUCUAUAAAUUAUGAUCGAUGAGUGGACCACUGAUGCAUGCAAGUUUAUUAUCACUUGUAACUGCUGGUUCAACCUUCAGAUAAGUUUGUGAUAAAGGCAUCUAUGAGUACAAUGGGAAAAUUACAUGAACUUAUGUUAUCAAUCAUUGUUUUGCCUUCUCGUGAUAGAAUUCUGUGCAACAUAAAACAUGAUAUAUUUGUACCUUACCAUGCCAUGUCGUGAACCUAGAAGCAAUGCAAAUUGCAAGGAACAUAUUAAGCUAUCUACUGUAUAUAACAAAUUCUUAUUAGCCCACAAUCUUGUGCCGCCACAUUGAUCAAGUAACACUAUUAUAUCAUUUCCAAAAUGGCAUAUAUAAUCUAAUGUUGAACAAACCAAAUUGGGAAUCAUCAUUCCUUACAUUAAGCUGACAUUCGUACCUGCUAGUCCAUGAGCAAAGUUGCUUAUAUUUCCACACAGGCAGCUCCCCUUAUCUCUCGGUUCCGACAGAGCUUGGUUUUCCCAUCACCAGCUUUGGAUUCAUUCGAUCACUGAUGCUCCGAGUUAGCAAGCCCCUUGUUGUGUUCCCAUUGAACAGACCCACUUCUGUUAUCCACAGAAGAUCCACCACUCAAAAUGCUUAUCACCGAACUAUUCCUAAACUGAAUAGAAACUUCCGCACAUCUCUCGGCAUUUACAUGAAGAAAUCGACACCCACCCCCAUAUUUGCAAGUUUUCUGAUAAUAGAACGGUCUACAAAGCUGCAUUUCGUUAGGCAAUCUAAUCUCUCCAUUCCUAGCAAAGUGAUAUUGAUUCCCGUAUUUGUAAUUGCCUAAUUGGGGUUUUGGCAAUAGCCUGGUCUUAAAAUUACCACCCAUUACUUUGUUCAAUGCCACUGGCAUCCUCUGAUUAGGAACAUUUUCACAAUUUUUAGCCCUGUUAGUCGAAUCACAUUCAACGGGAUAGUGAGGCAGUAUUUCACUAACAGAUUCAAUUUGACUACUCAUAUUGAUGCACAUAUAAGAAUUUGAAAUCACUUUCUCUUGGAAUAUUUAAUGACCCCUGAUGAAAGUUCUUGAAUGGAAUUAUUUAAUUUGAUUUGAUUUCCAACAAAUUCAAGAAACCCCACAUAGUAGCUAAACAAAAAUCAACCAAUAAUACGCAAUGGGUUUCUUUCUUUUUGCCUUUGGAGGGCCAUGGAGAUCUGGAGUGGGCAGUAAGUAAUAGCCUUUAUGACUGGAAUGACAGAUUUGCAGAAGAUGAUAGCUCAAAACGCGUUGCUGUGGAAAAUUGUAGCAAAAUUAAAAAUUGGAAAGAAAGGGAAGAAAAUUAAUGCAUGAAGACUUGGAGAAAACAACCAAAUUAAUCAACUAUAAGCUAGCUGGGUGUAUAAAUUGUUAGAUGCAUUAUAAGCAAAUAGCGUAGAGCCCUUUGGUUAGUUACAGAGACAGACAGUGUUUGUGUUUUUUAAUAGUUAAAGAUAUAGAUAGAAUGGGUGUUUCAAAAUCAAAAAUGGUGAUAAUGUUUGUUCUGUUAUUAAUAAUAUUAGAAGGUGGGGGAAGUGAGGGAUGUUUGGAUCACGAGAGAUUUGCUCUUUUGCGAAUUAAACUGUUCUUUGAUGAUCCUUUUAAUUAUCUUCACGAUUGGAUAGAUGAUGAGGGAGCUACUGAUUGUUGUCAGUGGGAAAGGGUUGAGUGCAGCAACACCACAGGCCGAGUGAUACAACUAAACCUUUUUUUAAUUGGGAAUUGGGAUUUGGGAGAGCGGUAUCUGAAUGCUUCUUUGUUUACUCCCUUUCAACAACUUGAGUCACUUUAUUUAAGUUGGAACAACAUAGCUGGUUGUGUUGAGAAUGAAGGUGCUUCGUUUAAUUUUAUUAAAUUACUUGCUCUCUCCUAAUUUAAGUUGAAUAUCAAGACUGAGCAACUAUAUGCAUAUCCAUUCAGUUGACAAUUCUGACAUUUUUUUGAAGUGAUUAAUUAAUUUUUGAAAUUACACCAGCAUCUAUGAUCCUUUUUUAUGUUACUUGCAGGUCUAGAGAGGCUAUCAAAAUUGAACAACUUGAAGAUGCUUAAUUUAAGUGAUAACUCGUUCAACAAUAGCAUCUUAUCAUCUCUAACUCAUCUUUCAUCAUUAAGAUCAUUAGAUUUAUCUUACAAUAGAUUGGAAGGAAGUAUUAAUGUUAAAGGUAUGUAAUUAAAACGUCAUCUCUUCUCCCAACUCUUUCAUUAACUUGCUAAAAUAAGAUUCAAGGUUUUGAAUUCAAUUUUUUUUAUGAUUAAUAUUAAAGGAAAAAAAACAAUUUUAAGAAAUUCAUAAAUACAAGUUCUAAUGUUUCUCAUAAUUUCAUCUUGUACUUUCAUAUGUCUUGAAUUUAAGAUUUAAAAAAAAAAAAAAACUCUAAUAGCGAACCAAACACCUCCACAACUUAUUAUUAAUAAUAUUAUUAUUUUUUCUGUGAGGUUUGAAACAUUAAACUCAAUUUGUACUCUUUACAGAAUUAGAUUCUUUGAGAGACUUAGAGGAGCUAGACAUUGCCGGGAACAAGAUUGACAAAUUUGUGGUCUCAAAAGGUGCUACAAAUACCAUAAAAAAUCUAAACUUUUACAAAUUAGCUAGAUUCUUUGCCAUUUGGUUAAUUAUUUUGCAGGUUUGAGGAAGUUGAAGUAUCUCGGCUUAAGUGAUGUGGGAUUCAAAGGAACAUUUGAUGUUCAAGGUAAGUCUAAGCCAUAUGCUUUCUCAUUUGAAUUCAUUAAGGAUAUCAAGAUCAUCGACAAAAUUAAAACAUACUUUAUUUUACUUCGUCAAUCAAUUAAUUAAAUACUAUUUGGCUUGGCUUCAUCAAUCAAUUAAGUCUUAUGUCUAGGCAUGUCUGCAGAAUUUGAUUCCUUGAGCAGCUUAGAGGAGUUGGACAUGAGCCGCAACGAAAUCGACAAUCUUGUGGUUCCUCAAGGUAAACAAUUAAAAUAUUAUUCAAUUACAUUAAUUUAAUUCAUUUGGUUAGGGAAGGCCCAAAAGGUACAAAAAAUAAAGGAAUAGAGAAUUUAUAUUAUUUAAAAAACAGAAUGUAAUAAAGAUUUGAUUCAAGUUCUUUAAUCUUUACAGCGAUUGAAAAACGAUCUUGCUCCUUUCCCAAAGCAUAAAAUACGAAUUGACUCCUAAUUAAAUUAAUCAUUUAUUUCUCUCAUCUCUGAAUUUAAACAAUGAAUUUUGAUCUUCAAUCCUAUUCUAAUUAUUAUUAUUAAAUAGGUUACAGAGGUUUGAGGAAGUUGAAAAGCAUGUAUCUAUCGGGAGUUGGAAUUAGAGAUGGAAGCAAGUUGUUACAGUCAAUGGGAUCAUUUCCAUCCCUCAACAUUCUUCACCUUUCGGAUAAUAAUUUUAUAGAAACAGUGACAACUACUACUCAAGGUAAGUAAAUGGUACAGAUGUGGCCAAAUUUGUAAAUAAACUAUUAAUUAAUUAAUUAAUUUUCCGUAUUGUUGAUAGUGCUAAAUUUGUUGCUUCGAAACAGAGUUGCGCAAUUUCACCAACUUGGAAUACUUGACAUUGGACAAUUCCUCUCUUCAUAUAAGCCUUCUGCAGAGCAUUGCAUCAUUCACUUUGUUAAAAAAAUUAUCUAUGACUAACUGUAAAGUCAAUGGCAUCCUAAGUGGUCAAGGUAAAAGAAAAGUGUUGAUUAUGAAUAAGUUGUUAAUUAAUUAAUUUUGUUGCUCCUUGCUUCUAAACAGAGUUGCGUAAUUUCACAACUUGAAUAUUUGACAUUGGACUCUUCCUCUCUCCAUAUAAGCCUUCUGCAAUUGCUUGACGAAUUUAUUUAUUAUUAUUAUUGUUAUUGUAUUGAAGUGGGGUGGGCAAGGGUUCACUCAAUUAAUAUGUGGGGAAUUAAAUAUUACCAUCCAGCAUAGAAUUGUGGAAAAUUAAAGCAAAAUGAGAAAUAUGGGAUGAAAGGAAGAAAGUUAAGGGCAUGAAAGACUUGGAGAAGACCGAAGACCACCAAAAUAAGUUAUGUGUUUGUUAUAAAUAACAUGGAGCCCCUUGUUGGUUGCAGCGGCAGGAGACAGAGAGAGUGUAUUUGAUUAAUUAAAAUUCAAAAUGGUGAUAAUGUUAGUUUUGCUAUUAUUAAUAAUAUUAUAAGAGGGACUUAAACAUUUCUUCAAUUCUCCUUAUAAUUUUUGUCAAGACUGGGUAGAUGAUGAGGGAGCUACUGAUUAUUGUCAGUGGGUUGAGGUUGAGUGCAGCAGCGCCACAUGCCUAGUGGUAUCUGAAUGCUUCUUGGUUUACUCCUUUUCAACAAUUUGAGUCACUUGAUUUAAUAUGGAACAAUACAGCCGGUUUUGUUGAGAAAGGUGCUUCAUUUAAUCUAAUAAAUUUACUUCCUCCCUCCUAAUUUAAGUGGAAUAUCAAGAUUGAGCAACUAUAUGCAUAUUCAUUCAAUUGACAAUGUUGACAUAUUUUUUAAAAUGUUUAAUUUCGAAAUUACACCAAAUAGAUGUGAUCUCUGUUUUGAUUUUACUUGCAGGGCUACAGAUGCUAUCAAGAUUGAGCAACUUGAAGAUGCUUGAUUUAAGUGGAAACUCCUUCUACAAUAGCAUCUUAUCAUCUGUAGCUCGUCUUUCAUCAUUAACAUCAUUAGAUUUAUCUGAGAAUAGAUUGGAAGGAAGUAUUAAUGUUAAAGGUAAGUAAUUAAAACGUCAUCUCUUCUCCCAACUCUUUCAUUAAUAUGCUAAAGUAAGAUUUAAGGCUUUGAAUUUAAUUUUUUUAAUGAGUAAUAUUAGAAAAAUAGUUUUAAGCAAUUCAUAAAUACAAUUUUCAAUGUUUCUUAUAAUUAUAUCGUGUACUUUCGUAUGUCUUGACUGUAAGAUUAAUAUAUAUAUAUAUAUAUAUACUCUAACUGUGAAGCAAAUCCCCCCAUGACUAAUUUAUCAUUUUUUCCAGUUAAAAAUGAUAAAAUUUACCAUUUGUUUAUAUUUAUUAAUUAACUCUGUUUUAAGUCUUGGCGUCUUGGCGUGUUUGCAGAAUUUGAUUCCUUGAGCAACUUAGAGGAGUUGUCCAUGAGCUACAAUGAAAUCGACAAUCUUGUGGUUCCUCAAGGUAAACGCUUAAAAUAUUAUUCAAUUACAUAAAUUUUAUUCAUUUGAUUAGGGAAGACCCAAAAGGUACAAAAACAUAAUAAAAAUAAAUAAAUAAAGAAACAAAACGUGGUAGUAUUAUUUCGAAAACAGAAUGUAAUAAAGAUUUGAUUCUAGUUCUUUAAUCUUUACAAUGAUUGAAAAACUAUACUGCUCCUUUCUCAAAGCCUAAAAUACGAAUUGACUCCCAAUUAAAUUAAUCAUUUAUUUUGUUCGUCAUUUAUUUCCCAAAGCAUAAUAUGUACAUCCUAUUCUAAUUACUAUUAAAAAACAGGUUAUAGAGGUUUGAGGAAGUUGAAAAGCCUGCAUCUAUCGGGAGUUGGAAUUAGAGAUGGAAUCAAGUUGUUACAGUCAAUGGGAUCAUUCCCAUCCCUCAACACUCUUUACCUGAUGGAUAAUAAUUUGACGGAAAUAGUGACAACUACUACUCAAGGUAAGUAAAAAGUACAGAUGUGGCCAAAUUAUAAAUAAACUGUUAAUUAAUUAAUUUUCCGUAUUAUUAAUAAAGCUAAAUUCGUUGCUUCUUCUUUCUAAUUCUAAACAGAGUUGCACAAUUUCACCAACUUGGAAUAUUUGAGAUUGGACCAUUCCUCUCUCCAUAUAGGCCUUCUGCAAAGCAUUGCAUCAAUGUUCCCUUCGUUAAAAAAUCUGUCAAUGUCUCAUUGUGAAGUCAAUGGUGCCCUACGUGAUCAAGGUAAAAGAAAAGUGUUGAUUGUGAACUCACUCAAUGGUGUCCUAUGUGUUCAAUGUUUUUUUUUAUUUAUUUUAUUGUUUAAUGUUUCUGCUAGGUUUUCCUCAUUUUAAGCGUUUGGAACAUUUGUACAUGGAUUACGCGCGCAUUACACUCAACACCAGCUUUAUUCAAAUCAUCGGUGAAUCGAUGCCUACUCUUAAGUACUUAUCACUGUCAAAUUCUAGUCUUAGCACUAACAGCAGGACUCUUGAUCAAGGUUAAUGAGAUGCUCCCACCCUCCCCUCUUAAUCUAUAAUAUUAAUUUUCGAUUAAAAUUAUGAUUACACAAACCAAUCACUUCUAUAUGAAAGAAUGCUCUGCAUUUGUUAAUUUUUAUAUCGUACUGAUGGAUGAAUUAAUAAAUUUUCAGGCCUCUGCUCAUUGGCGCAUCUGCAAGAGUUGUACAUUGAUAAUAAUGAUUUAAGAGGUAGCUUGCCUUGGUGCUUGGCAAAUAUGACAUCCCUCCGAAUAUUAGAUGUUUCUUUCAAUCAACUUACUGGAAGCAUCUUCUCAUCUCCCCUCGCUCAUUUGACAUCCAUUGAAGAGCUGUGGUUUUCAUACAAUCACUUCCAAAUCCCAAUUUCACUUGAACCACUUUUCAAUCACUCAAGACUCAAGAUAUUGCAAGCUGACAACAACGAAAUAAAAGCUGAAAUAAUUGAGUCACAUUCUUUGACCCCAAAAUUCCAAUUACAAUUUCUCUCCUUGUCCUCCGGUUACGGAGAUGGUUUCACAUUCCCCAAAUUCCUUUACCAUCAACAUGACCUACAGGAUGUUUAUUUCUCACACAUAACGAUGACUGAAGAAUUUCCAAUUUGGUUGUUGGAAAACAACACAAAAUUAGAAUUUCUUUUUCUCGUCAAUGAUUCUCUUGCAGGACCUUUCCGAUUGCCAAUUCAUUCACACAAGAGGUUAAGGUUGUUAGAUGUCUCUAACAACAACUUGGAAGGCCACAUUCCAAUAGAAAUUGGAGAUAUUUUACCAAGUUUAUAUGUUUUCAACAUUUCCAUGAAUGCUUUAGACGGUAGCAUUCCCUCUUCAUUUGGUAAUAUGAACUUCCUCCAAAUUCUGGACUUAUCCAACAAUCAAUUGACUGGUGAAAUCCCUGAGCACUUGGCUGUCGGUUGCGUCUACUUGGAGUCUCUUGCGUUAUCAAACAACAACCUAAAAGGUCACAUGUUUUCUAGAAAUUUUAAGCUGGUAAACUUGAAAUGGUUACAAUUGGAGGGCAAUCACUUCGUAGGAGAGAUCCCACUAAGUUUGUCUAAAUGCUCUUCGCUAGAAGGAUUGUAUCUUGAUAAUAACAGUCUCUCAGGUAAGAUUCCACGAUGGUUGGGUAAUCUCACAUGGUUAAUACAUCUUAUAAUGCCCAAGAAUCAUCUUGAAGGUCUUAUUCCAGUGGAGUUUUGUCAUCUUCAUUCGCUUAAGAUUUUGGACAUUUCAGACAACAAUAUAUCUGGAAGUUUACCAUCUUGUUUCCUUCCUCUCUCUAUUGAACAAGUUCACUUGUCAAGAAAUAUGUUACAUGGACAGCUAAAAGAAGGUACAUUCUUUAAUUGCUUUUCCCUUAUGAAGUUAGAUCUUAGCUAUAACCAGUUAAAUGGUAGCAUUCCAAAAUGGAUUGAUGGGCUUUCUCAGUUAAGCCACCUUAUCUUGGCUCACAAUAAUCUUGAAGGUGAAGUACCAGUUCAACUGUGCGAACUGAACCAACUGCAAUUGUUGGAUCUUUCUAAUAAUAAUCUUCAUGGUGUUAUUCCUGAUUGCUUUGAUAACACCACACUUCAUGAAAGUUACAACAAAAAUUCUAGUCCUGAUAAGCCAUUUGAAAUGUCUUUUUCUGUCAGAGGCCCUCAAGAAAAUGUAAAAAAGAAAAUCCUUGAAAUUUUGGAAUUCACAACAAAGAACAUUGCCUACACUUACCAAGGAAAAGUGCUUAGCCUCCUAUCAGGACUUGAUCUUUCUUGUAACCAGCUAAUCGGUCAUAUUCCUCUUCAAAUUGGAAAUUUGACCAGGAUUCAAACAUUGAAUCUAUCACACAACAGCUUGAUAGGAUCAAUCCCAUCAACAUUUUCAGAAUUGAAGCAUAUCGAAAGUUUGGAUCUUUCUUACAACAAAUUGAAUGGGAAGAUCCCUUAUCAGCUUGUGAAGUUAAAUACAUUGGCUAUUUUUAGUGUGGCAUACAAUAACUUAUCAGGCAAGAUCCCAGAAUGGACUGCACAAUUUGCAACCUUCAACGUGAGUAGCUAUGAGGGAAAUCUUUUUCUUUGUGGAUUGCCAUUGCCCAUUUGCAGCCCACCACCAACUAUGCCAAGGGCUUUAACUAGCAAUGAAGGAGAUGAUAAUUUAAUUGAUAUGGAUAGUUUCUUUAUCACAUUUACAACAUCGUACGUAAUUGUGAUAUUUGGAAUCGUCGGCGUUCUAUAUGUGAAUCCUUAUUGGCGACGUAGGUGGUUUUAUCUUGUUGAAAUGUGGAUAAUUUCCUGUUAUUAUUUUGUCAUAGACAAUCUUAUUCCAACAAGAUUUUGUUAUUGAAAUUAAUAAGUAGUUUAAUUAAGAUCCUUUAAGUACUAAUCAAGUUUGCUUAAGAAAUAGUUUUUUUUUUAAUUGAAAACUACAAGAAAAAUAGUAUAUGACAACAUGCAAAGAGUGUUGUAGAAGGGAUAUCACAACAAGCAUAUGAACGUUGCGGUUCUUGAUGUAGCGAAAAGUAGGUAACUUUCGACUACGUGCAAUUCACGUUGUUGAAAAAGAUAUGAACGUUGUUAAAUAUCAUAUGACAACUUACAAUGAUUGUGGUUAAAAAGAUCAUGUGCUUCCAAACUUUCGACUACAAGCCUAUGAAUGUGGCUAUAAAUUAUAUAGCAACAAGCAACUAAAUGUCGCCAUUAAUUCUAAUUUUUAUUUACAAUAAACCACAUAUCCUGCAUGUUGUCAAAAAAACAACAAUAUAUUAUUAAUAAUUAUUAUUAUCAUUAUUAUGACUACUAAUAUUAUCAUUUUUAUUACACUAUUACUGCCGCCAUAUGUAAAAUUCAUGCGAACUAAUUCUACAAUUUGACUUGUUAUAAUAAGUUUUCAUAAACUUAGUAAUAAGCACACAUCACAGCUAAGGGUCACACCAACAUUUUUGUAUUCAUACAAAUUCUAUUACAUAGCAAAUAUGAAAAACACCAUAUACCAUCAGUUUAAAUUUCAUCUAGCCAAACACCCAAAAAAUUAGUAAAAAAACACAUUAGUGGCUGUUGCAAUUCCAUAAAUAUCAACUUAAAAAAAACCAUCUCCAACGAAAGCUUCUUCAAUUUAGCAAUUCCAUCAAAAACUUGUUCAGGGCAUAUAUACACUCCUAAAAAAAUAUUAACUGAAUCAAUAUUCAUUUGUUGCAUUUGGAAUAUAAUUAUACACACACACACACACCCAAGAAGAAUAUUUUAUGCCUACAUACCUUUUUUAAAACAAUUUGAUACAACUUCCUGAUUAUUUCUCAUUUCUCUAAACUUCUUGCUUAUUGCCUGUCCGGCAAAUAUUAAAAUGUAUAAUUUUCAUAGACAUGAAACUUAACAUGGAUACUAUAAGUGCAAUGCUACGGACUAGCUUACUUUAAAUUCUGGAGAUAAUCUUUACUUGACAAUAUUAGCCCAAUCUUCUUUGAAAAUUAUACUUUUUUGGCCUAAUAAGAGCAACCAGCUCUGUCAUGUACUUUUUUGGUUUCCUUUAUCUUAGUUGUUAGCUCUGAUUUGUAUUGUCUCCAACAAUCACCCAUCGUUCUUAAUGCCAAGCAUUCAAGAUAAAAAAUGUAUUUCUAAAUAAAGAUAAUUACUAUGUAAUUCCAUAAACAUGCACCAAGGGCCAAUAGUUCGCUGUCAACUAAAAGCUAAUUUUCAAUGCACACAAGCACAUGCUCUCAUGUUAUAACUCUAAUAAAAGUGCAUAUUUGUAAGAAUUUACACCUACUAGCUGGCCAUAGUCGUUAAAUUCAAUGCUUAAUGAUGGAGAACAAUCUUGAAUCAUUCCAAGUUUGGUUGGACCUCUUUUGUCUUUUGGUGCAUCUAUCAUCAGAUUGAGGUUUGUGUGCAUUUUCCCUAUUGCUAGUUGCUAAUGAUCCAUUCUCCUCUUGAAUAGUUGCAUUUUCUCUAAAUUUAUCUCGACUUGCCUAGAAGACUUUGUAACGCAUAGCAAAAUUAAUGUAGGAAUAAACAUACUAGAAAAAAGUAUAUGAACAUGAAAAAGUAUAAUUUAAAGUUGAACAAAAAAAAAAAAUUCUUACUUAUACUAAACAAAAUGUAAUCACUCUCACUGGCCAAUAAUAAAUCUUGGAACCCUCUUUGUGGUUUUUUCAAUACUAAAUACUAAUUUGAUUUUUCAUUAUCCUUAGAAUAAAUCCAAAUUGGCUUUGUCCCUCAUGAAGUUUAACCAAAGUGAAUCCUUCGUCAACUUUAACACCAUUAACUAUAUUAGUUCAGUCACAUUUGAAAAUAGGGAACUAAAAGUAUUGUAAUCAAGCACUAAUAUAUCUCUCAAAACUCCAUAGUAAGUAACUUUUCCAAAAGAGAAAUCCAUUUUGAAUUUUAAUUAUACAAGGGGGAAACAGUACCUCAAGUUUGCUCUAUAAUCAGAUCCUAAAAUGUCACAGCUGAUUCAGGAGAUUAAUGGCAUUAACAGAAGUAACUAGUCAACAACGCCAAUAAGAGAUUAAAAUUGUGCCUUUCAAUUGAAAAAAAAAAUCAUUAUCCGUCUCACUAGUAAUAUUUACUCAUUUAAAUUAUUUUUACCGAAAUCAGUUUAUCUUGAAAAUAAAAUAUAAUCUUCAAAAUUAUCUUUUCCAUGUAAAAUAUUUAGCUUCAGGCGUUUCAAAAGAAAAUAAUCUUUUGGUUUCAAUCACCCACCACAGAAAAAGUAACAUUUAUUUUAUUCAUGCAUAACAGAUGAACCCCACAAGCAAUAAAGAAUUGUGCCACUUACCAAACAAUGAAUCUACAAUGGGACGAUGUCGAGUGAUUUUGAGUGAGAAGAAGUAUAGGGUGAAGACCCAAAUCUUCUAAAAACAAAAUAGGUGGAAAGAGUAAAUUAUUAAUUAAAUGGAAUUAGGGAAGUGAAAGUGAGCUUUAUCAAUGAAAUUGAAAAGAAGAGUACCUGAUACACUCAUUUCCUUGGGUGGGCAGCCGCCAUUACGAUGAAGAUUGAGAGGCCUGCUUUGCUUUAGUGGCAGAGAAAGAGUAAAGUGGUACUGCAAAGAGAACCGAGGGUUUCACUAAGUCAAUUUGUCUCUUUUUUCCCCCCUUUUUACCGCGCUUUAACCCGUGCGCGCAAAAUGAAAUUUUUUAUUUAUUACACAUUAUUUUCUAUUACUUUACUUUUAAAAAAAUAUUGUAGUUAAUGAUACCCUCAAAAAAUUUAUUUGUUAUAAUACUUUUAUGCAUAAAUUCCAUGAGCAACUAUUUAUGUUUUAAUUUUCACCAAUUUCAUAUUAAAUGAGAUAACAAAGAAUUUUACAAAAAAAAAAAUAUUUUCAACAACAUGCAACAUAUAAACGUUCUUAUUUAAAUAAUAAUUUUUGCAACAGGCAAUUCAUUGUUGCCUUAAAUAAUUAAUUGCAACAUGCAAAUUAUGAAUGUUGUUAUUACAUACUCCUAUACCGCAACAAAUGGUCGCUCGUUGUCGUAAGGUUUUAGACCACAGUCACUUUUUGCGUGUUGCUAAAACUUUAUAUUUACCAACAUGCAGUUUAUGACUGUUGUUAAUUAUAAAUUUGACAACAUUCCAUCUGUGCACGUUGUUAAAAUGAUGUUGCCUUAUCCCAAUUUUCUUGUAGUAGUAUUGAUCAUUAUAUCACUUCCAGCUUCAAAGCACCUAGCAUUUGUCUCUACACUUAGAAAGCUGGAUGAUUUUGCUUUGCAGAUCUAGAUUUGAAGUAGGAUGGUUCCAAACCCAUAUCUAUCUAUUGUAGCUUACCUAUGUUGUACAGCAUACUUAAACGAUAACACCAUCUCCAAUGUUAAAAGUAGCCAUUAUAUAAGAUUCUUAUGGAAACUAUAUUCGAAAUAGAUUUAUAAUCAUACAUAGGAAAUGAAAAACCUUGCUGCACUUGCUCGCCUAUUUUACUCUGAGCAAGAACAUCAUCUUUUUCAUUUGCAGCAUUAACAUCAAACCAAGGGAUGGAGACCCAGACAUUUCAUCAAGAAAGGCAUAAAUCUACUAAAGUUGAAGCUUUGACAAAAAAUUCAGUCGAAAGUCAAUGUCUGACCACAAGAAAGGGCACAACAACAUCAUUCUAGAAGAGAUGAAGCAAUAUUCUCAAAGCUAACGCUCUCAAAUACACCACACCAGAAUUUCAUAUCUCCUCGUCAAUUUUAAAAACUAAAGAUAAUUAGGAUUUAACAUUAGUUUGUUAUACAUUAGUUUCAUAAUUUACAAGCCAAUGAAGAUGAAGAUUAUGCCAAUGAAUUCAAAUUAUAUCAUACAUUCUCUGGAUGUUUCCAAAAAUUUACAAGUCGAUCCCACAUAUUUCAUAAUUCUAAGACUGGAAAGUUUCAUUAGUUAGAAAUUCAUUAUCUUCAAGUGGAAGAUGAAGAAAAACAUUAUGCAAGUGAUUCAUAUUAUAUCAUACAUUCUCCGAAUGCAACUAAAAUCAACAAGUUCAUGCCCACAAAUUUGAUAACAUUAUGAUUGGAAAGUUUCACAGAGACUUGAGAAAGGCAUUAUGAUUGAUUUGAGUUACUUUGUGAUCAAGCUACUAAUAUAACAUUCAAUUCAAGGAGGGAAUAAGUUGGGAAGAAAUAGUAGUAAAAAUUUGUUACUACAUAAUUCUCCUCAACUUUGAGAUAAAUACAAAUGUGAAAAUGUAUACGAUCUAAUAUUACAGAUAUGAAAAUGCAAAUGAUCACACAUAUUACUUGCAACUUAGCAAGCUUUAACUAAGAGGAGCAAUCAAACUACUUAUCAAUUGUCGUAGACAUUCCGUAAUCUAAAAUGGAAAUAUAAUGCAAGAAAAAGAACAUACAGAUACUUGGCAGAAGUUCAUUAAGAACUCCAACCAUAUUCGAGUCAUGAGUUUGCUUUUGAUAUCUUGUUAGCUGGGGUUUUCUCCUGUCUAUUGACGUAUGCUGAGGGAAAUGACACAACUUAAAAGUAAUUUUUAACUCCCAAGUCUAAGAGUGUCUUGUUGUAUUAUAACUCGGUGAGCCCGAUGUCGAUCCACAGAGAAAAGAUUUAAUUAGUUUACUUUAUUUUAACUAAAAAUUGAAAUUAAAACUUAAAUAUAAACAACUUAAUUUAAAUGAAACUAUGAAAUUAAACUAGUUAUGAUUAUGGAUCCACUCUUAGAAGUAAAUAAAACUUAAUAAAUUCUUUUUGCCCUUUUUUUACAUUUAUUGCCCAAAAGAUUAAUUAUAUAAAUUAUUAUUAUUUUCCCUUUAAUUUUAUGAUGGAUUAAGUAUUUAUUGUGCCAAAAUUUAAUUUGUCUACAAUAAGUCAAAAUACCAUUUUACCAUACCUUAUAUUAAGAUAUUAAGAAUUUAUUGUGCCAAAUUCAUUUGUUUGUCUACAAUAAAUCAAAAUUUCAAAAUAUAAAAUAUGUAUAAAAUUAAAUAGAAAAUAAUUUAAUUUAUAAAAUUAAAAAUAGAAUUUGCUUAAAUCAUAUUUAUUUCCUAAGAGUUUCACCUUCCCCUAACUAAUAUUAUUUAGUUAAGCAUAAUUAAAAUAAAAAGAAGUAGUAAAAUUGAAUUACUUAUAAUUAAAAGAAAUAAAAACAACUAAAAUUGGAAAUAAAAAUAAUUUUAUUUAUAAAAAUAAUUAUACAAAAGAUUAAAAACACACCUGGAAAUCAAGAUUAUAAGGAGAUGGAGAGAAUUUGAGAAGAAAAGAGUUGUAGAGAGAUGAUUAAAAACAUAAAAAUGAGGCUCUAUUUAUAGAAAAAUAAAUUCAUAAUCCAGUGCUUUGCGGUCCAUCAUAAGCUUCAUGCAUGUGCUCCUCACAACCUUUAGAUCAAGAUCCAAUGGCUGGUCAAACUUCAAAAGUCAACAUCACACGUGGCAUCGUUUGACUCGUUCGAUUUGCCCAAAGAACGGUUGAGAUUUGGAGGGUUAAUGGGUGGAUCAGGUCGACCCGAAUACAAAGAUUCGGAUCCUCCAACUUGCUUCACCAACCAUUGCCACGUGGCACACUCAUGGCCAUUGAAUCAUGAACGGUUGAGAUUUAGUCAAAAUUGCCAGCUAUCCCAUGCACUCAUACCUAUUGUAAGCUCAUUUCAUCAUCCAAUCAGUGCUUGGUCAACAGGAAAAGUCAACUUUUUUUUACACAAGCCCAAUUUUAAGCCGAUCUUGACUGAUUUUAAGGUUUUCGGACCUCCGGAAUCCAAAUUUGACCUUCGUUUAUCUGUUUGGAGCCUCGAAUUACGUGAAAUCAAUAUUUUUCCUAAUAAACACAUAAAAAUACAUAAAAUUAAAUAUAUUUAAAACAUAAUUAAUAAUUCCUAAUAUAUUACAUAAACAAAAAUAUAAAUUAUAACAUAAGCAUAAAAUAACAUAUUAUCGCUUGAUAAUUAAACAAUUUUUAAUACUAAUCACACCCCCCAACCAGCUUAUUGCUAGCCCUCUAGCAAUUAAAGCGUUAUAUUAAAUUAAGAUUUAUAAAAUUCACAUGCAAGUUAAUAAUUGUUCAUCUAUCUUCUAAAUUACCAAAUAAAUGAACUCUCCCAAAUUUCUUUACCAUAUUGAUGUUCCUUCAUUAUCCAGAAUAUCAUCAAACCUUCUUUUGUGCUCCAGUAAUUAACACAAUACUUAUGGGGCUUCAUUAAAAGAAAAACAACAUUUUCGUUACAAAAUUCAUUAGAAAUUAUAUCUUUAGGCAAUAGAUUAUUCACACACACACACACACACACACACACAUAUAUAUAUAUAUAUAUUUUAAAUAUUACAUUUCUAACCCGUGUAGCAAGCUUUAGGUCAGUGACUCCCAAACCAGUUGACCUUAGGGCACUAGGUGUUGAAACACCCCUACGGACUUAAUUACUCGGGUUUCUAGAUAUAACAAAAUUAAAAACAUUUUUUUUUCUUUUUUUUCUUUUUGUUUUUGUUUUUUUUUUUUUUUGCAAUAUACACUUUCUACUACCUUAGAUACUAUUCCUAAUAAAUCAAAAGAACUAAAUGCUGUAAAAUUUUAACUUACAACCCACUAGUAUGUAUCAUAAUGUGUGUGUGAAGAAUGAUUCAACAAUACCUGUUAAAUGAGUAAACAAUUAAAUAACUUAAUAACCAAGUGGAGAGUUCACAAAUUCGGGUAAUUCAAAGAAAAGGGAACAAAAACAAUUUACUAUGAAUCUCAAAAUCAAAAUAUAAUACAACAAGACUAUUAGGAUGCGUCUCAAAAGUCGUGACUCUUUACACGGCCAUCCUAGACAAAAACAAAAAUGUUUUUUUUUAAGAAAGAAAAGAAAAAAGAAAAGAGAAAAACAACACACAUAUUUAAAAACAUACGUCAAUUAUCCCCACUCCACAACCUAAUCUAAACAUUAUCUUAACAUUUUAUAAUUUUACAAAUAUGCAAAAAAUAAUAAUAAUAAUAAUAAAAGAGAAUAAUAAAAGAAAAAGAAGAGGAGAUCUCACCUGAACUUGAUGCAGAAGCUUAAAAGCGGAUAACAAAGAUGAAGAAAAAGUCAAUUUUUUUUUUUUAACAACACCCUUAAGACUAAGAAGAUGCGUUUCUAGAGGUACUGCAUUCUCUAUAUCCUGUCAUCUUCGACUCAAAUUUGUCCUAAGUUAGUCUUUACAGAAAAAAAAAAUUUUGUUUUUUUGUUUUUUUUUUUUGUAAACACAUCACCAGGACUAAGACAUUCCACAAUUAUUAACUAUUCCCUCCCCCUAACCUGAAAAAGACAUUGUCCUCAAUGUUUUAAAAGGAAAGAGAAAGAGUUUAGAAGACAACACAUGAACACUACAACAGAAAAUAUUUAGAGACGGAGAGUUAAAUCUAAAUCGCACUUCUUAUUACUGCUACUGUUACCGCUACCAUCAUUAGUUGACCAAUUCAGUGUAAAAGUUUUUGGAUUUGGCUCUGGUGUAUAAGCUUGUAAAAGAUCAAGUAACUCAUUAGUAGUAGAAGCAGAAAUAAAGAGUUUUUUUUAUAGAAUAUGGAACAAAAUGAUUCUUUAUUGCAUGGUUAAUAAAAGUUAGCAAGCCGUCAUAAAAAUUAUUAACAUUUAACAAACCGAUGGGUUUUUUAUGAAUGUUCAAGUGGGCCCAGGAUGCAAAUGUAAUUAGUGCCUCAAAAGUUGCAAGAUCUCCUGGCAAGAAAAUAAAAGCAUCAGCAUGAUUCAUCAUUUCAGAUAUUCUGUCUUGCAUACUUGAUACCACUAAUUCUUCUCCAAUUGGUGGGCCAAACAACUUCUGAGACAAGUCUUGAUAACCCUCGUUCACCUCCUCCAUAUGCAAGAUGCAGUUUCCUCUCUGCUAUGACACGACCAAGAUCUACAGCUGCCUGAACGAACUCUUUGUACUUUCCAUAGUAAAACCCAGAAAAGCACACAAAUGUUUUUGAAUUGUUUACUCGAAGAUGCUGCCAUUGGACUAAUUUUCAAAAACAAGUUGUGAGUGUUUGAAAAACGAGCUCAUAUUUAAAGAUCUUGGUGACAUAAAUAAUGAGAAACAGCUGUAAAUGGGUUGGCAUAUUUGUCAAAUGAAGAGUAAAGCUCGUGGCUCAAUAAUUCAAAAAUAAACAGUAAAAAGAAAAUAAUGAUUAGAAAAAGCAAACAGUAAAAGAAAACAAUAUUUAUUAAAUACAAAAUCACAUCACUAAAUGCAAUAAUACAAAUGAUAAAAUAACAGUGAAGUGAAAGGAUAUUUACUGGUAGUUGUGAUUGCGGCUCACAUCUUCCUCUGGUUUUACGUCCAGUAACGGCUUGAAUGCCCUCUAUGGGUCGAGGAUCGGCUUGCCAUCCAGUUUUCUUAUAAACUGGCAAACAUGGUCUUUUUGAGUCAGAUUCCCAAGACUAAACUGUGUACUUUAUUUUUGGAAUACUAUCCACAAAUUAUAAAUCUCAUGUUGCACAAAUUCACUUCAAUGCGUCUCAAGAGAUCGUAAGAUAUCAUCCAAUGAUUCUUUACUCAUGCCAUCUUUAACGAAUUUAAUUUUAUCUUUACGAGUAUCAGAAACCAUUCCUAAAGAUUUACAAUCUGGUCGUUUGCAACCAAGUCUUACACAGUUAUGACAUUUUGAGCCAAGUCGUUUAGCUCUCCUUUUCUUAGCAAACGUACUUUUACCAAAACCAGGCAUGUAAGAAACAAAUGGAUCAGAAAACUCACCUGCUAAUCAGACCUUUGCUUCAAUUAACCAACGAAUGUCAGAAGGAAUGCCAUUGAUCAUUAACAAACGCAGUCGUUCACAACGAGCUUUGUAAAUUUUCCUGAGGGCAUUCUGAGGGAGAGAGGGAAAAUGCUUAUUGAGUUUAUGUUGUAUUUCUUCCAUGUUUGAUUUUGGGGUUUCAGUUAUUGUGGGAAACUGAAGAUACCGACUUAAGAAGUCACGGAGUACCGUUAUCCGCCAUUUAUACGGGAAAAUAAAUCAAAACACACCAAAAUCAAAUCUGCAAAAUCAAAUCAAACGUGAAAGCGAGCAAAAAGAAACACACAAUAUAAAAGGAAAAUGAACUUACAUUCGUCCUCUCAUUGAGUUAACCUCAAGCUCUAAUUGAAAUUCAUAUAUGCCACUCUCUACUGUUCUGAGUUGUCCCUCUAAAUCCUCAACAUAAGACACGAAUUCUGGUGGUUGCAGAUCCCAAAGUGGAUGUGAUUUACAGCUUUGUAUCAGGCCUCUUAAGUGAAAUUUCACACGCAGAAAUCUUUUUAGAUGUGCGAACAUGAAUUUUCUCAUUGAGGUGCUCAUGAUGUAAAAUGAAAAUUGAUGAAAGAAUGUACAACUGUCAAACAAACACGCUUACACAAGAAAAACAAUGUUAAAAAAAAUAUGUACAGUGCAUCAAUCUAGAGAAAAAAAAAUCAAACAAUGAAAUGGUAAAAUAAUAGUAAAACAAAAAUAAAUAAAUAAAUCAUUAAAGACUUAAUCAAGAACUGGUAGGUCACCCAAAUUAAUUUCGGUGUCCUCGUCACGUGGGUGAUGUUCCAGAUAUGGUUUUAAUCUUUGACCAUUAACUUUAAAUGUGACACCAUUCUUUGAAUUCUCAAUUUCUAUGGCCCCAUAUGAAUAUACAUUUUUUACAACAAAUGGGCCACUCCAUUUUGACUUUAACUUCCCUGAAAAUAAAUGAAGACGAGAAUUAUAAAGCAACACUUUUUGACCAAUCUCAAAUGUUUUUCGAAAAAUUCUUUUAUCAUGAAAUGCUUUUGUUCUUGCCUUAAUAAUUCUUGAAUUUUCAUAUGCAUCAUUCCUUAAUUCCUCAAGUUCAUUCAAUUGCAAUUUUCACACAUUAUCAGCAUCAUCUAAAUUUGAAUUAAAAGCUUUAAUAGCCCAAAGUGAUUUAUGUUCAAGUUCAACAGGUAAAUGACAAGGUUUACCAUAAACUAACCGAUAAAGUGACAUUCCUAAUGACGUUUUAAAUGCAAUAUGAUAGGCCCAAAGUGCAUCAUUAAGUCUAAGCGACCAAUCUUUUCGGUUUGGGUCAACCGUUUUUUUCCAAAAUUUAUUUUAUCUCCCUAUUUGCUAAUUCAACUUGACCAUUUGUUUGAGGAUGAUAAGGGGUAGCAAUUUUAUGUGUAAUUCCAUAUUUCUUCAUUAAAGACUCAAAUGACUUAUUACAAAAAUGCUUACCUCCAUCACUGAUAAUGGCUCGAGGGAUUCCAAAUCGACUUAAAAUAUUUUCUCUUAAAAAUUUAACCACAGUUUUACUAUCAUUAUUUCGACAGGAAAUUGCUUCAAUCCAUUUUGAGACAUAAUCAACUGCAACUAAUAUAUACACAAAUCCAAAAGAUGAUGAAAAUGGACCCAUGAAAUCAAUUCCCCAACAGUCAAAUAUUUCAAUUUCAAGUAUGGGAUUUAAGGGCAUCAUGUUUCUUUUUGUAAUUGAUCCCAAUUUUUGACAUUUUUCACAACUUUUGCAAAAUUCAUAUGUGUCUUUGAACAUGGUAGGCCAAUAAAAUCCACACUGUAAAAUUUUAGCAGUAGUUUUUCUUGAAGAAAAGUGACCACCACAUGCUUCAGAAUGACAAAAAUUAAUGACACUACUUACCUCAUUAUCAGGAAUACGUCGCCGAAAAAUUUGAUCUGGGCAAUAUUUGAACAAAUAAGGGUCAUCCCAAUAAAAUUUCUUUACUUCAACAAAAAAUUUCUUUUUCUCUUGAGCAUUCCAUUGCAAAGGCAUUAUACCUGUAACAAGGAAAUUAACAAUGUUAGCAUACCAAGGCAUUGAAGUAACAGAAAAUAAAAAUUCAUCAGGGAAAGAAUCAUUUAUGGGUGUUAUAUCAUUGCAGAAUUCGGAUGUGAGUCUUGAUAAAUGAUCAGCAACAACAUUUUCAGCACCCUUUUUAUCUUUGAUGGUAAGGUCAAAUUCUUGUAGUAACAACAUCCAACGAAUUAGUCUUGGUUUGACAUCCUGUUUACUCAUCAAAUAUCUCACAGCAGCAUGGUCAGUAAACACAACAGAUUUAGAGCCAAGCAAAUAUGAACGGAAUUUGUUUAAUGCAAAUACCACAGCAAGUAAUUCUUUUUCAGUUGUAGAAUAAUUCAUUUGAGCACUAUUCAAAGUCUUACUCGCAUAAUAAAUCACAAAAGGCUUACCAUCCCUUCUUUGUCCUAAAACAAUACCAACAGCAAAAUCACUUGCAUCACACAUUAAUUCAAAUAACAAAGACCAAUAAGGAGAUUGCAUAAUAGGUGCAGAUGUUAAAAGACAAAUUAUUUUUUUAAAAGAUUUUUGGCAAUCAUCAUUCCAUUCAAACGGUGCAUCUUUUAAUAAGAGGUUACAAAGUGGUUUAGAUAUGGCACUAAAGUUUUUUAUAAACCUCUUAUAAAAUCCUGCAUGUCCUAAAAAGGAUCGCACAUCUCUAACUGUUUUUGGUUGUGGCAAUUUAGAUAUGACUUCGAUUUUUGCUUUAUCAACUUCAAUUCCUUUAAUAGAAACAACAUGACCCAAAAUAAUUCCAGAAGUAACCAUGUAGUGACAUUUUUCCCAAUUCAACACGAGGUCUUUUUCAACACAUCUUUUUAAAACUUUCUCCAAAUUAUCAAGGCAAUCAUCAAAAGAAUUCCCAAACACAGCCAAAUCAUCCAUAAAGACCUCUAAACAAUGUUCAACCAUAUCACAAAAAAUGCUUAACAUACAUUUUUGAAAUGUUGCAGGAGCAUUACAAAGCCCGAAUGGCAUUCUUUUAAAUGCAAAUGUUCCAAAAGGACAUGUAAAUGUGGUCUUUUCUUGGUCCUCAAGUGCUAUAGGAAUUUGAUAAUAGCCUGAAUAUCAAUCUAAAAAACAGUAGUAGGGAUGUCCUGCUACUCUUUCUAAUAUUUGGUCAAGGAAUGGUAAUGGAAAAUGAUCUUUUCUAGUGGCUUCAUUUAAUUUUCUAUAAUCAAUGCACAUGCGCCAACUAGAUGUAAUUCGCGUUGGAAUUAAUUCACCUUUUUUCAUUUUUAACAACAAUGAUUCCAGAUUUUUUAGGCACUACUUGUGUAGGACUUACACACUUACUAUAAAAAAUAGGGUAGAUAAUUCCCACAUCAAGCAAUUUAAGGACUUCUGUUUUGACAACCUCUUUCAUGUGUGGGUUUAAUCUUCUUUGAGGUUGUUCACAUGUUUUAGCAUUUUCUUCCAAAUUAAUUCUAUGUGUGCAAAUUAAGGGAUUAAUACCUUUAAUAUCAUUUAAAGUCCAUCCAAUUGCAUUUUUAUACUUUUUAAGAACAGGUAGUAACUUACCUUCUUAGUCGCUUGUUAAAAUAGAAGAAAUCACAACAGGAUAAGUUUGUUCUUCUCUAAGAAAAGUAUAUUUCAAUCCUUCAGGCAAAGGUUUCAAUUCCAUUUUAGGUGCUUCUUGUUGUUCUGUCUUUUCAAUACUUCCAAGCUCCUCAAAUUUUGGCUCGUCAUCAUAAUUUUGUGAAGUCUGCACAGAAUCAAGCAACGAAUUUAUAUUAGAAAUAUUUAGUUCAAGUUGCUUAUUUGACUCAAUUGAAUUAACUAAAUAAACAUUUGAGAGUUUAGAAAAAUCCCCUUUUUGAAUAUUUUUCUUGAUACAAGAUUCAAACAAUUCAUUUUGUUCAUCAGUAUCAUCUUCAUUCUCAUUUUCUUUAUUAGGUUGCCUGCACAUGUUGAAAACAUUUAAUUCCAAAGUCAUAUUCCCAAAAGAUAAAUUCAUUAAACCAUUCCUACAAUUAAUCAAAGCAUUAGUAGUUGCUAAAAAUGGUCGACCUAAAAUUACAGGAAUUGGUUUGUAAUUAUUCACAACAGGUUCAGUUUCCAAGACAAUAAAAUCUACAGGAUAGAUGAAUUUAUCAACUUGUACUAAAACAUCUUCCACUAUUCCUUUUGGUACUUUAACUGAUCUAUCGGCAAGCAAAAGUGUAGUUGAAGUUGAUUUUAACUCACCAAGAUUAAGUUGAAGAUAAACUGAAUAAGGAAGCAAAUUAACACUAGCUCCAAGAUCUAGUAAAGCAUGCUCAAUUUUGUGAUUACCAAUAAUACAAGAAAUGGUAGGACAACCAGGAUCUUUAUAUUUCAACUUAUUAUUAGUAGACAGAAUUGUACUUACCUGUUCGGCCAUGAAAGUACUCUUUCUUACCUUCAAUUUCCUCUUAACAGUGCACAAGUCCUUUAAAAAUUUGGCAUAUGAAGGUACCUGCUUGAUUGCAUCUAAUAGAAGAAUGUUAACUUUCACUUGCUUAAAGAUUUCAUAAAUUUCAGAAGAGUGGUUUAUUCAAUGCAUGCGGAAAUGGUGGUUCAGGUGGAACACUAGUUAUUUCUUCACUAGGUGUAAGUUCAUUUAGUCCUUCCUUACCCUUUGAAUUUUCAUUAUUUUCAUAAGGUUCAGGCAUAGGUCUAUCAACAACCUUACCACUACGAAGAGUUAUAACUGACUUGACUUGGUCUGUGGGUGGAUUUUGUUGAAUUUUAGGAUUUGGUUGUGGUUGAGCUGGAAAUUUUCCUUUUUCUUGAAUGGUGAGUGCAUAAGCAAUUUUAGCAAGAGUAUCUUUCAAAUCAGAAAAAGUUUGUGCAUUUUGAUUGUUAAUAACAUCUUGCUUUCUGAUGAAUGAAUGCAUUGUGCCUUCCAGAUUUUUCCAGGGUGGUGGAACAUAUGGUGCAUAAGGCUGAGGAUUUUGAAAAUUUUGUGGAGGUGGUGCUUGUGAAGAUUGUGCAUUAUUAUUAUUCCUCCAACUGAAAUUCGGAUGAUUUCUCCAACCAGGAUUAUAAGUCUAUGAAUAUGAGUUUGGUUUAUUGAAAGUGUUAAUGACAUUAGCUUGAUCAUUUAGACAUUCUUUAAGUGUAGGCAAAGUGGGACACUCUUGAGUGAAAUGAUCAUUCGAACUACAUAUGUUACAUGCAAUUUCUUGAACAUAUUUUACUUGAUCACUCUUUUUAUGCUCCAAAGCUUCAACUUUCCUAACUAGGGAUGCAAAUUUUGCUUGUAAAUCAUGAUCUUCCCUAAGGUUAUAGAUUCCUCCACUAGAUGGAGAUGAUUGUUGCUUAUUUGUCAAUUCAAAAAUUCCAACAGUAUCCCAAUGUUGUGUAUUUUCAGCUAAUUGGUCAAGGUAAUCUAGUGCAUCUUCAGGAUUUUUAUCCCUAAAUUCACCAUUACACAUCAUUUCAACAACCGGUCUACUUUGGGGUAUUAAGCCCUAGUAGAAGUAAGUGACCAAUCGCCAAGUUUCAAAACCAUGAUGUGGGCAUAUGUUAAGCAACUCUUUAAACCUAUCCCAACAUUGGUAUGAUGUUUCUCCAUUUUUUUGAGUGAAAGAAGUGAUUUGCCUUUUAAAAGAAUUUGUUCUAUGAGGUGGAAAUAAUUUUUUCAAAAACUGUUCUUACAUGUUAUUCCAAGUUCUUACUGAUCCAGAUCUAAGGUUUUGUAGCCAAGUUUUUAUCUUUUAAUGAAAAAGGAAAAAGCUUUAAUCUAAUUAUGUUCAUGCUACAAUUUUGGUCCGUGUAUGUAUUACAAACUUCCUCAAAAUCUCUUAGAUGCAAGUACGGAUUCUCAGAUUCUAAACCAUGAAAUGUUGGUAAAAGUUGGAUAAUACCUGGUUUAAAGUUGAAUCGAGAUGCUUCUGGAGGAAAUACUAUACACGACGGUGCUCCAGUCCUGGUUGGAUUCAUGUAGUCUCUCAGAGUUCUUGGUUGAUUUUGAUCAUGCCCAUGUUGGGAUUGGUUGUCUCCCUGAUCAAUUUGAGGGUUAAGUUCGCCCAAAACGUUUUCGUCUUGAUUCUCAUCCAUGAUUGGUGGUGGAGAUUGAGAUCUACGAAUUAACCUGCCACUUGAAGAUCGAGACCAACGUCUCAUGCAAUGGUUAUAUUAUAAAGAUAAUAUUUACACAAAUUGAUAACAAAAUAAAAUUAAAAAAAUUAAAUAUGCAAAUAAUAUAAGUGUACGAAAGAAAAUUAAAUAACAAUUUUGGUGGUUGAACCCACCAAUUAACAAUAAAUUAAGUAUAAAAUAAAUGCAAAAGAAAGAAAAAGAAAAAAAAAUGGUGGUUGAACCCACAAGUUAAAAAAAAUAAAGCAAAAAAAAUACAAAAUUAAAUAAAUACUGAAAAUUAAAUAACUGAAAAUAAAAAUUAAGAGUUAGUAGUUAGUUUGGUGGUUAAACCCACCAAUAAAGCAAAAAUAAAUAAAUAAAUACGAAAUAAAAUAAAUGUAGAAAAUUAAAUAACUGAAAUUAAAAAAAGUUAGGAGUUAGCAGUUAGUAAUUAAGAGUUAGUAAUUAGAGUUAGUAAUUAAAGUUAGUUUGGUCCAAAUUAAGUCCAAAAUAAGUCCAAAUAUGUCCAAAGUAUGUCCAAGUCUUGAUUAUUUUGAGGAAUUUCGUCUAGGGAUUCUAUUGCAAAUUAUUUUUAAUUUUAUGGUCAAACUAUAAUUUUUAGAAGUUUAGAAUUGAGCAAUUUGGGAUGAAAGUGAAAUGAUUGAAAGAUGUUGGGGUGAGAAUGUAAUUACCAGAAGAUUGGGCUAGAAACGGAAAUUGUUGGGGUGAAACGAGAAUUAUGAAAGAUAUGGGGACAAAAGAGAAUUUAAGAAAAGGAAAGGGGGCAAACGACAUUUUACAUAUAAGAGAAAAAUAAAAAACGGAAAAACAAACCAAAUAAAAAAAACUUUUCCCCGGCAAUGGUACCAAAAACUUGACACAACUUAAAAGUAAUUUUUAACUCCCAAGUAUAAGAGUAUCUUAUUGUAUUAUAACUCGAUGAGCCCGAUGUCGAUCUACAGAGAAAAGAUUUAAUUAGUUUCCUUUAUUUUAACUAAAAAUUGAAAUUAAAACUUAAAUAUAAACAACUUAAUUUAAAUGAAACUAUAAAAUUAAACUAGUUAGGGUUAUGGAUCCACUCUUAGAAAUAAAUAAAACUUAAUAAAUUCUUUUUGCCCUUUUUUUACAUUUAUUGCCCAAAAGAUUAAUUAUAUAAAUUAUUAUUAUUUUCCCUUUAAUUUUAUGAUGGAUUAAGUAUUUAUUGUGCCAAAAUUUAAUUUGUCUACAAUAAGUCAAAAUACCAUUUUACCAUACCUUAUAUUAAGAUAUUAAGAAUUUAUUGUGCCAAAUUCAUUUAUUUGUCUACAAUAAAUCAAAAUUUCAAAAUAUAAAAUUAAAUAGAAAAUAAUUUAAUUUAUAAAAUUAAAAAUAGAAUUUGCUUAAAUCAUAUUUAUUUCCUAAGAGUUUCACCUUCCCCUAACUAAUAUUAUUUAGUUAAGCAUAAUUAAAAUAAAAAGAAGUAGUAAAAUUGAAUUACUUAUAAUUAAAAGAAACAAAAACAACUAAAAUUGGAAAUAAAACUAAUUUUAUUUAUAAAAAUAAUUAUAAAAAAUAUUAAAAACACACAUGAAAAUCAAGAUUAUAAGGAGAUGGAGAGAAUUUGAGAAGAAAAGAGUUGUAGAGAGAUGAUUAAAAACAUAAAAAUGAGGCUUUAUUUGUAGAAAAAUAAAUUCAUAAUUCAGUGCUUUGCGGUCCAUCAUAAGCUUCAUGCAUGUGCUCCUCACAACCUUUAGAUCAAGAUCCAAUGGCUGGUCAAACUUCAAAAGUCAACAUCACACGUGGCAUCGUUUGACUCGUCCGAUUUGCCCAAAGAACGGUUGAGAUUUGGCGGGUUAAUAGGUGGAUUGGGUCGACCCGAAUACAAAGAUUCGGAUCCUCCAACUUGCUUCACCAACCAUUGCCACGUGGCACAAUCAUGGCCAUUGAAUCAUGAACGGUUGAGAUUUAGUCAAAAUUGCCAGCUAUCCCAUGCACUCAUAUCUAUUGUAAGCUCAUUUCAUCAUCCAAUCAGUGCUCGGUCAACAGAAAAAGUCAACUUUUUUUACACAAGCUCAAUUUUAAGCCGAUCUUGACUGAUCUUAAGGUUUUUGGACCUCCGGAGUCCAAAUUUGACCUCCGUUUAUCUGUUUGGAGCCUCGAAUUACGUGAAAUCAAUAUUUUUUCUAACAAACACAUAAAAAUACACAAAAUUAAAUAUAUUUAAAACAUAAUUAAUAAUUCUUAAUAUAUUACAUAAACAAAAAUAUAAAUUAUAAUAUAAGCAUAAAAUAACAUAUUAAACAAAAAUAUAAAUUAUAAUAUAAGCAUAAAAUAACAUAUUAUCACUUGAUAAUUAAACAAUUUUUAAUACUAAUCAGGAAACCAACCAGCCUUGCCCUUGCAUUCACCUUUCGACCAUCCAGUAGGAGCCACCUUGAGAAGUUAUAGCCAAAAAAGGUGAGUUAAACAGAAGUUGACCAUUCAAAGACUUGAGGUGAAAUAAUUAAAGCAAAAUAGGCUAAUUCUUUUACUUGAAAAGAGUGAAUUAGUUGUGAUUAUUGAAAUUGGAUUAACCAUGGAAGUAUAACAAGAUAUAAAUUCAUGUGAAAUUCUUAAAUGGAAAUAUAAGAUUAGAGCUCCUCAAUUUGCUUUUAAUUCAGCUAGACAACUAAGAGUGAUUUAUAGGUGAAAGUAGUUUGUAUAAGCAUAAAUUUAAUUUUUAGCAGUUCAGUAAGAGUUAAAUCCUUUUGAAUCAUCAAAAUAUCCAGAUUUAUUUCACCCUUUUGAACAGAGGAUAUAGCAAUUUCACUAGGAUUUAUUGUCAAAGUAGGUAAUGCACAGCAAAGAUUUUUUUAAAAACAAAUAACCUAUAAAAAGUACACACAUAUAACGUAUUAACAAAAUUACUUCAUUCUACAACAAUCCGUUUAUAUUAUAGUAAUUGGUUUAGUCGGCAACAAGCACUAUAAUCCCUUAAAUAAAUUUUUUUAUGUAAUUUUCUAUAAAUUUCAAAAAUCAAUUAAACUGGAGCUAAGACCAUUUCUAGUUUUCAGAUAAAAUAACCAAUCAAACAUUCAAAUUAACAGUUUAGGGUAAACUGCGUCAUUUAGAACUGAGCUAGCAGCCUUAUUAUAUUCUGAUUUGCACUUCAAUGUAAAAGGGAAUAUGUGACAGGAAGAAAGAAAACCAAUCAUCGUUUGUUAACUGAGCUAUCAUUCUUGUAUUUAUAAGCAAAUAUCAAGACUUUAGAUCACCAGCUACAUCAUGAGUGGCUACACAACUUUGCAGUGGUUUGUCUUUUUUUGGCAUGCCUAACUCAACUUCGACAUUGUUGAGAUAUUGGCAGUAGAGACACAUGAUACUUCUAGCUAUGCAUUCUAGCUAGCUCAUCCUGCAACGUUCUCUUUUUAAUUCAUUGGUGUUUGCUAAACCUCAUGCUUAGAAGUCUUGUUCUCCUAAACAAAGUUUCCCUAAGAAUGACUCCUUCAGCACCACAUUUUAACACUUUUUAGAGCAAUUUUAUUGGGGGAAAAGAAUUUUCAAGGUGUUAACUACUAAAUUUUAAAAGAUAAUUACGAUUUUGACCUACAAUCAUAUGACAAUUUAUCUGGGAUGAAAGGAUACAGACAGACAUAUUCCACUUUCAAGACUAAUCACUACUUCUCUAGGUGUUGUGCUAUAUUACAAAUACUUGACCAGAGGGUAGUGAAAAUAGAAAAGAACUUUAUUGCUCUACAAUUAAACUAAGAAUGCAAUGUGUCAAGCAAAAGACUGUGCAACAUCAAAUUGAUUGAUAAGUUUCAAAUUCAGCAAAUUAACAACUUUCAUAGGAGAAUACAACAAAUUUCUUUUAAAAAAAUAAAAAAUUAAGUCUUAAUUAAAAGAUAACAUUCCAUUUUGUUUAUAUCUCUUCUAUGUUAUUUCUUAAGAUUUUUCAAGAGGAGGACAAUAAAGGGACUUUCAACCAUGCAAGAGAGCAUAAGCCUUACUUUCGCUAUAAAGUAGGCAUCAUUAUGAUUAAUAUGCGUUUGUAAAUCAGCUCUAUUUGAAUCAGCAUUCUGAUGGCCACGUAAGGCAUUUACAUCCAUUUCCAAAGUCACAUGUUGCGUGGAGGACUCAUUUGAUUCCUCCUCUAGGAUCAUCUAAUUUGAGUAGCAAGGGUUGGAAGAGAAUACAAAGUCACAAUUAUUCUUUUGCAUAAGAGAGACGAAAAUGAUAAAGGCAAUAUUAUCAGUAGUCAACAAGAAGAAAAUGCUUCAAGGGAUAGAUAGAUGCAGACAAGUGAGUCAAAAUGCUUAGUCCCAAGCCUCAGGAUACAAAUUCUCUACAACAGCAAUAACGUGUUGAUGAUAUGUUUUCCGAGCAUCUACCUGCAAAGGCCCAAGACCAGGAAAGUAAAGAAAGAAAUACACUUGACAUAAAUCUUAACAAGAAGCAUAAUUUAAGACAUAACAAAACCCAGUCAUUGUUUAGAACUACAUUUGUUAUUGUAACAUUUCAAACAAACGUUCACUUAAUUCAACACUGUUGGAAGGAUAGGCUUUCAGAAGUAAAAGAAAGCUACUCGAACCAAAGUGAUUGUCCUUGUAUUAAUCAAGGGAUGUAAACAUCUUACAUUUGCAGGAUGAGUUUUAAUCACUUAUUUAAUAACACAUACCCUUGAUUUAUUAGGGUUGCAGUAAAGUUAGAAAAUAUUGAUCAAAUUCUUCCAUUGAAACAAACUUAGUAAACAAAGCUAAGUGAGCAGCUGUUUGACUUUCAAGCAAACAGCUAAACCAGAUAUUAAAAUUCAAAUAAAAUCAUUAAUAGACUAAUAACAGGCCAUCUUGCAUAAAAAAAUUAAGUUUAAUUUGUGAAUUUUUUUCCUAUAAACAUGUUAGGUCCUACUAUAUUGAAAUGUUAAAAGCACUAAACAAUUAUUCAAUAAAUUAUGCAAACACUAAAAUAGAGACUUAUUAAUUAAAAGAUUUUUGGUUAGUAACCGAGAAUGUCGGAGAGCUCCGAUAACCAAGAACUUCAAGACAACCCUACCCUGCUGAAAGUGCCUCCACCGCCGCUAAAUGAAGAUCAGUCCACUAAAAAGGCGCGUUUUCGCAGUCAUGGUACAGCUGAAGAUAAUCCAACGCCGCUAUCCUUCAAGGAAGCGCUUGUUCCCUCUAACCAACAUAGGAACUUUGAUUCCGCUGAGAUGGAUGAAGACUGGGACUUUGAACCUGGCGAUGUGAUGGUUGGAGAAGAUGACACCAUGCCAACUAUUGUGUUCUCGAAAAGAGUCCAUGAUAAACUGACUAAACCUUGGCAAAAUUCUGUGGUAGUGAAGUUAUUGGGGAGAAACAUUGGGUAUAAGGUUUUAUGUAACCGUCUAAAGGUAAUGUGGCCUAUGAUUCAUGAUUUAUCUGUGAUUGACCUCGAGAACAAUUAUUAUUUAGUUCGUCUCCACUCAACAGAGGAUGCAGUCUAUGCUUUAACAGAGGGGCCAUGGGUUAUCUUUGGGCACUAUUUAACAGUGCAACCUUGGACUCCACUUUUCGACAGCACCGUUACUGAUAUUGCCUCAGCAACUGUUUGGAUCCGCUUACCUGGCAUGGCUUUUCAUUUAUACGACAAGCGUGUUCUGCGGGAAGUUGGACAACUUGUGGGCACAAUUAUUAAAAUUGAUUAUCAUACCGAAUCAAGGGAGAGGGGAAAGUUUGCGAGGAUUGCUGUCCGUGUUUCUCUUUCUCAGCCUUUGGUGUCUCAAUUUAAUCUGGACGGAAAAAUUCAGAAGGUUGAAUACGAAGGGCUGCCAAUUAUAUGUUACCAGUGUGGUAAAUAUGGCCACACCAGCAGUACUUGUCCUGAGAAACAAGCUGCGAAUGGGGCUAGGGCCGAGAGUUCGGUGAGAUCUCCACCAGUCAACGUGACAGCUGAUAAGGAUGGCGCCUCAGCUAUGGCUAAUAACAGUGGUGAGAAAUUCGGUCCAUGGAUGAUUGUGGCACGAAGAGGGAGACCUAAAGGAGUUAGGGACAAGGAGAAUAUCACCGAUUCAGAAAGGAAUCAGCGUAUUAACUAUACUACGGCUUCCCGUUUUGCUGCUUUAGUUGAUGGGCCUGAUACAAUUACUGUGACAUAAAUUGAUGUUCAAGAUCCCACCAUUGUCCCCCCCAACAACCAGCUAAAUCCAUUACCGACCACUUUCACACCCGAAGGAACCACCCUCUGAAAAUCCGUAGCACCCUAAAGCCUCAUAAUCACCUAUCCAAAGCUAAACAAGUGGCCAAAUCACACCUUAAAGCCUCAUCAUCUACUUCCAUGCAUGCAAACUUAUGUCCCAAUGUUCAUAUGGAUCACUCCACCCAUAAUAAUGUCCCGAUCCAGUAUCCCUUAGGACAUCCUUUUAGCUUGCCCGUUGAACCUUCGUUCACCUUGACCACCCUGAAUCCUCACAAGCAUACUGCCGUGACCUUUCCCAUAGCCAACCAUGAGAUUGUGGGUAAUCAACCAGGCUACUCAUGUGGAAAAGUGGCUGAUAACCUGGAGCAGCAACUCUACCCAAAGCAAUUAGCUGAUCCUCCCAAUGUAAGAGAAGACGGAGCUGUUAAUCCGAUGGAGUUUUAUGAUGGUGACCCUCAACUUGCAAUUGGCAAUGAAGAGGAAGACAUUAUGUCUGAUGAUGAAAAUACUAGUGUUAAUGAAACCCCCAGAGUGCAUGGAGGAGGGGCCCUAGGGCCUAGAAUGUAAGGACUCCAUGCUCCCCUGUUUUGCUUAUAUCUUUAAUGAUGUACAAUAUAAUGUUUUGGAAUUGCCAAGGAGCUUUUUUGCCGGGAUUUUGCAGGACUUUUAAGACUAUUGUCAGUAAUUAUAGACUGAAUCUGGUGGCCUUAUCCAAGCCUCGCAUUAGUGGAGUAAAGGCUGAUGACUUCAUUAAAAAAAAUGGCUUCCAGAGGUCUCAUCGGGUGGAAGCUAGGGGUUUUUCUGGUGGCAUUUGGAUUUUGUGGGAUGACAGUUUUGAGGUGGAAUUUAUCAUCAAUCAUAAUCAAUUUAUUCACUUUAAAAUAAUUGAUUUGAAAGGUUGUAGUUCCUGGGUCACAGCAGUUUAUGCGAGUCCGAUACCCAUGGUAAGGAAAAUUUUAUGGUCGGAGUUAGAUAAAGUUGCCAAGUCUGUUGAUGGUCCGUGGAUGAUUGGUGGGGACUUCAAUGCAAUUAGAAGAGUAUCUGAAAAAAAAGGAGGGUCAGCCAGGACAAGUGGUGUGCGUGAACUCUUUAAUGGAUGGUUCCAUCGAAACCAUCUCAUGGAACUUGUCUUUAAGGGACCCAAAUACACAUGGUCAAGAGGCAACUUAUCGAAAAGGUUAGAUCGGGUGAUUUGUAAUGAAGAGUGGAUGAUGAUGAACGAUGAGACAGAAGUUUUCCACCUCCCCAAAUUAAAUUCCGAUCAUAGACCGGUGAUGUUUCGUUGCAAGAAAUACAAUUCCGCUCCUACGGGGGUGAAACCUUUUCGGUUUUUGGCUCCCUAGCUAACUGAUGAGAGAUUCCAACCCUUUGUGGAAAAUAACUGGAGGAGCAAUUUGAACUACACUAAUGUUGUGGAUGAUUUUAUCAACAAACUGGGAAACUGGAAUAAAGAUAUUUUUGGCAAUAUUUUUAAAAGAAAAAAAGAGAUGCUGGCUAGAAUAGGUGGCAUUCAACGCUUUCUGGAGAAGCGUCAGUCUAGGAGUUUAAGCAAGCUAGAAUCUAAGCUAAAGAGGGACCUUGAAAAAGUGUUAACUCAAGAGGAAGUGCUAUGGUUCCAAAAAGCUCGAAGAGAAUGGAUUGUCUGUGGGGAUAGGAACACAACCUUUUUCCAUCAAAAAUCUAUAAAGAGACGCCGACGAAAUAAAGUGGGUAUGAUAAAAAAUGAUGAGGGGCAGUGGAUCCAUGACGAAGCUGAUAUUAAAGCCCAUGCAGUCUUUUAUUUUUGUAAUUUGUACACGAAGGAGGGAGGUGUUCCUGUCCAAUACCCUUUUACUCUUGACUUCCCUUUAAUUGAUAAUGUUGUGCUUAACAAUCUGAUCAGAGGUGUUGAUGAUGCAGAGAUUAGAGAUAUUGUCUUUACCAUGAGCCCAUUGAAAGCCCCGGGUAUAGAUGGCCUUUAUGCCAUUUCCUUCCAGACUCAAUGGCACGUGGUGGGGUCUUCAGUUUGUCAGCUUAUUAAAGAGUUUUUCGCGGGAAAGCAAUUGCCCCAGGAAUUGAACCAAACUCUUCUUGUGCUGAUUCCCAAGAUCAAUAAUCCAUAUUCUCUCAAAUUAUUUAGACCUAUUAGUCUUUGCACAGUGGUGUACAAGACUAUAACUAAAUUGGUAGCUAAUCGCCUCAAAGCCAUUUUGCCGCAAAUCAUUGGCCCUGCUCAGACGAGUUUUGUUCCUGGGAGACAUAUAGUCGAAAACGUCAUCGUUGCCCAAGAAAUCAUUCACUCUAUGAGGAACAAAGGGGGCAAAACUGGUCAGAUGGCUAUCAAGGUUGACUUGGAAAAGGCGUAUGAUCGUUUGAGUUGGGAUUUUAUUCAGGAGACUCUGGGGGUGAUUGGGUUGCCGAUGGAUUUGAUUCGUAUUAUAAUGGAGUGUAUAACCACAGUUUCGAUGCAACUCUUGUGGAAUGGUGAGCUCACGGAGAGUUUUAACCCAUCUAGAGGAAUCAGACAUGGGGACCCUUUGUCCCCGUAUAUUUUCGUCAUGUGCAUCGAGAGGCUAAGUCACGGUAUCAAUCAUGCAGUUGGGAACGGGCGUUGGAAACCCAUCAGGCUUAAUCGUGGAGGUAUUCCUAUUACUCAUUUAUUUUUCGCUGAUGAUCUUCUUCUUUUAGCGGAGGCUUCUAGUCAGAAUGCGCAGGUGAUCAAUGAGGUCUUGGAUACUUUUUGUGUAAGCUCUGGCGAGAAAGUGAGCAGAGAAAAGACCCAAAUUUUCUUCUCUCGAAAUGUUUAGAAGAGCACAAUCCGAGAGAUAAGGAAUACACUCGGAUUUUCAGUUACGAAGAACCUCGGUAAAUACCUUGGUAUGCCCAUCAUUCACUCCCGAGUUACCAAGGCAACUUAUCAAGAUAUUCUAGAUAAAGUACAGCAGCGUUUAUCAGGCUGGAAUGCCAAGCAUCUCUCUCUAGCGGGCAGGAUCACUUUGGCACAAUCGGUAAUACAAGCUCUCCCAGUUUAUGCCAUGCAAUCAACGAAAAUUCCAGCUUCGGUUCUUACCAAAAUUGAGCAAAGAUGUAAGCAUUUUAUCUGGAGUGGAAAUGCCGAACAAAGAACAUUGAAUCUCAUCCGGUGGGACACUCUUUGCCAACCCAAGUCAUGUGGGGGCCUUGGUCUUAAAGAUUUAUCUCAUAUGAAUAUGGCUUUGAUGAUGAAAAUUGGGUGGGGUUUAGUCAACUCUCCUAAUACUUUUUGGGUCCAGGUGCUGGCUUCUAAGUAUAAGGUUGAUACCACUUGUCUUCCUGGCAGCUUACAAACGAGGAACGGGUCUUACUUGUGGCGUGCUGUGGGGAAGGUUUGGGAUCAUGUGUUGAAGGGAACUCGUUGGGCUCUUGGGGAUGGAAAACGAGUGCAAUUUUGGUGGGAUUUAUGGCUCAGUGAGGCUGAUAACUUACAAUCAUAUGCCACGAACCCAAUUCCUGAUCAGCUGAUUAAUUUGUGUGUGGCUGAUUUUUCAGAUAACAAUGGCAACUGGAAUUGGCAUUUAUUUGCUCAUUUGCUUCCCAACCACAUAAUUCUAAAGAUUGCUUCAGUUAAAGCUCCUUGUGCUCUUAGUGGUGAGGAUCAAUGUUACUGGGCUUACUCUAAUACAGGUCAAUUCACGGCGAAAUCUGCGUACCUCUCUUUGCACCAAUCCAAUAAUGUGGCCGAUAAAUCUUUGUGGAAUUUGGCUUGGAAAUGGAAUGGACCUCAAAGUAUCAUAACAUUUAUUUGGCUCGCCAUGAGCAAUAGGCUGAAAACAAAGUCGGAGCUUUUUCGAAGGCACAUUACUAUGGAUGCCACUUGUUGUAGUUGCGGCCAACACUUGGAAGAUACCAUUCAUGUGUUGAGGGAUUGUAUCAUUGCCCGGCAUGUGUGGCUCAGUUUGGUGCCUCAUACUUUAUGGAAUAAUUUUUUCGAUUUGGACUUGACGAGUUGGAUCUACUACAAUCUCAAGAACACGGGUUUGAUUAGGAGAGAUGAUAAUUGGCCCUGUAUUUUUGGUGUUGCUCUGUGGCGGAUUUGGUAUUGGAGAAACCAAUUCAUUCACAAUAAAGAAAUCAUCAGUAUUGCAAAUAUUGUGCUGGACAUCACGCACCGCGCGGCCGAAAUCAAUGCUUCCAUGGAGAAUAUCUGUAGACCAGGCCAUGAAAGGAUAAUCAAAUGGUUGAAGUGGAUGGCCCCACCUUGGCCUUUCUUUAAACUAAAUACAGAUGGUGCUCGGAAAAUUUCAGGAAAUGCAAGUGCAGGUGGUCUCAUUAGAAAUUAUUGCGGAGAAUGGGUUCACGGUUUUGGCAUGAAUAUUGGCCAUUGCACUAUUACUGGGGCGGAGCUUUGGGGUCUUCUUCAAGGAUUGCAACUUGCCUGGAAUAUUGGGAUUAGACAAUUACUUGUUGAAGUUGAUAGUCGAUGCAUCACUGAGAUCUUAGCCACAGAUACCAAUCAUCCCAAUGCUAACUCCUCUCUUAUUCAAGGAAUUAAAAGACUUCUCAACAUGGAGUGGCAGGUUUCUCUGUCACACUGCUAUAGAGAAACAAAUUAUGCAGCUGAUUACCUCGCCAAUCAAUCUCUUCUUUUGCCUCUUGGGGUCCAUGUGUUUCCAACGCCUCCAUCCGGAACUGACAGGUGGCUGCUGCACGAUGUAUGUGGGACUGCUUACUCACGAAUGAUCUUUGCUUAGUUUCUUAACUUCGCCCUUUUGUAUCAAAAAAAAAAAAAAAAAUAGAGACUUAUUAGAAAGUUUCUUACUACAAUGUUAAUAUUUCCUCUAUUUUAACGUUUACAUAAUUUUAAUUUAUUUAAAAUCUACGUCGAUCAACUUUGGGCAUGAUGAUUUUAGCUUUUACGAGAGUUUAUUGGAAUAUGCAUAAGGAGUGUUAAAAUAUGAUGCAUCCAACAAAAGGCAAGCCAUGUGCAGUCUUUUAAUUUAGCCGAAGUAGCAGCUCAAACAAAUGACACUUUGACCAACAUGCAAGCAUGAAGUAGCUAGAAAAAGGACAAAUGCUACUUUGGCUUAAAUAGAAAAUAGCACGUGACUCGACUUUUGUUGGACAUGAAUCAUGUUAUUACAAGACAACAUAAAUCAUUAUCAUUAUAAUAAGAGUUAGCAAUAAGUAACAUGAAGAUAAGAGGCAGAAUGUCAACACAUGCAUAGGCAUACACAAGAAAGUAUUAACUUCUAUACCAUAGCAAAAAGUCUUUGAUAUGUCAUUUGUUGUUGCUGUGAUUCAACUGACAACAUGGCAACUGUCGCUGCUCUACCAAGAGCCAUUACUGUAGAUUUAAGCUCGGUCAAAUUUGCUUCUGCAUUUCGAAGCUUCAUAACACUCUCUGCUGAUAUAUCAGAUUCCCUAAUCUUUGAUCAGCUCCUCAAUACUUCAGCUAAUUCUCAUCUCGCUUUAUACAUGCAUAUGUUACCUCAAAGUUGACCUGGGCUUCAACUUCAUGGCGGAGUUUGUCAUAACGAUGAGUCUGGUGCCGAGCAUCUUCCAAAGGUGCUCCGUUGAUUAAUGCCCGUAGUGGCUCAGAUACCUACAUGUCCAAAAGCCAGUAAUAUAAUUAGAAAAUUGGAAAAAAAAGAUCGAAACCUUAAUUACAAAGUUCCUCCAGCAUAAUCAUGGAAUUUGGGCCUACUUUAAGAACAUAUAUAAGGAUAAUUUAAGCAAUUUUGGGUCUUAGGAUGAUUGGUCUUAAGUUAGGGUCUAUCCUUCUGUUUUUAAGGUCAAAAUAGAAAUAAACCUAUGCAAAUAUUUAAAUUAGUGCUGUAAGAGUUCCACAUGCAUCCUUCAGUCUCAUGGAUUUGAAUUUACUAUAGAUGCAAGCGUCUUUAUCCAAAAUGCCUGGAGUCAAUUGAGAGAACUCACAACCAAUAACUUGUCCCACGGUGGUCUUCACUAGUGAUGUAAGAAGCGACAAGGUUUCUUCAACAUUUGAACAAAAAAAUUAUAAAGUCAUGGAUGUCACUAGCAAUUGUUAAAACAUUAAAUAUUUCAGAGUUGUAACGUUUAAAUGGAUUCUUUUAUUCAAUAUCUUAGAACUAAGUUUCCUUAUGAGAAGAUAAUAGUCUUGAAAGUAAUUUUACAUAUAAUUUUCCAUAUUUGAAUUAUUUUCUCGUUAGGGAUGAAUUUACCUGAUCACCAAGAAUCCCAAGCAAAGUUUCCCUCUCAUUUUCCAUCAAAUCAUGUGAAGUGCCAAAUUGAAAAGCAGCCCUUGCAACACAAGAAUUGUCGCUUUGAUUCUGCGCUCCAUAUUUGCAACAAUCUUCGGCCAACUUUCUCGCUACAAUAUUUGAAUACAAAAAUAUUAUACGCAAAAACUAGUCAAGAACAUUAAAAAAAAUAAAUAAAUAUUAUAACGAAAGCAAGAGCAAACAAACAACCUAUCUCCAUUUGUUUCAAGUUUAGUGCAAUUCAACACCACGGACAAUAUUCCUCUAAAAAUGCUGUGUUACAUAGCAUAUAUUCCAAAUUAUUGUUCAGAUAAAACCAUAAAAACCAUCAUAAUUAUUCAACAUACAUUAAGCUCUGUUUGGUAAAUACUUGUAACUCCAGUCUAGAAAAUAUAGUUGUUUGUACAAUAUUCGACAAAAUUAUUAUUUAAAAAUCAUAUUUAAUUACCAAAAGCCACAACAAAUCAAUAUCAAAACAGAGAGGGUAAUACCUUAGCUGCCCUGGUGGAAUUGUAUAGAUUUUGAAGUUGUUGGUGACACUCAAUUUCAGCUUCAUCAACCGCAACAUUUUCAUUACCAAGACGCAUGCAGCAAAUGCUUCAAUACUGCCUGUACAAAUCAUUAAAAAAUAAUAAAAACAUAAAAUUGAGAAAUUUCACUAAUUGAAAGUUUAAAUAAUUUUUAAAGAAAAAGAAAGAGACGUGCUGCUGCCUGGCGAUUUGUUCGCGGAGCUUGAUUGCCUGUUUCUUGAUAGCUUCCAUAUUGUUUCUUCGGGCAUUGCUGCAAUUGUUUCUUCUAUGUCAGUCACACCCACAUAUCAUUGACACAAGAAAUAAAAAUCUUAGAUCACUUGUUUAAUUAAAGAAUCACUUACAAAAAAGUUUUGCCAUUUUAAUUUGAGGAUCCAUAUUUUGAACUACCAACUAAUGUUCAUCAAGGGCAGAGUAAAAAUUACUUUUGGACAAAUUAUUUUUGUUGAUAGAAGAAUUUCUCAAGGGACUAUUAAAAUUAUUAAUAAAAAUGUCAAACACAUCCACACAUCAUCCCACAUAUCAUUGACACAAUUGAUUUUGAGGAUCCAUGUUUUGAACUACAACCUAAUGUUCAUCAAGAACAAAGUAUGGCUUGUGAGUAGAAAAUUUUCUGAUUUUGCAAAAAGAAAUUAAAUUGAAGGAGAAUCUUUUACUUUCUCAUUAAGAAAGGCAUACGGGGCAUACCAUGGCACCAUACAACACAAGGAGUCUCCAUUCUCUGCUUUUUCAAAAUCUAAAGGGGGCAAUAUUUCCCAAUUUCCCCUUGAAAAUUCUGUUUACAACAUUAUUCAUCACUUGAUUCGAUCAAAGUAGUGACAAAGUUUGGAAAAAUAUGAGUCCUAAGUAAUUACCAAGCAAGGUCCCUGAGGGCAACAUUGUCCUAGGCAUUAUAGACAUAUAUGGUGUGGCACAUGGAGCACAUUGAAUUCCAGACUAUAACACAAACCCUGAAAGACAAGUAACAACUCAAAUGAUACAAAGACAAGAAGAAGUUAAAAUGAUAUAGAACAAAGAAUUUCAAAGACAGAGCAACAUUCCAUACACAGAAGCCACUUGAUCUACUCGUUGAUUGCAGCCUCAAACUUGCAAAUAGUUACUGUAGGCUAGCGCUCUAAGAAAUAAAAUGAUGCAAAACCUUGAUUCCCUUUUGUCUUCGAUUUACUGUCAAACUUAUUACUAGCAUCCACAAUUAAUUUUUGUUCAGCAAUCAGCUUAUUUUAUAGAAAUUGAUUUAGUCAGCAGCAAACACUAUAAUUCUUGAAAUUAAUUUUUGUUCUUUGUAAUUUUCUAUGGUUUUUCAUAAAUCAAUUAAUCUGCAGUGCCAAGAUGAGGUUUAGCUUUUCAAACUAAAUAAUCAAGUAAGCAAAAAUAUAAAUUCAGAGAUUAGAGGGGUAACCUAGCUGGGUGGUUUAGAACUGGGCUAGCUACCUCACUGUAUUCCAAUUUAUAGAGUGGAUUAAUUGAAUCAUGAGAAAACAACGUGGUCAUAGCUCAAUAGGAGAUGACUGCGGAGAGGCAUAUUGUUUUCAAUGAUCUAUUAAGAGAUGAAGUGGAUUGAUGUGGAAAGUUUAAAUAACAAAUCCUUGUUUUUGAGUUUUACGACGUCGUUACUCCUUCCAAGUGGCAGAUUAUGCAAGUGAAUGCAGAGACACAAUGCAUCAUCCACGGGGAUGAUACAGUAAUAGGCGGGAUCAUAGUCUAUGCAUUGAACAGUUACAGUUGCUGCUACCCAUUACCUUGGCAAAGAUCAAGAAGACAGAACAGGAAGCUAAUGCCAUCAAUGUCGUCUUCACUAAAGCUGCUGGGAAUGUAGGUGUAGUUUCCUCAUUUGAAGCUGUCUAUACAUGGGCCUUUCCCCUGCUUAAGUACAAAUAAAUGAACGGCCUUGAAGGCUUUACCAUUCACCCCAAAAAAGAUUACUAAUUGAAGAUGACUAUACAGAGUUAAUCUCACACUUUUGUUCUCUCAAUUUCUUUUAGAAGUCCCUCUGAAAAUAGCUGCCAAAACAGUUAGUCAGCUUUUAUACUCUGUUUUCUGGAAACAGGGUCCUAACUAACUGAGCUGACUGUGCAGAGUAUGUCAAUAUAGCAUAUUUAAUCGUUUUAACAGUAUUUUCGAAUUGUCUUCGCAGUGAUCAUCAACAAACUCAUCACAAGAUUUUUGGAGCACCCUAGGACUAUCACUGGGUUUCUCUUCUGGUUGGUUAAUUAAUUAGUCAAAGAACGGUUGGAUAUCCAAGCACAAUUACUAGAUUCUAAAAUGACUAGUUCACUAUUCUUUUACAGCCCUUUCACCAGUCAAAUUAUUCGACUUCUGGAACUGGGAAUGAAGUGCAAUGAUGAAGCAGCAUUUACAAUGUCUCCGGUUUCUCCUGAAUAUUAGAUUUUUGCAGUGAGAACAUAUAACAAAAAGGCCUCCAUCAACGUAGGUAGAAUCCGGGAUAUGGAUUGGAUCGAGUUUUUGUUUGAUAUUGAAGAACCUCUUUACUAUCCCGAUAUAGAAAAUGUUCUUUGCCUUGUGCUAUGAUCGGUGCUUUUGAUGUUGUCCUGAAACGGUGGAAAAUACUUCGAUAUCCUCCAUUUGAUGAUGCAAAGAACUGGUUAAUGUACUAUUACCUAAUUGACUCAGGAUCAAGUAACAAUGACAAUUUAUUAGUAGUAAUAUCACAAACUAAGAAGAUUUCGGAGAGGGGGAUGUAUGUGUAUACUGUUUACAGCUUUGAUCCAUUGGGGAGGAAGUAGUCUCAAGUUGAAAGUGACUUAUUAAAUAACAAAACAGAGUUGUUCAAUUUACAACAGAUAUUCUCCUCAAGUUCAACGUAAAUAUGGAUAUUAAUUAGAAUCCAGAUUAUUAUGACACACAUAACUUGCUUCAAAAUUAUUAGAAAUUACAAUUGCUGAUUCACAAUGCAUAUAACUUGUAUAUUGAGAUGGAUAAGAUGCUUAAUUUAAUUAAUUUACUUACUUUCAUACACAUCGUCUUUCCAUCUAGAGAAAACUUGGGGGUGAGAACGAUAUGAAGUUGCGAGUUGCUGCCGAUAGCUUCUGAUUAAUAAUAAAACGAGACAAAUUAUCUGUUUGUUAAUAUUCAUUCUUAGAGAGGAGAGUAAAUCACAAAUCUUUAAUAACAAGGAGUUUGCCAUUAACUUUACUUGGCCUUAAUAUUAAUAUUGCCCACCCAAGAAAUAAGAGUGAUUUAAAGUAUUACCAAGACUUCAUUGAGAGGAGCAACCAAACCAACUCCUUAUCAAUUGCGGCAGCCGUCUGUUAACUAAAAUGCCAAUUUCAUACUCGGCAAUUGUGUUUGUUAAGAAGUGACACAGCACUCAGGUGAUGAGUUUACUGUGACCACUAUUCAAGGUAAGCGAAAAUUACAGAUGUGGCAAAAUCAAUAAUUAAAUUCAUAAACUAAUUAAAUUCAUGGAGUUGCACAAUUUCAUCAACUUUGCAAGAAUUGACAUUAAUGGACUGGCGCUCUCCCCAUACAAUUAUAAUUAUAAUCUUUCUAGGAAGCAAAUUUUUAUAAAUUAUUUGUUUUUAAGUUAAUUUCAAUUUCAAAAAAUAAAUUUUUUAAGUUAUGUAUACUCUAAUGAGAGUUUCUUCAUAACAAUUCCCCUACUCCAAUAAUAACGAAAAGGUAGUUACUUAGAAAUAAUUAAAAUAAACAGGGGUUGAUUGUAUAUCCUAAUUUGCAUCGAUUUUUUUUUACCUUAAUUUCAGGAAUUUGUGAAUGGAGGAUGAUCACGCGUGUAUUAAUUUUUCAGUCGUCGAUUGUCGUAUUCUAGACUUAACGAUAGUGUUCUUGAUCAAGGGCAAUGACUCCCACCCCUCUUUUAAAAAUAUUGUCAAGUAUAUUAAUGACAAAAUCUCUUAUAGUUAAUAGUCUUUAAAAAUUUAUAGAAUUACUAUUGUCAUAACUAAAUUAUUCAUGUUUAAUGAAAUACUAAUGCAUCAAAAUAAAGGUGUUCACAAUCCAAUUCGAUCCACUCAAUUCGUUUGAUCUGCAGAAGUGCAAUCCGCAAAAAUUUAAUCUGUGAAUUAGUGGAUUGGAUUGCAUUGAAAAUUUAAAAAUCCGUAGUCGAUAAAUUGGAUAUUGAUAUACUUUUAUAAAUAUACAAAAAUUCACGAAUUCACAAAAAAAAGUAUUUAAUUAAAAAAUAAAACUUAUAAAUGUUGCAUGACUACUUACUAAUAAAUAAAUAAGUUAAAAUGUAGUUAGUUAAUUUAACACCAUAUUAUAUCUUAUUCGAUAACAAUAUAAAAUAAAAAUAAUUAAAAAAAUUAAUAAUUGGAUAAACAAAUGUGGCUUUCUAAACAGUAAAAAUUCUAGACUUAAAAAUUUAUAUUGUUAUUCUAUUUUUUUUAAAUUGACAUUUUUCUAUUGUCUUACAUGUACAGAGAUUUUGAGAGUUGAGAAGAAUAUAUUUGAUGAAGCUUGAUAGCAUUUGAUGGGAUAGUAAGUAAGGGUAAAUAUUUAUUAAUUAUUUUUAUUAAAUAAAAUAUUUUUAUUUGUUAUUUAUUUCUAUUAUAUCUAUUUUAUUCAAGUUAAAAUACUAAAUAUAAAUUGGAGGUAGACAUUUUAACAGAUCAUCUAAGCUCUCAAAUCUGAAAUUUUGUGUAGAUUUAAAUUCAUAAUUUUAGUUAAUUUUCAUAUAUUCAUAUAAACAAAUUUAUGAGAUUUUUUCUUUUCAUCAUGUUAUAUUUUAAAACUUUCAAUGUAUUAUUCUAGCUUUAUUUAAACAAUUAAUUUAUUUUAAUUUUAUUUAAUUUUUGAUUUGAUCAGCAGUAAAAAUAUUUUUAUAUCAAAUUUUUUUAUUUAUAUAGUUCGUGGAUUGGGCAAAAUAAAAAAUUUUUAAUCCACAAAUGGUGGAUUGGAUAUGAAUUGGGUCAAAUCCAUCUUCGAUCUGCAGUCGCAUGGAUUGGAUUUGGAUUGAAUUUUAUCAAUCCAUAUAUUAGAUUGGAUUGAAAAUUUAUAAUCCGCAAAAUCAUGGAUCGGAUAUGGACUAAUGUCCAAUCCGCAAAAUCCGAUCUCCGAACACUCCUCUAUAAAAAUUUUCAAGAAUAUGUUUUAUCUUACAAUUUUUUUUUUUAAAGUCAUAGUCUAAUGGCAGCCCAAUUUCUACCCCAUCCAUAUAAGCGGAGUUCAAAUCUCAUACCUCUUAUCUCCACACAAGAGAUUUAACCAAUUGAAAUAGCUAGCACCCACAAAUAUACUAGUACAACAUCUCUUAACGUUUAACAUACAUAUAAUUAACGUUAUAGCCAUUGAUAAACUCAUUGUUCAUUAUGUGAUCAAGAAUUUGAUCCUGCGAGUAAUAGCGGUAAGAAGAACCAUUAUUGUUGGGGGGACUUAGCAUAAGAUUUCUAGGUAUCUAACCUAAAAGACUAGCCUUUUAGGUGGAGUGACCUACUACCUUAUAAACCCAAGCAUCUUCCCUUUACUAGUCAAUGUGAGACACAACUCAACAAUCCCCCUCUCGGACGAAACCACCGCCAGACUCCGAUCCUUUCGUCUGACACACCAGAGUUGUUCCACCACCACAUUCGGGCUAUUAGGGUUUAGCUCUAAUACCACUUGUUAGGGGGACUUAGCAUAAGAUUUCCAGGUAUCCAACCCAAAAGACUAGCCUUUUAGGUGGAGUGACCUACCACCUUAUAAACCCAAGUAUCUCCCUUUUACUAGCUAACGUGGGACAAAACUCAACAAUUAUAAUGCCUAGCUCUUAUCGUAGUUAAUUCUCUGGCCCGAUGCUUCAUCAUAGUGAUUUAAAAAAUCAACAACAGCUAUCUAAAAGAAAUGAAGAUAUCAUCUACGUAAAGAACAUGAGACAGAGAUCACAACCCAUAAGAACUGAGAUAAAUUGGACCAGACCAGUAAUCUUGAGAUAAGUUAAACCGUGACUUAAGUUGAAAUCAGAUGAUAAAUGGCUUUUGGCCACUUAUUUCUAAUUUCCACAAUUAAUUUCUGUUCAGCAAUCAGCUUAUUUUAUAGAAAUUGAUUUAGUCAGCAACAAACACUAUAAUCCUUGAAAUUAGUUCUUGUUCUUUGUAAUUUUCUUUGAUUUUUCAUACAUCAAUUAAUCUGCGGUGCCAAGAUGAGGUUUAGUUUCAAGCAAAAAUACAAAUUCAGAGAUUAGAGGAGUAAACUAGCUAGGUGGUUUAGAACUGGGUUAGCUACCUCACUAUAUCCCAAUUCAUAGCUCAAUAGCUCAUACAUCAAUUAAUUGAAUCAUGAGAAAAUGUGGUCAUAGCUCAAUAUGAGAUGAUUUCGGAGAGGCAUAUUGUUUUCAAGUUAAUUUGAUCCAUUAAGAGAUGAAGUGGAUUGAAGUGGAAAGUCUAACUAACAAAUCCUUGUUCUUGAUUUUUACGUCGUCUUUACUCCUUCAAGUGGCAGAUUGUGCAAGUGAAUUAAGAAACACAAUGCAUCAUUCACAGGGAUGCCACAUCAAAAGACGGGAUCAUAGUCUAUGCAUUGAAUAGUUAAAGUUAUCUCAAAGAGGACAGAACAGGAAGCUAAUGCGAUCAAUGUCCUUUUCACUAUAUCUGCUGGGAUUGUUGGUGUAGUGUCCUCAUUUGAAGCUGUCUAUACAUAGGCUUUUCCCCUACUUAUGUACAAAUAAAUGAAUGGCCUUGAAGGCUUUACUACUGACCCCAAAAAAGAUUACCAAUUGAAGAAGACUAUAUAGGGUUAAUCUCACACUUUCGUUCUCUCAAUUUCUUUCAGAAGUCCCUCUGAAAAUAGCUGCCAAAACAGUUACUCAACUUUUAUACUCUGUUCUCGGGAAACAGAGUCUUAACUAACUUAACUGACUGUGCAGAGCAUGUCAAUAUUCUUAGUAUAUCUAACCGUUUUAACAGUAAUUUUUUACCGUCUUCGCAGUGAUCAUCAACAAGCUCAUCAUAAGAUUUUUGGAGCACCCAGGACUAUCACUUGGUUUCUCUUCUGGUUGAUUAAUUAAUUAAUCAAAGAACGGUUGGAUACCCAGGGACAAUUACUAGAUUCUAAAAUGACUUAGUUCACUAUUCUUUUACAUUCCUUUCACCAAUAAAAUUAUUCGACUUCUGGAACUGGAAAUGAAGUGCAAUGAUGGAGCAACAUUUACAAUGUCUCCGGUUUCUCCUGACUAUCGGAUUUUUGCAGUGAGAACAUAUAACAAAAAGGCCUCCAUCAACUUGAAGAACCUCUUUACUAUCGCGAUAUCGAAUCUGCGCAAGGAGUUGUCCAUUGUUCUUUGCCUUGUGCUUUGAUCGGUACUUUUGAUGUUGCCCUGAAACAGUGGAAAAUACUUCGAUAUCCUCCGUUUCAUGAUGCAAAGAACUGGAUAAUGUACGAUUACCUAAUUGACUCAGGAUCAAGUAACAACAACAAUUUAUUAAUAGUAAUAUCACAAACUACGAAGAUUUCGGAGACGGAGAUGUGUGCGUAUACUGUUUACAGGUUUGAUCCAUUGGGGAUGAAGUGUUCUCAAAUCGAAAGUGAUUUAUGAAAUAACAAAUCAUUGGUCUUGGGUUACACCUCAUUAUGUCUUCAAGUGGAAGAUGAAGAUUAUGCAAGAUGAAGAUCGAGUUUUGGUUUGAGAUUGAAGAAUUUGAACAGAAAGCCCAUAGAAAGUACCUAAAUAAGCAUAUUCUUGGGGUAGAAUAUGGAGAAAGGAGUUGUCUACUGUGUGUUGCGUAAUUAUGCUAUGAUCGGUGCUUUCAACAUUGCCCUGAAAACAGUGGGAAAUACUUCAUAUCCUCGACAUGAUGAUAAAAAAUUGGUUACCGAUUACGUAACUAACUCAGGUGACAACAAUCCAUUAAUAGCACAAUUUGAGGUGAUGUCGUUUAGGUAUAUGGUUAACAGGUUUGGUUCAUCAAUGAUGAAGUGGGCUCAAAUUAAAAGAUCAUAUAAUAAGUCGUUCUUCUUGGGCAUAUCGUCAUUACUACUUCAAGUGAUCAAAGAUGAAGAUGAAGAUGAAAAUUGUGCAAGUGAGUUCAAGAAUACCAUACAUCGUUACUUGGGAUACUUCUUCAAAUAUGGAUGGGGUUAUAAUUUACUCCCACGAAUUUCAACCCAAUUUUAUGAUUGGAGUGUCCCACCAUGACUCAGAAAAAUUCUGUUUCAACCUCGUCGACCAAUGGAUUUUGAUUAGUCACUUUGUGAUCAAGCAACUUAAUUAAACUCAGAGUUUAAUUUUGUUGGUACUGCAUUUUUUUUAAAAUGUGGCCAUGUAAGGAGAGCGGCACAUAGUGUCACUUCUUCAUCAAGCACUUUAAAGAGGGAUUUUAGAAGAAGAUACAACUGCAAUUGUUUUCGUAUGUAUAUACAUAAACAACAGAACAUUCAGUUCAUAAAAGAAACUAGUGUUUUUUAGGCAAUUUAGAAAUAGAGUUGUUCAACUUACAACAGAUAUUCUCCUCAAGUUCGACGUAAAUACAGAUAUUAAUUAGAAUCUAGAUUAUUAUGGCACACAUAACUUACUUCAAAAUUAUAAGAAAUUACAAUUGCUGAUUCGCAAUACAUAUAACUUGGAAGAUUUGAUGUUAAAUUUUGUCAUUAAAAUUGUAGUAGUAUUUCUAAACACCUCGCAUUUGUAUCCACAUUUUGCAGGAAUUUUGAGAAAUACACGUGUCCGAAAAAUCACACGCAUAACUUGGAGAACAAUUGCGACAGCAGCCGAGUAUAUAUUAACUAACUAAAAUGGCCAACCAGAUUUGCUUAAGAAAUAAAAUUUUGUCUUGUAGUAGUAUUUCCAAGCACCUCGCAUUUGCAUCCACAUUUUGCUGGAAUUUUAAGAAAUACACGUGUCCGAAAGUCUAAUCAUCGUUUUUACUAUUCGAGUAUUGGUAUGAUAAUGACGAAUUUGAAAAGCCACACUGUAAAAACAGUUUGUGAUCUGUGCAUGACGAACCACCAACAGUGUAGUAAGAGCACAGGAAAAAAUCUAACAAAAUUAAUUGCGUCCAUAGAUAUUCAGACGCAAACAAUAAUUUUAAAUAAUAGCAAUUAGUAUUAAUAUUGCCCACCCAAGAAAUAAGAGUGAUUUAAAGUAUUAGCAGGACUUCAAUGAGAGGAGCGAUCAAACCACCUCCUUAUCAAUUGCCGUAGCCGUCUAUUAACUAAAAUGACAAUUUCAUACAAGAAGAAACAACAAGUACAUACUCGGCAAUUGUGUUCGUCAAGAAGUGACAUAGCAUUAAGGUGAUGACUUUACUUUUGUUAUCUUGCUAACAAUGGUAGUCUAAUUUUAGUUUUAAUGUGAUCACUAUUCAAGGUAAGCGGAAGUUACAGAUGUGGCAAAAUCAAUAAUUAAAUUCAUAAAAUAUUAAUUGUUUUCAACAAAUUUUGAGGUAGGAAAAGCCAAAACAAAUCUAGAACAAUAAAUUUGUAUUUUUUGGGGAGACGGGGUACCUCACUAGUUUGUUGUGUGCGGUGUGGUGUAUCUGAAAUCUGGGGGAGGUGAGAAGGGGAGAGGGAGUGGCAAAAAUGGUGAAAGGUCAAAACCAAGAGAGAUAUCCUUCAAAAUGAGCUUCACGCCUGCAAAACAGUGAAAUAGAGGUUAGAGGUGAAGCCGGGGUACCCCGGUGUUCACACUCCGACGCUCAAAUUAGCAAACUCAAGCUUUUAUGGUAAAGAGAGCUAGCUAGCCCUCUAUAAAUUAUGGUUUAAGAUUGAAGAAAACCUAUUUUUUAGAGUGUGAGUGUUAAUGGUGAGUGAGAGCAUGAUGGAGAAUGAAACCUAAGCACCUUUAUAUAUGGAGUACCUCAGCUGACACGUGGCGUACCCUUUUUGGCUAACGUCCUUUUACCUUUUUAUGAUUUUUGGGCCGUUAUGUGCAUGUUCGCGGCGUAUCUCAUCCUUUGGGAACAUGGUGCGCGCUAGAGAGUGGUCCAGGGUACCUCUGCAGUAGCUGUCGGGUAGGCGGCUGAGGACCACUGUCCUUGGGAUAGUGUCCUUCACUUUUGGCAGAGGUAGCAGGCGGCUGUCCCCCCUUUUUGGUACGACGUUCUUGAUUCUUAAUUCUGACAAAAUUGAAUAAUAUCUUUUAAGAUAUGAAGACGUUUCUUACGGCGGAUAUUUUCAGAGGGUUCUCUUGCAUCUGAUUUGCCGGGUACCUCGAGUUACGUGGGGUACCUCAAUUUAUGUGGAGUACCCCUAAUUGUGCGGGGUACCUCUAUUUGUGUGGGGUACCUCUAAUUGUGCGGGGUACCUCAAAUCACGCCGGAUACCUCGGAUUGUGCAGGGUAUCUCGUAUCAUGUCGGGUACCUCUAUUUGUCCGGGGUACCUUAAAUCAUGCCGGGUACCUCGAAUUGUAUGGGGUACCUCAGAUUGUGCUGGGUACCUCUAAUCAACUCGAGUACCUCUAAUCAGACCGGGUACCUCUAAUCAGGCCGAGUACCUCUAAUCAUGCUGGGUACCUCGAGUUAUUCCGAUUACCUUGAAUUAUGUUGGAGUUAUUCUGGGUACCUUGAAUUAUGCUGGAGUUAUUCCGGGUACCUCGAAUUAUACAGGGUACCCCAGUCUAUGCGGGGUACCUCGAGUUAAUCUGGAGUUAUGCGGGGUACCUCUGACCGUGCCGGGUACCUCAAAUCAUGCCGGGUACCUCAAAUCACGCCGGGUACCUCUAAUCUUACGGGGUACCUAUAAUCUUGCGGGGUACCUCAGAUUGCACUGAAGUUAUUCUAUUCGUCGACACAUGGCGUUCUGCUAUCUUUCUUAUUUUUCCCUCAAACAAUAUCCCCCUAGUUUCUUUUGGCGAGAAGUAUUGGAGGCAAAAGAAACUUACAUAAAAAGUAGGAGCGACACGUGGCGAUAUGAAGUUUAGCUCGAUGGGUAGCUGAAUAGAGGAUGCCUCUAGGGGUACCCUCAUGAAGGGAAGAUCUCUGGAGUGAACAAGACUUUGAGGGGACACUUUGAUGAAGUUUCAGAGGAGAAUGCCCAUAAGGUGGAAGACCCUGAGGAGCUUUAAGUUAAGCUUGAGGACUUGAUACCUCGACAUAAGAACAUAGUUGACAAUGCUUUUGAGUGCAUCAUGACCGAAGAAUGAAGUGCUGAUAUGGGGCUGGUGGUGCCAAGAGUAGAGAACUAGGUAGAUAAGCCGGCUAUCUUGAAGGCAAUUGAGAAUAGUAGGGCUCCCCACACAUCUUGGUUUGAAAGCCCAUGGAGAUCAACUAGGGUACCUCAGAUGAAGUCGCCAUAAGGUACCCCUGAUACCGACGCUUGUGUUUUUGCUAUUUCUAACACUUUUGUUGAUCCCCUUAUCCUAAAUAAUGAAGGUGAAGAUAACCAUCCUAUUAUGUAACCUUGUUCGGCAUUACCGACAAGGCGUAUGGGGUACCUCGGGUACCCAUAAGCUUGGAUAUCCCCUGAGCUAUCUGUUACUUCAUGGCGGGAUAACCCAAUUUUAUCAAACAUAUGGCGAUUCCUUCAAAUAUGCUUGCUGUUUAUCUCAGGCUUUCUUAGAGUUCCUCUUGGUGUACACGAGGAAUGGUUUUCUGUCAUAGGGUACCCUGAGUACUAUGGGUACCCUUAAUCUUGUCUCAUCAGUGUAUCGCGGUUUACUUAGACAUGCUUGUUGCGGUUAAUUCAUGGCGGAACAACCCAAUUUCAUCAAACAUAUGGUGAUUCCUCCGGAUAUGCUUGUUGCUUAUCUCAAACUUUCUUAGGGUUCCUCUUGGUGUAUUUGAGGACUGACUUUCUGGCGUGAGGUACCUCAGAGGUACCCUUAAUUAGUGUAUGGCAAUUUUCAUAGAAAUGCUUGCCGCAAAUCUUCACAAAACUUGUGGCGAUUCCUUUUGAGAGAUGAUGGAAAACCUCAUGAUCCACCAUUCUCUCUACAUCAAAUAUGCAAGACAAAUAGUCAUAAAGGUGGGCUGCUCGCCUACCCUUAUGUAAGAUGGUAAAAAAUAUCAUGAUCCGCCAUUCGCGUGGAAUCAAAUAUACAACAUAGAUUGAGAUAAAGGUGGCUGCUCGCCUACCCUUUUGCGAUAUGGUCAAAAACCUCAUGAUCUACCAUUCGCUGGAAUCAAAUAGACAAUAUAGAUUGAGAUGAAGGUAGUUGCUCGCCUACCCUUAUGUGAGAUGGUCGAAAACCUCAUGAUCCACCAUUUGCAUGGAAUCAAAUAGACAAUAUAGAUUCAGAUAAAGGUGGCAGCUCGCCUACCCUUAUGCGAGAUGGUCGAAACCUCAUGAUCCACCAUUCACAUGGAAUAAAAUAGACAACAUAAAUAAAAAUGAAGGUGACUGCUCGCCUACCUUUAUGCGAAAUGAUUGAAACCUCAUGAUCGACCAUUCGCUCAGAAUCAAAUAUGGCGAAUAAAUAAUGAUAAAGGCGGCUCUGAUGUUAAGUAGAUUAGCAUGAUUGGGGAUAAGUCAGGUACCUCUGGUACCCUGGAGUAAGGUGAUCUCUGGAUACCCUUUUGCAUCAUAAUAAACAAUACUUUUACUAGUAGUGUGACUUUUCUUUGUUGGAUCGGUGGCCCAAAUCGAGACUGAAACCGAGUCUUCAACUGGGGUACCCUAUUUUUCAUCUUUGGGUAUUCGAGGAUCCAAAUGUGCCUCCAAUUCACAUUUUGGCUUAAUCUGGUCCCCCUGGGGUACCCCCGCAUAACUCUAGAGUAACUAGUUAUGGGGUACCCUACCACCGAGGCCUCGGUGGUGGCUCUUGCUGCUCUGGUGGUGGCGAUCUUGGAGGUUGGGGUACCCGUGAGAUACCCUAAGUGUUAAACACUCGUCCCCACAGGAUAACCCUUGGAGGGCUCCGCAUUCAGGGUACCCUUGGUAUUGGGCCUUCCAUCAUCUUCGGCUUCUCCUUAUUCUUUGUGACCUCGACCUUAUCUUCUUGGCAAUUCAAAUGAAAUUUCUCAUCCAUCUCCACUUGCUGCAACGCCCAAGAACGGGCUUCCCUAUAUGAAAGUGGGUGCUUAUUUUGAAAGGAACGUCAUAACUUGCCCAACCGUAAAUUUUUCUCGAAAUGGGUCAGUGUUUGUUGGUUUCCAAAUGCUCCGGUUCGCAACACCUCUUGGUGGAAACGGCUCAUAUACUCCGCCAAAGGUUUGGCUUCCCCUUGCUUGAUAAAAGCGAGUUUGGAGGCUACCCUAUCUUGAGUGGAAACAUAGGAAAACUCUUUAGUAAAUUCGGAUAAUAAUUGGUGUAGAGAAUAUAGGUUACCCACCUUCAAGGACUGAAACCAUGACUUCGCGAGGCCCAUGAGUGUGUGUGUAAACAUCCUACACAUGGCAUUCUCAUAUACACCCAUGAUGGAGAAUGAAACCUAGGCACCUUUAUAUAUGGAGUACCUCAGCUGCCACGUGGCAUAUCUUUUUUGGCUAACGUCCUUUUAUCUUUUUAUGAUUUUUGGGCCGUUAUGUGCAUGUUCGCUGCGUAUCUCAUCCUUUGGAAACGUGGCGCGCGCUGGAGAGUGGUCCAGGGUACCUUUGCAGUAGCUGUCGGGUAGGCGGCUGAGGACCACUGUCCUUGGGACAAUGUCUUUCACUUUUGGCAGAGGUAGCAAGCGGUUGUCCCCCCAUUUUGAUACAACAUUCUUGAUUCUUAAUUUUGACAAAAUCGAUUAAUAUCUUUUAAGAGAUGGAGACGUUUCUCAUGGCGGAUAUUUUCAGAGGAUUCUCUUACAUCUGAUCUGCCGGGUACCUCGGGUUACGUGGGGUGCCUCAAUUUAUGUGGGGUACCCCUAAUAGUGCGGGGUACCUCUAUUUGUACGGGGUACCUCUAUUUGUGCGGGGUACCUCAAAUCACGCCAGGUACCUUGGAUUGUGCAAGGUAUCUCGUAUCAUGUCGGGUAUCUCAAUUUGUCCGGGAUACCUUAAAUCAUGCCGGGUACCUCGGAUCGUGCGGGGUACCUCAGAUUGUGCUGGAGUCAUUUCAUUUGUCGACACGUGGCGCUUUACUGCCUUUCCUAUUUUUCCCUCAAACAACAUCUCCCUAAUUUCUUUUUGGCGAGAAGUAUUGGAGGCAAAAAAAACUCAUUGUAUGAGUGACACGUGGUGAUGCGUCUGGACCGGGGAUACCUUGCGUAGUUUCUUCCCUUGACAAAACUUUGUGUACUGUCGAGCUAAAAAAAUCUUCUCUUUGUCUUUUCCCUUUCCCGCCACUUUUCUUUCUUUUUUUUUUACUCAACUGCUGAUGAGAACGAACAGUUGUCUUUAUGUCUCUCUCCUGUUUUCUUGGGAAAUGGCAGCCUUCUAACACACAGUUUGAAUUUUAAAAAUAUCAAUCUCACACAAACAUCUCUUACCUCCUUUCUUGUGCAGUGUGUUCUGUCAUGUUGAAUUAAAAACCCCUGACGUGAAUGUCAAUCUCCUCUCAUUUAUUUUGAAAAUCCCCAAACGAUCUCCCAAAAGUUGAUUAUCUCCAGUGGCCUUCUUCUUUCAACAUUUCGUCUUUUCUCCUAACUGCAUCAAUAUUGCUCACAGGAAAAAAUUUCUUCUUUACUUUUUUUUUUUGCGUUCGUUCGUCUUCCCUUGGGCUUUAUUUUCUCUUUACUUUCCUUUUUUUCUUUUAUUUCCUUCUUCUUCCUUUUUCCUUCUUUCCUUCUCUUUCUCUCUCGGUCGGUGUUCAUCUGGUGCGUUUUCCGGCGUUGAUCUCGGCUGCUGCAGUGGCGGUUUUGGCUUCAGAUCUGGUCGGUUCAAGGCAGUUUUUCGACGGCUCAUGACGAGAUCCGACCUGGCGGUAGAUACGGUAACCUCCCUCCCUCGUGUCUUCAUUUUAUCCUUACUUUCUCUCUCUUCUUUCUCAUUUUCUUCUCUCUUUCUCUUCUCUUUUUCGUUUCGGCCGGCGUUCUCCUUGGCGAUUUCUGGCGUCAGUUCGGUGGCUGCAGUCGCGGCAGCUGGCGUCGGUUCAAUGGCUGCAGUCCCCCCCUCCGUGUUGUCUUCUCCGUUCUUCCUUUUCUCUUUUUUCCUUUUUUUUAAUUUUCGGCAGCGUUCUCCCUUGGUGGUUUCCGGCGUCCUUCUCGCGAUCUCCGGCGUCGGUUCUCGGUGGUUGCAGCCACGACAGUCGACGCCGGUUGCUGCAGCUUCCCCCCCCCACCGCGUUGGUUUGGUUCGGUAGCUGCAGCUUCUUCAUUUUUUUAUAAAUAAAAUGAAUUGACUAAUUUCAUUUGUGCUUGAAUAAAUAAAAUAAAUUUGCAGCUUCUUCGUUCUUCACACCAUUGGUUUUUAUACUUGCAUAUUCUUACUUACUGGUUUUGGUUGCCUGCAGCUUUGUCUUCCCACGAUUACCAAUCCUGAUCCGUCAAGUUGGUAAAUCAUAGGUAUCCUUCCUCGUUUCUCCUCCUUUGGCGCAUUUACAAUGGCGUUAUUUUGCAUACUCUGAGAAAAUUUUGUUUGUUUGUUUGUUUUUUUUUUUUUUUGUGGUUGGUGUUUGCAUUUGAUGGUUGAUGUGUGGUGGGUGGUGUAUGGCAUGAAAAUAUUGUUGGGGGAAUUGUGGCUUGGUGGUUACAUUGUUGGGAGAAUUGUGGCUUGGUGGUUACGUUGUUAGGGGAAUUGUGGCUUGGUGGUUAUGUUGUUAGGGGAAGUAAAUAGGCAAGAAACAUACGGGACCUGUGAGGAAGCGACGUGCAAUUGGGGCUAGUAGGUUUGACAGCCCUCCUGCGCGUUCUCCUUCCCACAUCUCCAUUACCGAGAGGGAUAGGUCCCCCCUAGUACCUCUAGGAGUUGUAACUCUCAUUUUGAGCUCCCUCCUCUUAGGAGUACUCCUCGUGUCAGCCCACGCCACUAAACGGCCAACCCCCCAUCCUCGAAAGAAGGGUAGGUCAUCAAAACCUAAGGUUCCAGCUCGUUCCUCAGACCGGCCUCCCAAAUCUCCCCCUGCCACACCUUCAAAAUCUGGCAACCUUUAUUCCCUAGGCACUAGGAGGGCUACUUUGGGGGACUUAGAACAAAUUAGAGCCAAAUACAAUAUUCCUCCGUCUGUCCAGCUUAGGGUACCCCAUGUGGAUGAGCGACCUGAGUGUCCGAAGUCUGAUGGGAUUGCUCUCCACAUUGACCUCUUUCAUCUAGGACUUCGCCUGCCCCUCCAAUCUUUCUAGAUGAAGAUGUUUAGUUUUUUGGGGGUAGCUCAUGGGCAGCUGUCCCUUCCAGGGUGGAGGACACUUACGGGCUUACAUGUGUUAUAAUUGGAGGUAUUGAGGCGCAACAUUUCUAUUCAGGAAUUGAGGGGCCUCUACCAAUUCAAAAAGCCCAAGGGUUCCGCUAUUGCUUACUUCUCCGCUUGGGGUGAUCAUAGUCAUAUUGUUGAGGGGGACCCUACCUUGAAGAAGGGUUACCGAAAGGGGUGGUUCGUUGCUGAGGGUAGGUGGGGGACAGAGACUCUAGGUGAAAAGGGCAACCCCGUGGAGGUUCCAAAUUCCUUCAAUGUAGACUGUAAGUAUCUUCCUUGUUUACGGUUCUUUAUUGUAAUAUUUCGCAUGAAUGUCUCGUUAACCUUGGGUUCCAUGCUUUUGUAGGUGUGACGUGGGCUAAAGGAUCAUGCCUACUUCAGGAGGUGAAAGAGUUUGUGGAGAGGCUCCGAGGUGCACAGAGGGGUAGUGAUGUGUUAGAGGAGAGCAAAUUACAGAGAGCGGGGUUGAUUGACCGAAGUCCUCCAUCUGCUUCUGGGGAUGACUCAUGUAUGAUUCUGAAGUCGGGGGGUACCCUAUUAUUAUCUACGGGACUGGGGUACCCCGUUAUCACCGCAUUCUUUAUUUUGCUUCCCCGCUUUUAAUUUCCUAUUUUUGCUUUUAUAGUACUUAGUACUUGUCCGGCUAACAUAACGUUUGUGCAUUGGGUGCAGUUAUGGAGUCGGCGGGUGACGCCUUUGAUACCUUUUUCUAAGUAGUUGUGUGAGGUGCUUCUAGAUCUCAGGAUUCGGCGGUACCCCAGAAAAGUUCCCGGCCACCUCGAGCUCCCGGACUAAAGGGAAAAUUCCAGGGUACCUCCCACAGUGGGUCGAAGGGUACCCCUCGUUCAAAAAAGAGAAAAUUCGGGAUGGUUUCUGCUUUCCCCGAUGAAUUGCGUGAAGGCGACCUAGACCCGGCCUCCAACAAGGAGGUUUCACACUUGGCUCGGUGUUUCUACUAUUCUGCUGAAAAUGUUACCUCCGAGGUGGCUGAAGAGACAGACAAGAUGAGCUUGAGCCAACACUAUGUCAGGCACUCAGGGCUACCCAAGAGGUAAGCUUUAAUAGGGUACCCCGGGUGUAUCCUCCAUUUUUUAUUUAUUUACUCCUAUUGCCAUACACAUAUAUUUAAAAUGUCUUUUACGACCUGCAGGCAUCCUAUUUUCUCAGCCACUGUCUUUCAGAUCUCGACUCCCUUGUUGCCGCCCAAUCGGAGGUUGACAAGUUAAGGGGUGAGCUUCGAAGUCGUCAGUCUUACGAGAACGAGCUUGCUCGAGAAGUCAAGACUUUGCGGGAACGCAUUACUGGCCUUUCUGGAGAGAAAUCUCGAGUGGAGAAAGAUUGCGACGAGUUGAGGGCCACAAACUAGGAUCUGUUAUCCCGACAAAAGACGAUGGCAGAGGAUGCAUUCUCACUCAUCAUGACGGAGGUGUGGAGUGUGGAUCCGAAAUUAGAGGUACUCCAUGUGCAGAAAUUCGUCAACAAGGCCACGAUUCUGAAGACGAUUGAGGAGAGGAAUAAGUCUUCCCAUGCACGGUCAGGUACCCCUUCCGAGUCGCCUAGGGUACCCCGCGCGCUUCAGCCGUUGCUCGCCUCAGAUGCCCCUACUUCGGCUGCUCAUAUUCCAGGUACCUCAGAGUCCUCUGCUGAUCGCCCUCUGGAGACGGACGGUAGGGAUGGCGUUCCACCCUCGGUGUAACCUUUUCACUGUGCUCUUAUUUUUUAGAUCUAUCCACAUUUUGCUAUUUCGAACUUGUUUCUUUCUUUUUGGUUUCUUGGGAUAUUCUGUAUUAUUGGGACUUCUCUUUUGUUAUGAUAUCAUGCCACCGAGCCCUUUUGUACUUUGCAUUCUUGUUAUUCUGCAAAUGAAUGUUUGGCUAAACUGUUAUCUUGUAAAUUUUCAGGGUACCUCUCAUUUUUCUUUUUUCUUUUUGAAAUGGGGUACCCCCGGUACCUUAACAAAUAUUCGACAUCAGGCGCCUGCUGGUUUAUACAGAUUAGCGAAUUUGGUGCAUGCCCUUCUCGGCAACCAUGGCGGAUUUCCCAUAAAUAGGUAAUCAAAACAUCAUCGCGACAUCUCGAUCAAAAAUUGAAAGUGCGCAAUUGGUCCAACCAAUCAAUUUCUUAUUCUUUCGAAGUUCUCUCCGAAUUUUUGAAUAGCUUACCCCCUACUUUGCUCAAGUAAGAGGACGGAGGUGUGGGUGUUCUCAUACCUAAGCUGAACCUCGUGCCGCUGGGGUAUGCCGAUUUUACUCCAUCCUCGGCUCCUCUUUGACCCUCCCUCUCUUUGUCUAGGUAGUUUUGUCAUGCUUCCGCAGAAAGACUACCCCUGGGCUGUUCACUCCGUUGCCCAUCUUGGCUUUACAUAGAUCGUCAUGAUCUAGGCAUAUCAGGUACCCUGGCUGGUCCUGUGAUAGGUUAGUUAUAAUUGACAAGCGUAUGGCGAGAAUUGCAUAUAACCAAAUGCGAGGGUAUAUUAAUGGCGAUAAAUGAAUAUAAUCCGCAUUCUAAGAUCGAAGUGGCGAAAAAUAAAAAAGAACCCACAUCAUAUUUGUUGAGAAAGAAAAUGCAUUUAUAGAUAACGAAAGCGUUGAUCAAUACAUGACUUAGCGUUGUUACCCUGAGGAGAAUGAGAGACCGCAAGACCUCCUAUCCUUUUCAUUUGAAAAUUAAAGAAACUUUAAAGUUGCAACUGACCAACAUAAGGCAUUCGGGGUACCACAUUUGGCCUACCACGCAAAAACAUUAAAUAAAGCAAACAACAGCAAAAGCCUAAAGGUUAAGACACUAUCCUUUAGUAAUAUUUCCGUAGCAUUGCAGCAUUUCAGGGGUGCCUCACGAUUGUCUUAUUCAUAUGGAGUAGCUAUGCCAAGGUUGGUGACGACUGCAAUGGUGUGAGCUUGAAAAUAUGGUCUGAGCUUCCGUGCGGAGACAACCAAUGCCAAAACGACCUUUUCACAGGUGGGGUACCUCUUUUCGGCAUCAACCAUAGCCUUAUUAGUGUAGUAAAUAGGUCGUUGUACCUCAUUAUCAUCCUCUCGGAGUAACACGGAGCUGGUGGCAUACUCGAAUACGGUGAGAUACAACAGAAGCACCUCUCCCGGCUCAGAUUUGGCAAGUAGUAGAGCAUUCACGAGGUACCCCUUCAGUUCUUGAAAAGCCUCUUCGUAAUCGGGUGUCCAUUGGAGCUUCUUGCCGGUCUUCAAAGCUUUGAAAAAUGGCUUACACCGGUCUGUAGCCUUGGAGAUAAAGCGGCUCAGGGUAGCUACCCGGCCUGCCAAGCUUUGAACCUCCUUGAUGGUGCGUGGCGAUUUCAUGUCAAGAACCGCGUGAAUUUUAUCGGGGUUGGCCCAAUCCCCCGUUAUUGUACCAUGAACCCAAGAAAUUUCCCCAAGGUAACCCCAAAUGCACAUUUUUCAGGGUUGAGCCGCAUCUGGUGUCUUCUUAAAACUGUAAAAGUAUCUCUGAGAUGCCCCAGGUGUUCCCCCAUAUGUACCGAUUUAGUGAUCAUGUCAUCUAUGUACACCUCCAUGGUGUGCCCGAUUUGUUUCUUGAAAAUUUUGUUCACUAGCCGCUGAUAGGUAGCCCCGGCAUUCUUCAAACCAAACGGUAUAACCUUAUAACAGUAUAACCCGCGGUUGGUGAUAAAGGCCGUUUUCUCUUAAUCGGGUUCAUACAUUGGGAUUUGGUUGUAACCGGAGAAGGCGUCCAUAAAACUAAGCAUCUCAUGCCCCGCUGUUGCAUCAACUAGCUGGUCUACCCGGGAAGCGAGAAGCUAUCCUUGGGGCAGGACUUGUUCAAAUCGGUGAAGUCCACACACAUACGCCACCUUCUGUUUGAUUUCCUGACUAGAACAACGUUGGAUACUCAAUCGGGGUACACUGCUUUCUGGAUAAAUCUUGCUGCUAAUAGGCAGUCUACCUCUUGUUCAAUUGCAUCGUACCUCUUUUGGUUGAAGGUGCGACGCUUCUGUUUCACCGGUUUAUUAUGUGGGCUGACAUUGAGUUUGUGACAAGAGAGGAAAGGUGGGAUACCCGGCAUAUCUAAGCGGGACCAGGCGAAUACAUCGUGGUGCUCGCGUAGAAAGGUGAUGAGCCCCUCUCUUUGUUCCUCCGAAAGAUUGGAGCCUACUUUCACGAUCUUUGUUGGGUCGGUGGUACAAAUCGAGACUGAAAUAAGGUCUUCAACUGGGGUACCCCGUUUUUCAUCUUUCAAUAUUCGGGGAUCCAAAAGUGCCUCAACUUCACAUAUGGGCUCCACCUGGUCCCCGUGGGAUACUUUUGACCUAUCCCCCGCAACUGCUUCUACGCCCAUUGGUGAGGAUUCCAACUGUUUUCGUGGGUGGGCUACCUGAGGAGAUUUUUUGAAUACCACUCUCCGCUGUCUAGCAAGUACUCGCUUUGAGGGAUAAGGUGUGGGCUGGCUGCCACUGGGGUACCCCUUCAUUGGCGGAUCAGAAGCGAUUUGAUAAGUGACUUUGGAGGCCAUGAAGUAACAUCCACGAGCCGAUUGCUGGUCCCUUUUAAUGGUGAUAACUUCUUGGGCGGACGGGACUUUCAUGGCGAGGUAGUGCAUGGAUACCACCGCUUUAGUUGCUAUUAAGAACGGCAUACCCAAUAUGAUAUUGUAGGCACCCGGGUGAUCUACAAUAAGAAAAUCAAUCAUAUGAACAACACGGUAAGGUACUUUACCAAGUGUAACGGGCAGUGUAAUGAUGCCUUUUGGUAUAACCAUAUCUCUGGCGAACUCAAUAAGAGGCGUAGCAUAAGGGAUGAUCUUUGGCGACUCUAUCAGUAGUUGAUCCAAGGCGCUUUUGAAAAUGAUGUCAACGGAGCUGCCGGUAUCUACAAGAGUUCUUGCUACCUUACCGAUGGCAACCUUCAACGUAAUUUACUAAGGCAUCGUCAUGGGGGUACGAGAUACCCUCCGCAGUUUUUUCUGUAAAAAGGAUAGGCGGGGGAUGGUGGGGUACUUUCGGUGUACCCCAUUCAUUAAGGUUGACUUCUCUGUCAAUAUUAGUGGUUAUCGACAACGAUCUACCAUAGCCUUUGAUAGCCCUCCUAGAUUGGCCCGCUAAAGUAGGUCCACCCAUAAUCAUCCGGACAUACACGCCUUUCUUAUGUCCCGGGAGUACCUCUCGUUCAGGACUGCCAUCAGCUACCCGCUUGCCCUUAUCCUGCUCCGUGGAUUUCCGAGCUUCUCUCAUGCCAGCAACAAAUUCUUUGAGGUACCCGCUAAGAAUCAAAGAUUCAAUUUCCUCUCGCAAGGUAAAAUACUCGGCUGUGCUAUGACCGAAGUCCUCAUGGAACUCACAAUACUUCAAGUUAUGCUUCAUGUUGGGGUACUUCUUCAUUGGCUAAGGAGGACGAAGGAGGCCGCUAUCCCGAAUAUGGUAGAAGAUCUGCUCUGGGGAUCGAUUCAGUGGAUGGUAAGAUUCGUACCAAGGCCUCGGUGGUGGCGAUCUUGGAGGUUGGGGUACCCUGAGCGUUAUACCCUCGUCCCCGCGGGGUAGCCUGUGGAGGGCUCCAUGCUCAGGGUACCCGCGGUAUUGUGGCCUCCAUCCUCUUGGGAUUCUCUUUGUUCUUUGUAACAUCAGCCUUAUCUUCUUGGCGCUUCAAUUGGCAUUUAUCGUCCAUCUCCACCUGCUGCAACGCCCGGGAACAGGCUUCCCCAUAUGAAAGUGGGCGCUUCUUUUGAAAAGAACGCCAUAACUUGCCUAACCGUAAAUUUUUCUCAAAAUGGGUUAAUGUGUAUUGGUUUCCAAAUGCUCCGGUUCGCAGCACCUCUUGGUGAAAACGACUCAUAUACUCCGCCAAAGGUUCGGCUUCCCCUUGCUUGAUAAAGGCAAGUUUGGAGCCUACCCUAUCUUGAGUGGAAGCGUAGGAAAACUCUUUAGUAAAUUCGGAUAACAAUUGGUGUAAGGAAGAUAUACUACCUGCUUUCAGAGAGCGAAACCAUGACUUCGCAGGGCCCGUAAGUGUGUGUGUGUAAACAUCCUACACAUGGCACUCUCAUCUACACCAUUGAUAAGCAUUUAGUCGCGGUAUAGCUCAGCAUGCUCCGAGGGAUCAGUGACACCCGAGUAUUGGGGUAUUUGAGGCAUGGCGAACGCCUCGGGGAGAGCUGCCUUCCGAAUCUCCAUAGUGAAUGGCGAUUGGUAGGUCAUUGGCGUUGGAGCAGCUGUGAUGUUUUGCUUCUCGGAGAGGAGCUUCACUUGGGCUUCCAGGUUCUCCAUUUUUUUCACAAGUUCGUGGGGUACCCUCGGGGUACCUGAUGAUGUCGCCACCAUUUGAGAAGCCCUUUUGGCGUUUAACUUUUCAUAGAGAUCCUCGUGGGUAUGCUUUGCACGCCUCGUACCCUGGCUGCUGCAGGAAUUGCAAGAGGCGGUGGAACACUCGUCUCGGGAGCCCACGGUAUGAAACUUAAAAUGGGUACCCGAUGGCCUAUGCUUUGGCUUGUUGCCCUCGGGUACCUUUUUUCUGAUCAUAACUUGGUCGUCCUUUUGAGGUGGUAGAGCAUCUAGUGUCACUGGUGGAAGUGAACUUUCGGGUGCCCGAGAUCCAACCGCCCUAAGUAUUGCAUGGGCAAGAUCCUCAAAAUGCUUGUGGGAGAUGGGUUCAUCAUCUUGGCGGAUACCCGUUGAUUGCUUGAUACCCUUGCCCUUGCUGAGAUGGGCUACCCUUCUUACGGUAUCACUACCUUCACCGCUGUUGUCAUCUCCCAUCCUUGUAGGAUCCGCCAUUAAACCUUCGGGAGGUGCGUCAGGUGCCAUGUAUUGGAGUACACACAACAACUAGUUUGGUAACUGCGGUAGAGGCUUUUUGUACGCUUCCCCACAGACGGCGCCAAUUGUUUUCAACAGAUUUUGAGGUAGGAAAAGCCAAAAUCUAUCUUGAACAAUGAAUUUAUAUUUUUGGGGGAGAUGGGGUACCUCACUUGUUUGUUGUGCACAAUGUGGUGUAUCUAAAAUUCGGGGGAGGUGAGAAGGGGAAAAUGAGUGGUAACAACAGUGAAAGGUCAAAACCAAGAGAGAUGCCCUUCAAAAUGAGUUUCACGCCUGCAAAAUAGUGAAAUAGAGGUUAGAGGUGAAGCCGGGGUACCCCGGCGUUCACACUCCGACGCUCAAGUAAGCAAACUCAAGCUUUUAUGGUAAAGAGAGCUGGCUAGCCCUCUGUAAAUUAGGGUUUAAGGUUGAAGAAAACCUAUUUUUUAGAGUGUGAGUGUUAAUGGUGAGUGAGAACAUGAUGGAGAAUGAAACUUAGACACCUUUAUAUAUAGAGUACCUCAGCUGCCACGUGGCAUACCCUUUUUGGCUAACGUCCUUUUACCUUUUUAUGAUUUUUGGGCUGUUAUGUGCAUGUUCGCGGCGUAUCUCAUCCUUUGGAAACGUGGCGCGCGCUGGAGAGUAGUCCAGGGUACCUCUGCAGUAGCUGUCGGGUAGGCGGCUGAGGACCACUGUCCUUGGGACAAUGUCCUUCACUUUUGGCAGAGGUAGCAGGCGGUUGUUCCCUCCUUUUGAUACGACGUUCUUGAUUCCUGAUUCUGACAAAAUCGAAUAAUAUCUUUUAAGAGAUGGAGACGUUUCUCAUGGCGGAUAUUUUCGGAGGAUUCUCUUGCAUCUGAUAUGCCGGGUACCUCGGGUUACGUGGGGUACCUUAAUUUAUGUGGGGUGCCCCUAAUUAUACGGGGUACCUCAAAUCACGCCGGGUACCUUGGAUUGUGCAGGUAUCUCGUAUCAUGUUGGGUACCUCAAUUUGUCCGGGGUACCUUAAAUCAUGCCGGGUACCUCGGAUUGUGUGGGGUACCUCAGAUUGUGCUGGAGUCAUUCCAUUUAUCGACACGUGGCGCUUUACUGCCUUUCUUAUUUUUUUCCUCAAACAAAUAUUAAUUAUUGUGAUUAUUUAUUCAAAAAACUAUAAUUAUUAAUAUAUUAUUGUUAAUAAAAUAUUAAUAUAUUAAUUAAUAGUAAUAAUUUUAUUAAUAGUUAUUAUAAUAGUAUAUUAACUAAUUAAUUAUAAGCUAAACCGUGACUUAAGUUGAACUCAAAAGGACCAGAAUUUAAAAACAUUUCGGGUGAGCCCUUUAGGAAUUUUCUAAAGUACGGCUUCUGCUUAGCUCUGUUUAAUUUCUCUUAUAUUUUUAUACAAAAAGUCUCCGUUCUCUGCCUUUUCAAACUCUGAAGGGGGGCAAUAUUCCCUAAUUCCCCCUUGAAAAUUCUGAUUACGACAUUAUUCAUCGCUUGAUGCAAUCAAAGUGGUGACAAAGUUAGGAAAAAUAUGACUCCCAAGUAAUUACUAGGCAGGGCUCCUGAGAGCAACAUUGUCCUAGGCAUUAUAUGCAUACACGAUGUGGUACAUAGAGCACGUUGAAUUACACACUAUAACACAAACCCAGAAAUACAAGUAAUAACUCAACUGAUGUAAAGACAAAAAUAAUAUAAAAUGAUAUACAAAAAGAAUUUCAAAGAGAUAGCAACAUACAAUAGACUGAAGCCACUUAAUCUAUUCGUUGAUUGCAGCCUUAAACUUGCAAAUAGUUACUGUACGCUAGUGCUCUAAGAAGUGAAAAUGAUGCAACUGAUCCCCUUUUGACUUCCAUUUACUGUCAAAUAUUCUAUUCAUACGAAAAAAAUGUUCAGAUAUCUUGCUAUAAAUAUAGCCGUUUGACUGUCAAAAGUCACACACAACCAUUCUUAUUAAAUUAGCAAAGAUCAAACACUGCCCUAGAUCUUGAACAGACCAACACAAGAUGCACAACUUACGAUUGAAUCCGGCCAGAAACAAUCAACUCUUUAGCAAGAACAAUUAAUCAGAGUCAAGAAACAAGUUUAAUGAAUAUAAACCUAUAAUUGAAACAAACGUAGCCAAGAAACAAAUAGAGAUUUUACAUGUUUCAGUUGUACCAAGGAUGGCACAACCUACACCAUGGGAGAAGCUUUCUGGUGAGAUUUUAUUGAUGAUCAUAGAAGAAUCUAUAACCCUCUCUCCCUGUUCAAUCUCUUUCUAUUUUGUUCCCAGUGAUGACCCCAAUCUGCUUAGUUAGCCAGCUUUAUAGCUGCAUCAGUAACAAACUAGCAAACCCAGAUUGAGCAGAUUGACGACACGUGGAUAACGGCUUUAACGAACCUGGCGAAGAACUGCUCACAUGUUCGUCACGUGUGUUACUUUAAUGAUGGCCAAAACGACUUCAAACAAAUGCCGUUUUGAAGCGUAUGAAUCAUAAGUGAAAACACGUGCUUGUCUCGUGACAUUUAAAUGCAGCAACAAACCCAAAACGCUGUCGUUUUACUCUGUUGAGUUUGAUUCAUCACUAAGCUUCACGACUAGCAAUGGAGAAGAUAUAAUUUAAUUGACAUGAACAGUUUUUAUAUGACUUUUGUAACAUCCUAUGUAAUUGUGAUAUUUGGAAUCAUGGGUGUUCUAUAUGUGAACCCUAGUUGGCAACACUAGUGAUUUUAUCCUUGUUGAAAUGUUACUAUUUUGUUGUAGAUAACUUUAUUCCCACGAGAUUUGUCAUUGUUGUAGAUAACCUUAUUCCCAUGAGAUUUGUCAUUGAAAUUAACACGUAGUUUCAUUGCAUUUCUGCUUCAUUAAAAUUCUCAAGUACCAGUCAGGUUUGCUUAAUUAAGAAAUAAAAAUUUUGCCCACCUUGCAUUUUCUAUUAUUUUUCAUAAAUCAAUUAAUAUGCAAUGUCAAUAUCAAGUUUAGUUUUUUAUACUAAAAAAUAAAGAAAGGAAACACACAAAUUCACAGUUUAGAGGGGUAAACUAGAACGUUCAUCAUACAUAAUUGCAUAUCAUGAGACAGUGCUACAGUCUACUGAGAUCUAACUUACAUGAUAAUUUAAGCUACUAAUGUUUGCAUAUUUCUACAUGUUAAAUUAACACGAACAUCUAUAAUCACUCCAAAACGACAGAUGAUAAGCGGCUUUUGGCCACUUAUUACUAGCAUCCACAAUUAAUUUUUGUUCAGCAAUCAGCUUAUUUUAUAGAAAUUGAUUUAAUCAGCAACAAACACUAUAAUUCUUCAAAUUAAUUUUUGUUCUUUGUAAACUAGCUAGGUGGUUUAGAACUGGGCUAGCUACCUUACUAUAUGGGAAAUUUUUAACCUACCCCAAAUAAAUUGAUAUUUUGCACCGCGCCCCUAAUUCCGUUAAUUUUUCAAUUAUUUCUAACGGCUCCGUCUAACUUUUGAUUGAAUGACAAAAAUGCCCCUCUAUAUGAAAAAAAAAACAAAAUUUUUAGCUCAUUUAAUUUUUUUAAGGUUUUUAUUUCAAUUGCAAUAAAAAAAAAUUUCUUAUUACAUGUACAUUUGUCACCACUAUUAUUUUUCCUUUAAUUUUUUAAAGAUUUUUAUCUCAAUUGCAAUAAAAAAAAUUUCUUGUUACAUGUACAUUGUCACCACUAUUAUUUUUCCUUUAAUUUUUUUUAAGAUUUUUAUUUCAAUUGCAAUAAAGAGAAUUCCCAUUAAAAUUAAUUUAAAGAAUGAACUUUCAAUUUUACCCCUCCACUAUUAAACUUAACUGAAAAAUUAACGUAAUUGGGGAUGCAGUGCAACACGUCAUUUUUUUUUUGGUGCGCGGUGCAAAAUAUCAAUUUAUUUGGGGGUAGGUUAAAAAUUUCCCUUACUAUAUUCCAAUUUGUACGGUGAAUUAAUUGAAUCAUGAGAAAACAAUGUGGUCAUUGCUCAAUAUGAGAUGAUUUCGGAGAGGCAUAUUGUUUUCAAGUUGAUUUAAUCCAUUUAUAAGAGAUGAAGGGGAUUGAAGUGGAAAGUUUAAAUAACAAAUCCUUGUUCUCGAGUUUUACGACGUCGUUACUCCUUCGAAGUGGCAGAUUAUGCAAGUGAAUUAAAGAACAAAAUGCAUCAAUCACGAGGAUGCUACAUCAAAAGACGGGAUCAUUGUUUAUCCACUGAACAGUUACAGUUGCUGCUACCAAUUACCUCGGCAAAGAUCAAGAAGUCAGAACAGGAAGCUAAUGCCAUCGAUGUCGUCUUCAUUAUAACUGCUGGGAACGUAGGUGUAGUUUCCUCAUUUGAAGCUGUCUAUACAUAGGCUUUUCCCCUGCUUAAGUACAAAUAAAUGAACAGCCUCGAAGGCUUAAGUACACUUUCGUUUUCUCAAUUUCUCUCAGAAGUCCCUCUGAGAAUAGCUGCCAAAACAGUUACUCAGCUUUUAUACUCUUGUCUUCCGGAAACAGAGUCCUAACUAACUGACUGUGCAGAGCAUGUCAAUAUUCUUAGUAUAUCUAACCGGUUUAACAGUAAUUUUUUACCGUCUUCGCAGUUAUCAUCAACAAACUCAUCAUAAGAUUUUUGGAGCACCCAAGGACUAUCACUUGGUUUCUCUUCUGGUUGAUUAAUUAAUUAAUCAAAGAACGGUUGGAUACCCAGGGAGAAAGGAGUUGUCUACUGUGUGUUGCGUAAUUAUGCUAUGAUCGGUGCUUUCAACAUUGCCCUGAAAACAGUGGGAAAUACUUCAUAUCCUCGACAUGAUGAUGAAAAACUGGUUACCGAUUACCUAACUGACUCAGGUGACAACAAUCCAUUAAUAGCACAAUUUGAGGUGAUGCCGUUUAGGUAUAUGGUUUACAGGUUUGACUGAUCAGUGAUGAAGUGGACUGAAAUUAAAAGAUCAUAUAAUAAGUCAUUGUUCUUGGGCAUAUCGUCAUUACUCAUUACUACUUCAAGUGAUCAAAGAUGAAGAUGAAGAUGAACAUUGUGCAAGUGAGUUCAAGAAUACCAUACAUCGUUACUUAGGAUACUUCUUCAAAUAUGGAUGGGGUCAUAAUUUACUCCCACGAAUUUCAACCCAAUUUUAUGAUUGGAGUGUCCCACCAUGACUCAGAAAAAUUCUGAUUCAACCUCCUCCACCAAUGGAUUUUGAUUAGUCACUUUGUGAUCAAGCAACUUAAUUAAACUCAGAGAGUCAGAGUUCGAUUUUGCUGGCACCGCAUUUUUUUUAAAAUGUGGCCAUGUAAGGAGAGCGGCACAUAAUGUCACUUCCUUAUCAAGCACUUUAAAGAGGGAUUUUAGAAGAAGAUACAACUGCAAUUGUUUUCGUAUGUAUAUAUAUAAACAACAGCACACAUUCAGUUCAUAAAAGAAAUUUUUGCUAACCAUGAUAUGUGGUAGUGCUUUUUAGGCAAUUUAGAAACAGAGUUGUUCAACAUACAACAGGUGAACUCCUCAAGUUCGACGUAAAUACAAAUAUUAAUUAGAAUCCAUAUUAUAAUGACACACAUAACUUGCUUCAAAAUUAUUAGAAAUUAAAAUUGCUGAUUCAUAAUGCAGAUAACUUGGAUGAAUUGAUGUUAAAGGAAAAAUCACACGCAUAACUUGGAGAGCAAUUGCGACAGCAGCCAAGUAUAUAUUAACUAACUAAAAUGGCCAAUCAGAUUUGCUUAAGUAAUAAAAUUUUGUCUUGUAGUAGUGUUUCCAAGCACCUCGCAUUUGCAUCCACAUUUUGCAGGAAUUUUAAGAAAUACACGUGUCCGAAAGUCAAAUCAUCGUCCUUACUAUUCGAGUACUGGUAUGUUAAUGACGAAUUUGAAAAGCCACACUGUAAAAACAGUUUGUGAUCUAUGCAUGACGAACCACCAACAUUGUAGUAAUAGCACAGGAAAAAAUCUACCAAAAUUAAUUGCGUCCAUACAUAUAUGCAGAUGCAAACAAUGAUUGUAAAUUCUUUUUUUUUAAAGAAAAAAAAUAAGAAAAUUGUAUAUUGAGAUGGAUAAGAUGCUUAAUUUAAUUAAUUUACUUACUUUCAUACACAUCGUCUUUCCAUCUAAAGAAAACUUGGUGGUGAGAACGAUAUGAAGUUGCGAGUUGCUGCCGAUAGCUGCUGAUUAAAAAUAAAACGAGACAAAUUAAAUUAAGGACAAUGAUACAGAGCAUACUUAUCUGAAUUGUGCUAAACUUUCAAAGAUUUUGUCUCACGCGUGCAUGUAUAUCAUUUGUGUUUAAGAUUUAAUUAGUUAUAGUUAUAAUUAUUAGUCAUUUUAUAUUUAUUGAUUCAUCUAUACUGGAUAAAUUUUGAUGGAUUUAAAAAAAAAAAAAAAAAACUCGGUUGCCGAAAAAAUAAAAGAAAAGAAAAUGUUGAAUCUUACAUUUUAAUAUUUAGUUAAUUCUCCUUUCGAGCGUCUUCUUAGGCUUAGCAAACUAACUUAAAUUCUGCUAAUUUCUGUUAAAAAAAUUUGAUGCUGGCACUAAAAUGUUAAAAAAAAAAUGGUUUCUUAGAAAAGAACAAGAAAAGAAAAAUUUCAGCAUCUUCUACUCAGAAUUCUUUUCGUUGUUUAAGACUAUGUUUAUGUUUUCCAAAGAAAAGAAGAUUUUUAUUUUUAGUGACUAAUUUGAUUCUUAUUGGAUGAAAGGGGUGCGAUUUCAAUGAGAAAAAUGGGGAACAAAAUAAAGGAAGAUGAAAGAAUUGAGGGGAUCAUACACGUGGUCUUUUGAAGCUUCCUGAGAAUCGGAAAUGUAUCAACUGCAACUGUUUCUUAUGCCUUUUGCAGUAUUCUGAUAAUUUUAGUUUGAGUGGUUAAGAUAUUAAAUAAUCCAUUACAUUGCUUCCUAUUUUCUUGAUCGACUUACAUGAUCCUAGAUCUAAUGUAUGUUUCUUAUUGGCAGGGACCUCAAUAUGUUUGCACAAACUGCAGUGGAGUACAGUAAGUGUUGAUACAAAUUCUGAAAUUCUUAAUUCCGUCUGCAUACUGUGAAUAGCCUCUGUUUUAAAUUCCAACUUUUCCCAGUUUCAGCUCGACAUUUUAAAGCCAUUCUACGUGAUUCUUAAUUAUCUCUAUUGAAGCUUUAAUUUUAAUGAUGCUAGCUAUAUUUGUAUAAUUUAUAAUCGGUCCGGCCACCAUGUACUAUCUUUUUAUGAUUAAAGCAUCUUCAACAAGAUUUUCUUCAAUUUUCUCCAAGAGGAGCUGGAGCUGUGUCUCUGAUUAGCCAACGAAUUAGUUGCAAUUAAUAUUAACAUUGCCCACCCAAGAAAUAAGAGUGAUUUAAAGAAUUAGCAAGACUUCAUUGAGAGGAGCGAUCAAACGACCUCCUUAUCACCUGCGGCAGCCGUCUAUUAACUAAAAUGCCAAUUUCAUACAAGAAGAAGCAACAAGUACAUGCUCGGCAAUUGUGUUCGGUAAGAAGUGACAUAGCAUUCAGGUGAUGACUUUACUUUUGUUAUCUUGCUAACAAUGGUAGUCUAGUUUAAGUUUUACUGUGGAAGUUACAGAUGUGGCAAAAUCAAUAAUUAAAUUCAUAAAAUGUUAAAAAAUAAAACUUAUAAAUGUUGCAUGACUACUUACUAAUAAAUAAAUAAGUUAAAAUGUAGUUAGUUAAUUUAACACUAUAUUAUAUCUUAUUCGAUAAUAAUAUAAAAUAAAAAUAAUUAUAAAAUAAAUAAUUGGAUAAACAAAUAUGGCUUUCUAAACAGUAAAAAUUCGAGAGCUAAAAUUUAUAUUGUUAUUUUUUUUUAAAUUGACAUUUUUUCUAUUGUCUUACACGUACAUAGAUUUUGAGAGUUGAGAAGAAUAUAUUUGAUGAAGUUUGAUAUCAUUUGAUGGGAUAGCAAGUAAGGGUAAAUAUUUAUUAAUUAUUUUUAUUAAAUAAAAUAUUUUUAUUAAAUAAAAAAAUUUAUUUGUUAUUUAUUUCAAUUAUAUCUAUUUUGUUCAAGUUAAAAUACUAAAUAUAAAUUGGAGGUAGACAUUUUAACAAAUCAUCUAAGCUCUCAAAUUUGAAAUUUUGUGUAGAUUUAAAUUCAUAAUUUUAGUUAAUUUUCAUAUAUUCAUAUAAACAAAUUUAUGAGAUUUUUAUUUUCAGCAUGUUAUGUUUGAAACUUUCAAUGUAUUAUUCUAGUUUUAUUUAAACAAUUAAUUUAUUCAAAUUUUAUUUAAUUUUAAAUUUGAUCAGUAGUAAAAAAAAUUUUAUAUCAAAUUGUUUUAUUUAAAUAGUUCAUGGAUUGGACAAAAUUAAAAAAUUUUAAUUCACAAAAUUAUGGAUGGGAUAUGAAUUGGGUUAAAUCCACAUUCGAUCCGCAGUUGCAUGUAUUGAAUUUGGAUUGAAUUUCAUCAAUCUAUGUAUUAGAUUGAAUUGAAAAUUUAUAAUCUGCAAAAUUGUGAAUCGGAUAUAUAAACUGAUGUCCAAUCAGCAAAAUCCGAUCCCCGAACACUCCUCUAUCAAAAUUUUCAAGAAUAUGUUUUAGCUUACAAUUUUUUUUUUAAAGUCAUAGUCUAAUGGCAGCCCAAUUUCUACUCCAUCCAUAUAAGCGGAGUUCAAAUCUCAUACCUCUUAUCUCCACACGAGAUUUAACCAAUUGAAAUAGCUAGCACCCACAAGUAUACUAGUACAGCAUCUCUUAACGUUUAACAUACGUAUAAUUAACGCCAUAGCUAUUGAUAAACACAUUGUUCAAUAUAUAUGAUCAAGAAUCUGAUCCUGCGAGCAACAGCAGUCAGAAGAACCAUUAUAAUGCCUAGCUCUUAUCCUGGUUAAUCCUCUGGCCCGAUGCUUCAUCAUAGUGAUUUAAAAAACCAACAACAGCUCUCUAAAAGAGAUGAAGAUAUCAUCUACGUAAAGAACAUGAGACGGAGAUUCACAACCCAUAAGAUCUGAGAUAAAUUGGACCAGACCAGUAAUCUUGAGAUAAGUUAAACUGUGACUUAAGUUGAAAUCGGAGGACCAGAAUUUUAAAAUCUUUCGGCUAAGCCCCUGAGGAAUUUUCUAGAGUACGGCUUCUGCUUACCUCUGUUUAAUUUCUCUUUAUAUUUUUCUUUCACUUCAUUAAUAAAGUCAAAUAAUAAAUCAAAGAACGAGGGAAGAUUUUUCCAAGUCAUGCAUUAUUUGAUUACCAUCAAUCAAGAAACCGACCAAAUUAAUUUCUCCCCGUGAUUUUUAAAAAUUAAAAAAAAAUUAUUUGAACAUAACAUCAUUAAUUAUAGAGUGGAUCAAACUGCGUUAAUCAUGAAACUGAUACCUAUUAAGAGUCAUACUUUUUACUUAUGCAUACUAAAAGACAUCAAAUUGUUCCGAUCCCCAAUUAUUUGAUCAGCAACUAUCAAGAACUAACCAAAUUUAUUUCUUCAUGACUUCCAAACACUAGAAAAUUUUGUUAUUUGAUAAUAAUAUCAUUAAUUAGAGUUUAUCAAACCGCAUUAUUUUCUUUCAUAAAAUUGAUGCCUAUUAGUGUCACACUUUAUUUGUAUUACCUAGCGGACAUCAACUUUUUUUUUUAAAAUUAAAAAGACCAUUUGAUUUUAACCCAUGUCCUUGGCCUUAGGGAAGCUGACUUCUUUUAUAGUCGAUAUCAGCUUGAACUUUGUUGUGUAAAUUAUUUCAAUCCCCGAUUAUGCAAUUUUUAAAUUAUAGCCUAACGGCGGUCUCAUCACCAUGUGUGUGAUUUUCUUUUGCCAAUAGGAUCUGCAGAGAGCUUGAUCUCACCCAAUAGCAAAAUAAACUUCCUAAUAAGUGAAGGCAUAGUAUAAAUAUUUCACCCCCAUAUUAUUUAUUAGCAGCUUGAUUAUUUUAUAUGCAUCUUUGAUUUUUAUUUUUUUUUCCCAUAAUUGCUACUAUGUUCGAACUGGUCAUGAAUUAUCUAUAAGAUUUUUCAUGUUGCUUUUAGGUGCAUUGGAUUUUUUUUAGUUUAGUGGAAGAGCAGAGGAAGGCAAAUUAAGAAAAAGGAUAAAGAUCUAUAAUUAGCUUCUCAUAACAUAUUGAUGGUAACAUUAUACAUAUGUAUAUCUAAAUAAUGGGUUGGAUCAGGAGCCCAUUAAUAAUCAUAGAUUAGCUCAUAUAGUUAAAAAAAAUGUACCAUAAAGCAAUUUCACAAGCACUUGUUAGCCUAUGUUGAGCUUUAUUAUCAAUAGUUCAAAGUUCAUCAGUGCACUGCAAGUUUACUAUUUGAAGUAAAUGUUAUGGUGCGUGCAUUCUUCAUAAGGCCAACUAUUGAAUUUAGCAUUGAAACUUACAAAAUGUAAUAGAAAGAGGUAGAUAACAGCCAUAAAACACUAAGAUUGGAAAUCAGGGCUACUAAAUACUAUUACAAGCCCUUAGAAAAGACAGUGAUCAUCUUAAAAUGUAUAUACUAAAAGUAAGAAAUAUUAAUCGCAAAGUUAUGUGUCAACAGAACUAUUAACUACUUGUCUCUAGUAGAAAGUAAAUAUUUUUAACUUCAGCUCUCUACUUUGUUUUAAGAGCUAGGCAAAAGAAGGAAAUUUCGAUGUCUAAAGUUUGCCACUUGGAAUAUUUCACUGUCUAAACAUUCACUCACCACUUAUUUCAUCAACGAAUUUUGUCUAAUUAUAUGUUGAUAAAGAUAUUAGAGUAAUAUAAUGUGUUUAAAGCUUAACUUAUAUUUUUUAUUAGUAGAGUGUAGAACUUUUAAGAAAUAAAUUAUUAAAUUACUAUAACUAACAUAUUAUUUUAAAACAUAUUAUUUUAAAGCUAUGUUAAGGAAAAGAAUGAAACAAAAAUAAAUAAAUAAAUAAGGGUAUUCUAAAACUUUGAUCUUUUUAAAAGUAGAUUUUGACAUAGAUAAAAUAAUUUUUAUAUUUUUUAAAUCACAUACUCUAGUUAAAAUCAAAUUUGUAUUUAUAAAGUUUGUAAAUUUUUUUUUUUUUUAGCACUGAUAUUUGAACACUAUCAAGAUAAGAAAUAGGGUACUGGUCAUGCUACAACAUUAUUAUAGCACGUAAAAAGACAAUACCAUUUAUUUUAUUGUACUAUCAUUGUUGAUAUAAUAGUAUUUUGUUAGUGGUCAAAUAUUAUUUUUUUAAGUAAAAAAAGUGAACAAUGUAAAUUAACUUUUAAUCUCUCCUAAAAUUCUAAUUCCUAGUUACGAAACAAAAUUGUUUAAAAAUCAUUAGGCUAACUGCAUGGGUUCUUAAAACCAUAGGUGAUAGAAGUUACUAACACAAGCAAAUUUGACGGUCCAUUUUAUAAAAUUUGUUAUUUACCAUUUUACCACCUAUAUAAGGAGUGCCGCAUCGACAUAUCAACUCAUUUGCAGAUUAUUUUAAUUUUGUAAAAUUCAUUUAACCUGCACUUGGUCGCCCCUAUUCUCUGAAUGGUUAUGGCGAUAUCAUCAUUAUCGUUACUUGUACCAACGCUAAACCCUUCUUAUUCCCUUUCUCGCCUGUCAUACCCUAACAUUAUAUCCCGUGUCCACACUAAAGACAAGUAGUCAAUUCAGGCCAUCAGAUUAUAGUGGACCCACAUCAAUCCAACUGCUCACAAUGACCGACAGCCUCUCCAUCUCCAUUUCAGGUUUCCUCUUCAACUGGCUUCUGCUUCCGCCGUAUUUGCUCCAUUUCUUGGAUUCGGAGUCCGUAUUUGGUCGGUCGGUCCCGCACAGCUCCCUCUCACUCCAAUUGUCACCCAACAAGACCAAUUGCUUAAUCAAGGCACAGAACAAGAAGAGGAUGGGAAAUUGAAACAAGAAUUUGAGAAUUGGAAAUCGAAAACGUCCGCAUUGACCGUGCCUUUGAGGGCAAUUACUUUUCUUGAGAAUUGAAGUUUGGUAAUGUAAUUUGUUCUCCAUCUGUGUUCCCUUUGUAGUCAUUUCAUUUAUUUGUUUGUUUGCUUUUAUUUGCAGGAGAAAUUGAUCCUCGAGAUAAAAGUAAAUUGUCUUUAAGCUCAUUUAGUUUUAUAUCAAACAAAAUCAAGACUGCCUUUUUCUUCAAUAGUUUUGAUGAUAAUAUCUUUAGAAGCAUCUCAUUGACAGGUAAUCGUGGUACCCCUUAAAGAGUCUAUAAACUCAAGGAUAUUAUCUUCUGCAAAUGGUUCAUUAAACUUCUUAGAUGUAGUUAAAUGUACACUGAGAACAACGAGAAGCUAUGCCACUGUAGCAUGUAGUGAUGGCACUUAAUGAGUGAGUUGCUAGGAUAUGAACUAGAAAAAUUAAACAUUGUCUCCCUGGGUAUGCUAGCUUGUAAGUCGGUUAAUAUUAGAGCUUGAGAUACUAUAACCAUGAGAAGCUAUUGACCGCCGAUUAAAAUAUCCAUUAAAAUGUCUAGGGAGUUAUGAAGGUGGAGGUGUCUCCCAAUUUCUAAGGCCAUAUAGUAGACAUCAUCCAGGAUCCUAUUAAAGUGCAGUUAGCCUCCUGCUUGAUGCUAAUGUCAAACAAUUAAUAAAUUUGGUCAAUGUAACUGAAACUUGCUAACUGACGUCAGAUUGCGACUUGAGCACCUUAAAAUGGGAUAGACGAUUAGUAGCACUGAAUUCUUCUUGCCUAAGAUUGAGCAAUUGUUCUAACUACAAUCUCCUAUUGUAGGUUGAUUAUUAUGUUCUAAUUAUGUCGAUUUUGACCCAAAAAAUUACAUAAUCUUGAUCUGCAUAAUGUCACUGAACAGUGUCAAUUUCGUUUACCAACUAACUUGAGUUUGAUAUAACAAACACACGGUGUGUCUCUCAUGUCUCACCAUGAUGGAGAAUUUUUCUAAUGCAUGAAGCAAGCUUCGAUAUGUGGGUUAGCUUGGAGAAGAUAUCUUAAAAUGAAGAAUAUGGGGAGUUAAUGGGAAGAAACAGUUCAGUAGUUUAUAAUUCUGUCGUCGAGCUGUAUCUCUAACAUGGUCAAAAUUUAUGUGAAUAAGGACAGGGAAUCUUCAUUCCUCUUUCCCUUUUUAUACCCACAUAUCUCUCAACCUUUAUAUGUUGCUCACUGGAGAUCUGCUUCUGAUAACUAAAAUAAAAAUUUCAUCCACUCAAAUAAAUUCUGACCAAGCUUUCACAAGAAAAAGUAACAUCUUUAGUGAAGUAAUUUACAAGUAAUUUAGAGUUCCUUAUCAUCUUCUUGUGAGUCUAUCAGUAUGAUCCAAAAACAUAAUAAAUCUUGUUAGAUCCUGUUUAUUGAUGUUUAAACGCUGCUCAUUGUGAAAUGUAGAAACAAUGACGUGAAGUUUCUUUGGUCAUCAAUUAGUGAGAUCUUGUUUGAAGUUGUUUUCUGAAAUGAACUGCCAAAUGAUAGUUUUUUUUUUUUUUUUUCUUUGGACGCAUUUGAUGGCUCUUUUCUCCUCAUUUUAAGCAUGUGCCUGCUUGGUAUGGGAAGGAAUAGGCUUCAGAGUUGUUAUAUAUGUUGACAUGCUCUGGUCAUUACACAAUAUGUUCAAAUUGGAAAUUAGAAUGAGAUAUUUGUCGAUGCUUUUUGAGAGAUCUGCAUUCUAUGCAGCAUAACAUGAUUAAUGAAAACGGGUUUAAGGACUGGAAAGAUCUGUGGCAGCCCAAGCUUGCAGGAAGGAUUUCAAUGGUUAAUUCUCCCAGAGAGGUUAUUGGUACAGUUUUGAAGUAUAUGGGAGCAUCAUACAAUUCAAACGGCAUUAAUUAGCAAGUUGCUGCUGGGAGGAUUGCUGUUCAGCAGAAUCUGGCAUUACUGGGAAACCAGGUACUCUUAAAGAAACGAUAGCUGGUCAAUGCAUAUUAUUGCCUGACGGCUGAUUUUGUUUGUAAAGUGUGCCUUUUCAUACAUAUGAAUGCAUAUGUUAGUGUUGUCUUCUCCUUUCCAUAAAUAUGAAUGCAUAUGUUGGUGUUCUUUUCUGAGAUGGAUGCAAUAAAGGCUUUUUCUUCUAAAUGACGAGUUUUCAUUUAAAAAUGUUAUAAAUCUGCCAUGCAUAGUAUUCUAGUAGAAUCAUCUAUAAAUUCAAGUUAUUGAAAUUGUCUAUUUGUCCAGUUUGAGUUAAGGACGCAUGUAAUAUGAAAAAUAGUUGUCGAAUAUUGUAGGUUAGCUAAUAUUUGAUCAAUCCUAUAGGGAGGGCUUUAAGAUGUCUAACAACAUGUAGAAUGCCCCUGCUUCCCCCACAAUUUUUAUCUUAUACAAUUUUUAUCUAUAAACAGUAUUUGCCAGACCUUAACUGUUCAGAUUCCCCUUCUCGACUAUCAUACCCUACGCCCCGUCUCCGUGUCUCCGAUAAACAGUGCUCAAUUAAGGCCAUCAGAUUAUCCCGGUCCCACAUUGAUCAACGGCUCACAAUGACCGACAACCUCUGUCUCCAUUACAAGCUCCCUCUUCAACUCGCUUCUGCUUCCAUCCUACUCUUUCUCAGAUUCGGAGCCCGUAUAUGCUCGGCUGGUCCCACGAAGCUCCCUCUCACUCCAGCUGUCAACCGACAAGACCAAUUGCCUUAUCAAGACAGAGAACAAAAAGAGGAUGAGAAAUUGAAACAAGAAUUUGAGAAUUGGAAAUCGAAAACGUACUCAUUGACCGUGCCUUUGAGAGUUGUUUCUCUUCAGAAUUCAGUGCCUCAAUCUUGGGUUAAGGAUUUUAUGCGAAGUCAAGGAAAGUGAUUGAAGUUUCAGAUGAAUUUGUGUGCUAGCAUUGGUGGGAUCUUUAACAAUUUAUCUGCCCUUUAACAAAGUCAAGGCUAAUUCAGCUUCUUAUAUGGCUGCUGAUUUGGUUAGUGUUGGUGAUUCAUGGCUUAGUUUUGCCAUUAAAGAGAGAUUGAUUGAGCCAAUGGCUGGAGCUGAAGACCAAGAUUGGUUCAAAUGCUUAAGUCACAAAUGGAAGGUAACAUCUUUAUCUUUGGCCCGAUAAUUUUUAUUGUCUUACAUUGAAAUUUGGUAAUGUAAUUUGUUCUCUAUCUGUAUUACCCUUUUUAGUCAUUUUAUUUAUUUGUUUAUUUGCUUUUAUUUGCACUAACGAAGUCUCAGGUAUAUCUAUGCAGAAUGAUGCAGGAGAAAUUGAUCCUCGAUGUGAAAUAUGGGCGGCACCAUACAGGUGGGGCACAAUGGUGAUAGCCUACAAGAAAAGUAAAUUUCGAAAGCAUAAUUUGGCUCCGAUUGAGGUAAUAAUUGUCUUUAAACUCAUUUAGUUUUAUAUCAAACAAAAUCAAGACUGCCUUUCUCUUCAAUAUUUUUGAUGAUAAUAUCUUUAGAAGCAUCUUAUUGAUGGGUAAUAAUUGUAUCCCUGAAACAGUCUAUAAACUCAAUGAUAUUAUCUUCUACAAAUGGCUCAUUAAACUUUGUCGUUGUAGUCAAAUGUACACUCAGAGCAAUGACAAGCUAUGCCACUGUAGCAUGUAGUGAUGGCACUUAAUAAGUGAGUUGCUAGGAUGUGAACUAGAAAAAUUAAAUAUUGUCUCCCUGGGCAUGCUAGCUCAUAAGUCAGGGUUAAUAUUAGAACUCAAGAUACUAUAACCAUGAGAAGCUAUUGACUGCCAAUUAAAAUAUCCUUUAAAAUGUCUAGGAAGUUAUGAAGGUGGAAGUAUCUUCCGAUUUCUGAGGCCACAUGGUAGAUAUCAUCCAGGAUCCUAGUACAGUGCAGUUAACCUCCUGCUUGAUGCAAUUAAUAAAUUUGGUCAAUGCCACUGAAACAUGCUAACUGACGUCGCAAUGCGACAUGAGCACUUCAAAAUGGGACAGACGGUCGGUAGCACUAAAUUUUUCUUGCCUAAGAUUGAGCAAUUGGUCUAACUACUAACCCCUUUUGUAGUUGAUCAUUAUUUUUUCAAUUAUUUUCAGUUUGACCCAAAACGUUACAGAAUCUUGAUCUGAAUAUUGUCACUGAACAUUGUCACUGAACAUUGUCAAUGUCGUUUAGCGUAGCCAACUAACUUGAGUUUGGUAAAACAAACACACAGUGUGUCUCAUGUCUCACAAUUCAAAUUAUCAUUUGUAAUGAUGGAGAAUUUUUCCAAUGUAUGAAGUAUGCUUUGAUACGUGGGUUACCUUGGGGAAGGUAUCUCAAAAUAAAGAAUAUGGGGAGAAAACAGUUCAGUAGUUUAUUAUUAUGUAGUCAAGUUUUGUCUCAAAAAUGGUCCAAAUUUAAAUGAAUAAGGACCGGGGAUCUUCAUUCUUUUUUCCCUUUUUUAUACCUAGAUAUCUCUCAACCUUUAUAUAAUCCCCACUGGAUAUCUGCUUCUAAUAAUUAAAAUAAAAAUUUCACCCACACAAAUAAAUACUGACCAAGCUCUAACAAUAAAAAGUAACUUCUUUAGUCAAGUGAUUUACAGUUCCUCAUCACCUUAGUGAGACUAUCAGUGUGUUCCAAAAACAUAAUAAAAUUGGUUUGUUCCUGUUUAUUGAUGUUUAAAUGUUGUUCAUUGUGACAUGUAGAAAUGAUGAGGCGAAGUUUAUUUGGUCAUCAAUUUGUAAGAUCUUGUUUGAAGUUGCUUUCUGAAAUGAACUGCCAAAUGGUAGUUUCUUUGGGGCAUUUGAUGGCUCUUUUUUCCUCAUUUUAAACAUGUGCCUGCUUGGAACAGGAAGGAUUAGGCUGCAGAGUUGUUAUAUAUUUUGACAUGCUCUAGUCAUUGCACAAUUUGUUCACACUGGAAACUAGAAUGAGAAAUUUGUUGCAUUCUAUGCACAAUAACAUGAUUAAUGAAAAUGGAUUGUAGGACUGGAAAGAUCUGUGGCAGCCUGAGCUCGCAGGACGAAUUUCAAUGGUUAAUUCUCCCUGAGAGGUUAUUGGUUUAGUUUUGAAGUAUAUGGGAGCAUCAUACAAUUCAAACGAUAUUGAUUCGCAAGUUGCUGGUGGGAAGAUUGCUGCUCAGCAGAAUCUGGCAUUACUGGCAAACCAGGUACUCUCAAAGAAAUGAUAUCUGGUCAUUGCAUGUUAUUACCUGACAACUGAUUUUGUUUGUAAAAGUCUGCUUCUUCAUACAUAUGAAUGCAUAUGUUAGUGUUUUCUUCUCCUUUUCAUACAUAUGAAUGCAUAUGUUGCUUCUUUUCCUUUCCAUACAUAUUAAUACAUAUGUUGGUGUUCUCUCCUGAGAUGGAUGCAAUAAAGGUUUUUCUGAAGAAAUGGCAAGGGAUGUGAGAUUCUGUCUCAUAAAAUUAACAAAAACCCAAAACAAUGAAAACCCAUAAUAAUGUGGUGUGGGUAAAUUGACGCCAUUUGGUUCGUUUCCUUGAUGUGAAUACGCGGGCAAUAGAGACUAACAAAAUGAAGUGACAACAAGAAGUCAGUGUCCUUUGAUGGAUGCAUUUUUAGGCAGAAAUAGGUUUGUAAUUGACCAAAUUUGUCUGGCAUGCCAAUUUCAAAAAAAUUAAAUUAUGUGGUUAUUAGCUGUAAUGAAGGGGGAUUGUAGGUCCAAUCAGGUGGAUCCAUGAAAGUUCAACAAAGUUCUGGUAUGGCGUAGAAAUUGGUUUGUGCAACUCAAGAGUCUUUCUGGUGAACGAUGAUGGGUUUUGAUUUAUAAAUGUUAUAAAUCUACUGUGCAUAGUAUUCUAGUAGAAUCAUCUAUAAGUUCUAGUUAUUGAAAUUGUCUACCUUGUUCAGUUUGAGUUAAGGGCACAUGUAAUAUGAAAAAUAGUUGUUGCAUCUUUUAGGUUACCUAACAUUUGAUCAAUCCUAUUAUGAGGGCUUCAAGAUGUCUAACAAUAUGUGGAAUGCCCAUGCUCCUCCCCAUUGUUUAUCUUAUAUAAUAAUUUGUUUUAGAUGCUAAUAUCUUUGUCGAUACCGGUAACAAUAUUACAAUAUCUGCGUUUAUUGGGUUUUACAUAGGUUCGACUGUUUGACAGUACACACUCUCUGAAGGCAUUUGGAAAUGGAGAUGUAUGGAUUGCUGUUGGGUGGAGUAGUGAUGUUCUUCCUGCUGUCAAACGUUUGUCUAAUGUUGCAGUUGUUGUUCCCAAGUCUGGUGCUAGCUUAUGGGCUGAUCUUUGGGUAUACCCAUGCCUGCCAUUCUACUUCAAUAUUCACAUUGUUAUCUCCUUCAUAUUAGUGAUCAGUAAACAUGAUAAUGUGACUAAUAAGUUCGUAUUCUCUUUAUAGGCAAUCCCUGCUGACUCAAGACUUGAAACAAAACAAAUUGGAGGGUGAGUCAGAGGUGCAUUUCCAUUAAUCCAUCAAUGGAUAGAAUUCUGCUUGCAAACAGCGAGAGCAUUGCCUUUCAAGCAAGAGGUUAUCCCGAGCGCAUCUCCCUCUGCCCUUGAGAGUACUCUGGUUAAGUUGCCUGAAGAACUUUUGAAGGGUAAACCAAGUCUGGAUACUAACUUAAUUGCUGGAGUACCCCUGACGGAAAUUCUGGCCAGAUGUGAGUUUUUGGAGCCAUUAUCUGAAGCUACAUUGUCGGAUUAUGAGUGGCUGGUUGCUAAUCUGCAAAAAUCCACUCCUGUACUGAUCAACAAGAUGCAACAUUACAUGUCAUCAUUGAUCUUUAGCUAAAGGUACAUUGAAAAGUUAAUGGCACUGCAUACCAGUCAUUAUAAUUGGGUCAGGGCAAUUGGGUCAGGGCAAUUAGGUCAGAGCAUAACUUCAUUAGGAAAAGAGGCUUCAGCUACGUUAAAUAUUACAGGAUGUACUGAGAUGGCUGAAGUUGGUGAGGUUUUACGAGAAACGAAAGAUAGUGUUUGUUUGAACAAAGUUGUUGCCAAUCUUGCAGAGUUCGAGAAGAAAGAUCACGAAGCGAAUGCCACCGAUUUCUUCAUCAUUGUAGCCUCCAUAGUUGAAGUUUCCUCAUUUGAAGCUGUUUAUGCAUAUGCUUUUUCCCUUCUCAAGUACAGGAAAUUGAAGAAUUAACCAGAUGUGAUAUGCUGAAAGAGGGAAGUUUUCUUCCUUGAAUGUGACCUUUGUGAUUUGUCUUGAAGGGAUAGGGUGAUCACUGGCAAGAACCCUAUCAAGGUAGAUUUUAUGAUGUUAACAUAUUAUUAAGCAUUUUGUUACAUCAGCAAUGAUGCUUUCAUAGCAUGAAAGUGUUUAAAUUUAACUGAAUGAUCUUGAUUGAUCAAUUAUGAGUUUUAAUCGAGUAAAAACUAAAUACAAUAAUCGUUAACAAAUAUUGAAAUUGGGUAAAUAAGAUCUUGAUAGUGAAGAAUUUGAAAUCACACCCACACAGGAAAUCACCCUUCGCGUGGGGAUGGAGAUGUUUACUGCAGCGAUAUUGAAUAUGUCCACUGCUGGACUAAUUCUGAUUACCUAAUUGACUCAGGAUCGGCUGGCAAUAAUAACAGUUUAUUAACAAUGCACAGUCCGAGUACUUUUCCAGGAUCAGAUACGACGUGGUCUAAUGUUGAUAAUAAUAGAUUAUCAAAUGACAAAUCGUUGUUCUACUAUUGCAAGCCCCCAGAUUUAAGAAUCUUUUUCAGAAAUUAAAUACAUUCUGAGAGAUGCUGGUCUACUAUUGCAAGCCCCCAGAUUUAAGAAUCUUUUGACGGUAAUUUAUCACCUGUAACUGUGCCGGAAGAUUCAACUAGCACUGAAAAAGAUGAUAAAUUAAUUGAUAUGGAGAGUUUUCAUAUCACUUUUAAAUCAUCUUAUGUAAUUGUGAUGUUAGGAAGCAUUAGUGAUCUAUAUGUGAAUUAUUAUUGGCGCCAUUGGUGGUUUUAUCUUGUUAAAAUAUGGAUGAAUUCCAGUUACUAUUUUGUUGCAGACAAUCUUCUUCAAUUAACAUAUGGUUUAAAAUCAUUAUGUAAAUCAAUCUAUUAAUUUUCAAGAUAUUUAACUGAGUUAAAACUAAGUGCACUCAAUAAAUCUCUUUUCCUUUAAAAAACUGUUACGCUUUGAUUUUAGUGCUUAAUAUUUAUUGAACUCCGAUACAGGGAAUUUGAAAUCAAACUCGUAACUACAUAUUAUCUAAUUGCAAGUUUCUAUCCAUAGCUGCUGAUUUGUAGUGAUUAUCUAAUUGACUGAGGUGACGACAAUUUUUUUUUUUUAAAUUUUCAAUAGCACAAUGUGGAAUUCAAUAAUUAAAUUCUCCUUUUUAAUUUGUUUCCAGUUAAAUUAUUAAUUACUUAAACUCUGUUUUAAGUCUUUAAGUUUAUGUGUUUAUGCAGAAUUGGAUUCUUGAGCGUGUUGGACACGACCAACAAUGAAAUUGACAGUAAAAAAAACAAUACAACGUGUGGACUCCGGUAGAUGCCAUACAAGUCUACAACUUUACAAAUAAUAAUUGAGUAAGCAACUUUGAUUCUCGGGGCCCUUCAAUGAAUUUCUAGCCCCGUUGACUCCGCCAACUAAAGUUUGUAAAAUAAAAAAAUACAUAGAAUUCCACUAAAUGCAAAACGCGUGGAAUUUAAUUUUCGGCCAUGUGGACCAAAACAUAAUUUAAUGAAAAAGGAAAAAAAUGAUAAGAUUUCUAAAAUAUGUGAAAGAUGAUCCAUAUUUUACUGAAACGACUUAUUAAAUUUUUCAAAGAUUUAGAAUAUUUAGUCAUAAAUUACGUGCAUGUUAAUUUUUCCGCCAUUGACUAUCAUAUUCUAAACUUAAUAGUACAUUUCUUGUUGAAGGGUACUUAAUCUCUCUUCUCCUCUUAUAAAAAUUAUAUUGAUGGAUUUCUUGUUAUAGUUAAUAGUCUUUAAGAACGGAUAACUUUAUUGUUUUCGUGACCAAAUUAUGUCCGCCUAAGGUUGUGACUAUUAAUAAAAUUAAUAUUUAAUGUUUAUGUUAAAAGAUAUAAGAUUUUAUGCGUUCAUUAAUUGUUAUUAGCUAAAGGAUGAAUUAUUUUUUCAACCCAAUCAGUUGAUGCAUCUGCAAGAGUUUUUUUCUUUUAUUGACCAUAAUUAUGUUCCGGGUACAAUAAAUUGUCUUUGGUGCUUGGAAAAUAUGACUUCUUACUUCAAGUUUGAUAUGUCUCUCUCCAUAAACUUACUGGAAAUAUAUCCUCAUCUACUGUCAUUUAUCUAAUAUCAAUUGAAGAUCUCACUUUUUCAAACUAUCACUUCCAAGUCUCAUUGUCACUUGGCCAUUCUUGGACCAUUCAAAACCAAUCAAGUGUUGAAAUAAUCAAAUAUAUGCAAAAUUAGAGUCACGAUUUUUGGUCCCCCAAAUUCUAAUUAUAUAACUUCUAUAUAUUUCAUUGCCAGGUCACGAACUUGUUGGCACAUUUUCCAAAUUCCUCUUCCAUCAGCUCUCACACGUUAACUUAAGUGAAAAGUUUCCAAGUUGAUUGCUAGAAAGCAACGCAAAAUCAGACACACUUGAUCUGUCCCCUAAUUCUCUUUUCUACGUUGAAAAAGAAAAAAAAAAAUAAAAUACAUACAUACAUAUAUAUAUAUAUAUAUAUAUAUAUAUAUAUAUAUAUAUAUAUAUAUAUCUAUGUAAAAAUAAAUAAUAAACUGAGUAAAAGUACAUUUGUUUAAUUAACAUCUGAUCGGGGCAUUUUUGGUGUAAGCCACAACUAAAAUCAAACAGCCCCUUAGCAUACUUCUUCCAUUUUAUCGGCUACUUUUGUGGAUCUUAUAGGGUGGGCAUGUGGACAGAAUUUAAAAGUUUUAAUAGGCUCAAAGAAGAAGAUGUGUUAAAUCUAAAGUUGUUGCACCUUCUGAUUAAAUAAAGUUGUACAAUUUCAUCAACUUGAAAGAAUUGACAUUAAUGAACUGGUCGCCUCUCCAUGUAUGAAGCCUUCUUAAAAGUUAAUUUUUAUUUCAGAAAAAAAAAGUUUAAGUUACAUAUAUUACAGUAAGAUUUUUUGAGACCAAUUCCCUUCUUGAAAUAAUAAUAGAAAAGUAUUAAUUUAAAAAUAAAAUGAAUAUGUAUUGAUUAUAUCCUGAUUUUCAUCGAUUAUAGUUAGAGUUUCACCAAAUCAAUUCCCUUAUUCAAAUAAUACAGAAAAAAUAGUAAUUUAAUAGUAAAAUAAACAGGUGUUGAUUAUAUAUCCUAAGUUUCAUCGAUUAUGUGAUCAAAGUGGCAUUGUUGAUUUAUUUUUUGUUCAAUGUUAAUUUUUAGGUUAUAUAAAUUUCAAGGAUUUAAAAUCUUUGGCCAUGAAUUACACGCUUGUUAAUUUUCCUGCCAUUGACUGUCAUAUUCUAGACUUAAUGAUACCUUUCUUGAUCAAGGGUAAUUACUCUCUCUUCUCCUCUUAUAAAUUCCUCUUCCAUUAACAUCACUAGGAGUAUGUUGAUCUCUCAGACGUUAACUUGAGUGGAGAGUUUCCAAAUUGAUUGUUACAAAACAACACAAAAACUAGACACACUUGAUCUGUCUAAUAAUUCUCUUUCGGUAAAAUUAAAUAAUUUUAGGGGAAUAUUCGGCCAACCUCUAUAAUUUCAUAGUGAUCAUUAAUUAAUUAAUCGAUACAAAUAUCUAAAGUGAUUAAAUGUGACUUGAAAUUUGAUCUCUAUCGAUUGGUUUACAAAUGGACGUACUUGUGCCUUUGUGGCGAUAAUCGAACAAGUACCCAUGAUUAUUAUUUUUUCCAAAAACUUUUUUACAACAAAUUCAUCUCGUCAAAAAUUCUAUGUUGCUAACUAACAAUAAUUGAGCACUUGGCCGCAUUGACUCCACGUCUCCACCUCUUUCUAAAUUCUAAGUAAAAACAUGGAAAUGUAAUUUCCACAAAAUGCCAAAUGUGUGGAAUUUAAUUUUUUGCCUUGUGGAUCAAAAUACAAAUGAAAGAAACAGAAGAAAAAAAAGGCCCAAAGACUUCUAAAAGAUGAAGAAGUCUUUGUGCCUUUUUAUAAUGGUGAAUUUUUUUAAAGAAAAAAAAUAACAACAUUUUUAUGGUUUGUUUUGAUAAUCAUAUUUACAUAUACUCUCUAAUUUCAAAAUGGACACAUAAAUCUUUUUUUUUUACAAAAUAUAUAUUAUUCAUAUUUUUUUUAUUUUUUUAUUAUCAUAUUUUUAUUUAUUAUAAAUGUUUAGAGCAAAUUUUUAGGUUGAAAUAUAAUAAAAAGGUAUAAUUGUUCUCUUAUUAAACACACAUACUUUUAUUAGUUUCUAUCCAUUUGUCAUCUCAAUCUCUCUCAAUUAUUCUUUAUUGCUAGCUCAAAACGCGUUGCUGUUGCAAAUUAUAGCAAAAUGACAAAUAUGGAAAAAAAGGGAAGAAAAUUAAUGCAUGAAAGACUUGGAGAAAACAACAAAAUAAGCCAACUAUGAGCUAGUUGGGUGUAUAAAUUGUUAGAUGUGUUAUAUACAAAUAGCGUAGAGCCCUCUAGUUGGUUCCAGAGACAGAAAGAGCGUGUGUGUUUUUUCACAGUUAGAGAUAUAGUUAGAAUGGGUGGUUCAAAAUCAAAAAUGAUGAUAAUGUUUAUUAUGUUAUUAAUAAUAUUUAAAAGUGGGUGGAGUGAGGGAUGUUUGGAUCACGAGAGAUUUGCUUUUUUGAGACUCAAACAUUUCUUCAAUGAUCCUCUUAAUUCUCUUUACGACUGGGUAGAUGGUGAGGGAGCUACUGAUUGUUGUCAGUGGGAAAGGGUUGAGUGCAGCAACACCACAGGCCGAGUGAUAGCACUGGACCUUUCUUAUAUAUAUUCGGAGAGUACAGCUGGUAUCUGAAUGCUUCUUUAUUUACUCCCUUCCAACAACUUGAGUCACUUGAUUUAACUCAAAACAAAAUAGCCGGAUGUGUUGAGAAUGAAGGUACUUUGUUUAAUUUAAUUAAUUUACUUUCUCCCCCCUAAUUUAAGUUGAAUAUCAAGACCGAGCAAUUAUAUGCAUAUUCAUUUAGUCGACAAUUUUGACUUUUUUUUAAAUGAUUAAUUUUGAAAUUACACCAGUAUCUAUGAUCUUUUUUAUUUUAUUUUAUUUGCAGGUAUAGAGAGGCUAUCAAGAUUGAACAACUUGAAGAUGCUUAAUUUAAGUCGAAACUCAUUCAAUAAUAACAUUUUAUCAUCUCUAACUCAUCUUUCAUCAUUAAGAUCAUUAAAUUUAUUGUGGAAUAGAUUGGAAGGAAGUAUUGACGUUAAAGGUACAUAAUUAAAACUUCAAGCUCUUUCAUUAACUUGCUAAAAUAAGAUUCAAGGCUUUGAAUUCAAUUUUUUUUAUGAUUAAUAUUAAAAAAAACAGUUUUAAGCAAUUUAUAAAUACAAGUUUUAAUGUUUCUUGUAAUUUCAUCUUGUACUUUCAUAUGUCUUGAAUUUAAGAUUAAAAAAAAAAACUCUAAUAGCGAACCAAACACCUCCACAACUUAUUAUUAUUAUUUUAAUUUGUGGUGAGGUUUGAAACAUUCAACUCAAUUUGUACUUAUUACAGAAUUUGAUUCUUUGAGAGAUUUAGAGGAGCUAGACAUUGGCGGGAACAAGAUUGACAAAUUUGUGGUCUCAAAAGGUACUACAAAUACCAUAAAAAAAUAUGCUAACUUUUACAAAUUAGUUAGAUUCUUUGCCAUUUGGUUUAUUAUUUUACAGGUUUGAGUAAGUUGAAGUCUCUUGGUUUAAGUGGUAUCAAACUCAAUCGUAGCAUCUUAUCUUCUCUUUCUUCGUUAAGAGAAUUAGAUAUAAGUCGUACGGGAUUCAAAGGAACAUUUGAUGUUCGAGGUAAGCCUAAACCUUGCUUUCUCAUUUUAUAUAUGCCAACUAGAUUUGUGUAUCAUCGACAUAAUUUAAUAUUUAAUUUGAUAAGUCUGAAUGAAUUACAUGCUAAUUUAAACACACUUUUAUUUACUUUGUCAAUUAAUUAAUUAAUUAAUUACUAUUUGGCUUGGUUUGGACGAAAUUCUCAUGAUGUUUUUAAUUUCUUUAAAUUAAUUAAUUAAUUAACUCUGUUUUUAAGUCUUAAGUCUGGGCAUGUUUGCAGAAUUGAUUCCUUCAAUAACUUAGAAGUGUUGGACAUGAGUUGGAACGAAAUCGACAAUCUUGUGGUUCCUCACGGUAAACAAUUAAAAUGUUAUUCAAUUACAUUAUUUUAAUUCAUUUGAUUAGGGAAGGCCAAAAAGGUAAAAAAAAUAAUAAUAAAGAAACAGAGAAUUUGUAUUAUUUAAAAAACAGAAUGUAAUAAAGAUUUUGAUUCUGGUUCUUUAAUCUUUAAAGUGAUUGAAAACAAUGUUGCUCUUUUCCCAAAGCAUCAAAUACGAAUUGAAUGCCAAUUAACUUAAUCAUUCAUUUCGUUUAGCUCUAAAUUUAGACAAUGAAUUUUUAUAUUAUUUCAAAAACAUGACGUAAUAGAAUUUUUUUAAAAACAGAUUCUAAUAAAGAUUUGAUUCCAAUUCUUUAAUCUUUACAGUGAUUGAAAAACGAUACUACUCUUUUCCCAAAGCAUAAAUACGAAUUGACUCCCAAUCAAAUUAAUCAUUUAUUUCGUUCAUCUCUGAAUUUAAAUAAUGAAUUUUGAUCUUCAAUCGUAUUAUAAUUACUAUUAAAGAACAGGUUACAGAGGUUUGAGGAAGUUGAAUCAUCUUGAUCUAUCGGGAGUUGGAAUUAGAGAUGGAAGCAAGUUGUUACAGUCAAUGGGAUCAUUCCCAUCCCUCAACACUCUUUACCUUUCGUGGAAUAAUUUUAUCGAUACAGCGACCGCUACUCAAGGUAAGUAAAAGGUACAAAUGUGGCCAAAUUUAUAAAUAAAUUGUUAAUUAAUUAAUUUUUCCGUAUUAUUAAUUAAGCUAAAUUUGUUGCUCCUUCCUUCUAAAUCUAAACAGAGUUGCACAAUUUCACCAACUUGGAAUAUUUGACAUUGGACUUUUCCUCUCUCCAUAUAAGCCUUCUCCCAAAGCAUUGCAUCAUUAUUCCCUUCGUUAAAAAAUCUGUCGAUAUCUCAUUGUGAAGUCAAUGGUGUCCUACGCGGUCAAGGUAAAAGAAAAUCGUUGAUUGUGAACUCACUCAAUGGUGUCCUACGUGUUCAACAUUUUUAUUUAUUUAUUGUUUAAUGUUUCUGCUAGGUUUUCCUCAUUUCAAGAGUUUGGAACAUUUGGAUAUGGAUUACACGCGCAUUGCACUCAACACCGGCUUUCUUCAAAUCAUCGGUGAAUCGAUGCCUUCUCUUAAGUACUUAUCACUGUCAAGGUUAAUCUAUAAAUCGAUGCCUUCUCUUGAUCAAGGUUAAUCAGAUGCUCCCACUCUCCCCUCUUAAUCUAUAAUAUUAAUUUUCAAUUCAAUAUUUAAUUACACAAACGAAUCACUUAUUAUAAAAGAAUAAUACGCAUUCAUUAAUUUUUAUAUUGUAUUAAUAAUUGAUGAAUUUAAUAACUUUUCAGGUCUCUGUUCGUUGGUGCAUCUGCAAGUGUUGAACAUUGCAGGCAAUGAUUUAAGAGGUAGCUUGCCUUGGUGCUUGGCAAAUAUGACAUCCCUCCGAAUAUUAGAUGUUUCUUCCAAUCAACUUACUGGAAGCAUCUCCUCAUCUCCCCUCGUUCAUUUGACAUCCAUUGAAGAGCUGAUGCUUUCAGACAAUCACUUCCAGAUCCCAAUUUCACUUGAACCAUUUUUCAAUCACUCACGACUCAAGAUUUUCCAUGCUUACAACAACGAAAUAAAUGCAGAAAUAACUGAGUCACAUUCUUUGACUGCCCAAACUUCCAAUUAAAAUAUCUCUCAUUGUCUUCCGGUUACGGAGAUGGUGUCACAUUCCCCAAAUUCCUUUACCAUCAACAUGAUCUGGAGACUGUUGACCUCUCACAUAUAAACAUGAGGGAGAAUUUCCAAAUUGGUUGUUGGAAAACAACACAAACUUAGAAAUAUUUUUUGGUUAAUGAUUCUCUUGCAGGACCUUUCCGGUUGCCAAUUCAUUCACACAAGCGGUUAAGACUGUUGGAUAUAUCCAACAACAACAUCAGAGGCCACAUUCCAGAAAUUGGAGAUGUUUUACCGGGUUUAUUUUCUUUAAACAUUUUCAUGAAUGCUUUAGACGGUUGCAUUCCCUCUUCAUUUGGUAAUAUGAAAUUCCUCCAAUUUNNNNNUUAAUUAAUUAANNNNNGAUGGGAAAUUGAAACAAGAAUUUGAGAAUUGGAAAUCGAAAACGUCCGCAUUGACCGUGCCUUUGAGGGCAAUUACUUUUCUUGAGAAUUGAAGUUUGGUAAUGUAAUUUGUUCUCCAUCUGUGUUCCCUUUGUAGUCAUUUCAUUUAUUUGUUUGUUUGCUUUUAUUUGCAGGAGAAAUUGAUCCUCGAGAUAAAAGUAAAUUGUCUUUAAGCUCAUUUAGUUUUAUAUCAAACAAAAUCAAGACUGCCUUUUUCUUCAAUAGUUUUGAUGAUUAUCUUUAGAAGCAUCUCAUUGACAGGUAAUCGUGGUACCCCUUAAAGAGUCUAUAAACUCAAGGAUAUUAUCUUCUGCAAAUGGUUCAUUAAACUUCUUAGAUGUAGUUAAAUGUACACUGAGAACAACGAGAAGCUAUGCCACUGUAGCAAUGUAUGAUGGCACUUAAUGAGUGAGUUGCUAGGAUAUGAACUAGAAAAAUUAAACAUUGUCUCCCUGGGUAUGCUAGCUUGUAAGUCGGUUAAUAUUAGAGCUUGAGAUACUAUAACCAUGAGAAGCUAUUGACCGCCGAUUAAAAUAUCCAUUAAAAUGUCUAGGGAGUUAUGAAGGUGGAGGUGUCUCCCAAUUUCUAAGGCCAUAUAGUAGACAUCAUCCAGGAUCCUAUUUAAAGUGCAGUUAGCCUCCUGCUUGAUGCUAAUGUCAAACAAUUAAUAAAUUUGGUCAAUGUAACUGAAACUUGCUAACUGACGUCAGAUUGCGACUUGAGCACCUUAAAAUGGGAUAGACGAUUAGUAGCACUGAAUUCUUCUUGCCUAAGAUUGAGCAAUUGUUCUAACUACAAUCUCCUAUUGUAGGUUGAUUAUUAUGUUCUAAUUAUGUCGAUUUUGACCCAAAAAAAUUACAUAAUCUUGAUCUGCAUAAUGUCACUGAACAGUGUCAAUUUCGUUUACCAACUAACUUGAGUUUGAUAUAACAAACACACGGUGUGUCUCUCAUGUCUCACCAUGAUGGAAUUUUUCUAAUGCAUGAAGCAAGCUUCGAUAUGUGGGUUAGCUUGGAGAAGAUAUCUUAAAAUGAAGAAUAUGGGAGUUAAUGGGAAGAAACAGUUCAGUAGUUUAUAAUUCUGUCGUCGAGCUGUAUCUCUAACAUGGUCAAAAUUUAUGUGAAUAAGGACAGGGAAUCUUCAUUCCUCUUUCCCUUUUUAUACCCACAUAUCUCUCAACCUUUAUAUGUUGCUCACUGGAGAUCUGCUUCUGAUAACUAAAAUAAAAAUUUCAUCCACUCAAAUAAAUUCUGACCAAGCUUUCACAAGAAAAAGUAACAUCUUUAGUGAAGUAAUUUACAAGUAAUUUAGAGUUCCUUAUCAUCUUCUUGUGAGUCUAUCAGUAUGAUCCAAAAACAUAAUAAAUCUUGUUAGAUCCUGUUUAUUGAUGUUUAAACGCUGCUCAUUGUGAAAUGUAGAAACAAUGACGUGAAGUUUCUUUGGUCAUCAAUUAGUGAGAUCUUGUUUGAAGUUGUUUUCUGAAAUGAACUGCCAAAUGAUAGUUUUUUUUUUUUUUUCUUUGGACGCAUUUGAUGGCUCUUUCUCCUCAUUUAAGCAAUGUGCCUGCUUGGUAUGGGAAGGAAUAGGCUUCAGAGUUGUUAUAUAUGUUGACAUGCUCUGGUCAUUACACAAUAUGUUCAAAUUGGAAAUUAGAAUGAGAUAUUUGUCGAUGCUUUUUGAGAGAUCUGCAUUCUAUGCAGCAUAACAUGAUUAAUGAAAAUGGGUUUAAGGACUGGAAAGAUCUGUGGCAGCCCAAGCUUGCAGGAAGGAUUUCAAUGGUUAAUUCUCCCAGAGAGGUUAUUGGUACAGUUUUGAAGUAUAUGGGAGCAUCAUACAAUUCAAACGCAUUAAUUAGCAAGUUGCUGCUGGGAGGAUUGCUGUUCAGCAGAAUCUGGCAUUACUGGGAAACCAGGUACUCUUAAAGAAACGAUAGCUGGUCAAUGCAUAUUAUUUGCCUGACGGCUGAUUUUGUUUGUAAAGUGUGCCUUUUCAUACAUAUGAAUGCAUAUGUUAGUGUUGUCUUCUUCUUUCCAUAAAUAUGAAUGCAUAUGUUGGUGUUCUUUUCUGAGAUGGAUGCAAUAAAGGCUUUUUCUUCUAAAUGACGAGUUUUCAUUUAAAAAUGUUAUAAAUCUGCCAUGCAUAGUAUUCUAGUAGAAUCAUCUAUAAAUUCAAGUUAUUGAAAUUGUCUAUUUGUCCAGUUUGAGUUAAGGACGCAUGUAAUAUGAAAAAUAGUUGUCGAAUAUUGUAGGUUAGCUAAUAUUUGAUCAAUCCUAUAGGGAGGGCUUUAAGAUGUCUAACAACAUGUAGAAUGCCCCUGCUUCCCCCACAAUUUUUAUCUUAUACAAUUUUUAUCUAUAAACAGUAUUUGCCAGACCUUAACUGUUCAGAUUCCCCUUCUCGACUAUCAUACCCUACGCCCCGUCUCCGUGUCUCCGAUAAACAGUGCUCAAUUAAGGCCAUCAGAUUAUCCCGGUCCCACAUUGAUCAACGGCUCACAAUGACCGACAACCUCUGUCUCCAUUACAAGCUCCCUCUUCAACUCGCUUCUGCUUCCAUCCUACUCUUUCUCAGAUUCGGAGCCCGUAUAUGCUCGGCUGGUCCCACGAAGCUCCCUCUCACUCCAGCUGUCAACCGACAAGACCAAUUGCCUUAUCAAGACAGAGAAAAAAAGAGGAUGAGAAAUUGAAACAAGAAUUUGAGAAUUGGAAAUCGAAAACGUACUCAUUGACCGUGCCUUUGAGAGUUGUUUCUCUUCAGAAUUCAGUGCCUCAAUCUUGGGUUAAGGAUUUUAUGCGAAGUCAAGGAAAGUGAUUGAAGUUUCAGAUGAAUUUGUGUGCUAGCAUUGGUGGGAUCUUUAACAAUUUAUCUGCCCUUUAACAAAGUCAAGGCUAAUUCAGCUUCUUAUAUGGCUGCUGAUUUGGUUAGUGUUGGUGAUUCAUGGCUUAGUUUUGCCAUUAAAGAGAGAUUGAUUGAGCCAAUGGCUGGAGCUGAAGACCAAGAUUGGUUCAAAUGCUUAAGUCACAAAUGGAAGGUAACAUCUUUAUCUUUGGCCCGAUAAUUUUUAUUGUCUUACAUUGAAAUUUGGUAAUGUAAUUUGUUCUCUAUCUGUAUUACCCUUUUUAGUCGUUUUAUUUAUUUGUUUAUUUGCUUUUAUUUGCACUAACGAAGUCUCAGGUAUAUCUAUGCAGAAUGAUGCAGGAGAAAUUGAUCCUCGAUGUGAAAUAUGGGCGGCACCAUACAGGUGGGGCACAAUGGUGAUAGCCUACAAGAAAAGUAAAUUUCGAAAGCAUAAUUUGGCUCCGAUUGAGGUAAUAAUUGUCUUUAAACUCAUUUAGUUUUAUAUCAAACAAAAUCAAGACUGCCUUUCUCUUCAAUAUUUUUGAUGAUAAUAUCUUUAGAAGCAUCUUAUUGAUGGGUAAUAAUUGUAUCCCUGAAACAGUCUAUAAACUCAAUGAUAUUAUCUUCUACAAAUGGCUCAUUAAACUUUGUCGUUGUAGUCAAAUGUACACUCAGAGCAAUGACAAGCUAUGCCACUGUGUAGCAUGUAGUGAUGGCACUUAAUAAGUGAGUUGCUAGGAUGUGAACUAGAAAAAUUAAAUAUUGUCUCCCUGGGCAUGCUAGCUCAUAAGUCAGGGUUAAUAUUAGAACUCAAGAUACUAUAACCAUGAGAAGCUAUUGACUGCCAAUUAAAAUAUCCUUUAAAAUGUCUAGGAAGUUAUGAAGGUGGAAGUAUCUUCCGAUUUCUGAGGCCACAUGGUAGAUAUCAUCCAGGAUCCUAGUACAGUGCAGUUAACCUCCUGCUUGAUGCAAUUAAUAAAUUUGGUCAAUGCCACUGAAACAUGCUAACUGACGUCGCAAUGCGACAUGAGCACUUCAAAAUGGGACAGACGGUCGGUAGCACUAAAUUUUUCUUGCCUAAGAUUGAGCAAUUGGUCUAACUACUAACCCCUUUUGUAGUUGAUCAUUAUUUUUUCAAUUAUUUUCAGUUUGACCCAAAACGUUACAGAAUCUUGAUCUGAAUAUUGUCACUGAACAUUGUCACUGAACAUUGUCAAUGUCGUUUAGCGUAGCCAACUAACUUGAGUUUGGUAAAACAACACACAGUGUGUCUCAUGUCUCACAAUUCAAAUUAUCAUUUGUAAUGAUGAGAAUUUUUCCAAUGUAUGAAGUAUGCUUUGAUACGUGGGUUACCUUGGGGAAGGUAUCUCAAAAUAAAGAAUAUGGGGAGAAAACAGUUCAGUAGUUUAUUAUUAUGUAGUCAAGUUUUGUCUCAAAAAUGGUCCAAAUUUAAAUGAAUAAGGAGGGGAUCUUCAUUCUUUUUUCCCUUUUUUAUACCUAGAUAUCUCUCAACCUUUAUAUAAUCCCCACUGGAUAUCUGCUUCUAAUAAUUAAAAUAAAAAUUUCACCCACACAAAUAAAUACUGACCAAGCUCUAACAUAUAAAAGUAACUUCUUUAGUCAAGUGAUUUACAGUUCCUCAUCACCUUAGUGAGACUAUCAGUGUGUUCCAAAAACAUAAUAAAAUUGGUUUGUUCCUGUUUAUUGAUGUUUAAAUGUUGUUCAUUGUGACAUAGAAAUGAUGAGGCGAAGUUUAUUUGGUCAUCAAUUUGUAGAUCUUGUUUGAAGUUGCUUUCUGAAAUGAACUGCCAAAUGGUAGUUUCUUUGGGGCAUUUGAUGGCUCUUUUUUCCUCAUUUUAAACAUGUGCCUGCUUGGAACAGGAAGGAUUAGGCUGCAGAGUUGUUAUAUAUUUUGACAUGCUCUAGUCAUUGCACAAUUUGUUCACACUGGAAACUAGAAUGAGAAAUUUGUUGCAUUCUAUGCACAAUAACAUGAUUAAUGAAAAUGGAUUGUAGGACUGGAAAGAUCUGUGGCAGCCUGAGCUCGCAGGACGAAUUUCAAUGGUUAAUUCUCCCUGAGGUUAUUGGUUUAGUUUUGAAGUAUAUGGGAGCAUCAUACAAUUCAAACGAUAUUGAUUCAAGUUGCUGGUGGGAAGAUUGCUGCUGCUCAGCAGAAUCUGGCAUUACUGGCAAACCAGGUACUCUCAAAGAAAUAUCUUUGCAUGUUAUUACCUGACAACUGAUUUUGUUUGUAAAAGUCUGCUUCUUCAUACAUAUGAAUGCAUAUGUUAGUGUUUCUUCUCCUUUUCAUACAUAUGAAUGCAUAUGUUGCUUCUUUUCCUUUCCAUACAUAUUAAUACAUAUGUUGGUGUUCUCUCCUGAGAUGGAUGCAAUAAAGGUUUUUCUGAAGAAAUGGCAAGGGAUGUGAGAUUCUGUCUCAUAAAAUUAACAAAAACCCAAAACAAUGAAAACCCAUAAUAAUGUGGUGUGGGUAAAUUGACGCCAUUUGGUUCGUUUCCUUGAUGUGAAUACGCGGGCAAUAGAGACUAACAAAAUGAAGUGACAACAAGAAGUCAGUGUCCUUUGAUGGAUGCAUUUUUAGGCAGAAAUAGGUUUGUAAUUGACCAAAUUUGUCUGGCAUGCCAAUUUCAAAAAAAUUAAAUUAUGUGGUUAUUAGCUGUAAUGAAGGGGGAUUGUAGGUCCAAUCAGGUGGAUCCAUGAAAGUUCAACAAAGUUCUGGUAUGGCGUAGAAAUUGGUUUGUGGCAACUCAAGAGUCUUUCUGGUGAACGAUGAUGGGUUUGAUUUAUAAAUGUUAUAAAUCUACUGUGCAUAGUAUUCUAGUAGAAUCAUCUAUAAGUUCUAGUUAUUGAAAUUGUCUACCUUGUUCAGUUUGAGUUAAGGGCACAUGUAAUAUGAAAAAUAGUUGUUGCAUCUUUUAGGUUACCUAACAUUUGAUCAAUCCUAUUAUGAGGGCUUCAAGAUGUCUAACAAUAUGUGGAAUGCCCAUGCUCCUCCCCAUUGUUUAUCUUAUAUAAUAAUUUGUUUUAGAUGCUAAUAUCUUUGUCGAUACGGUAACAAUAUUACAAUAUCUGCGUUUAUUGGGUUUUACAUAGGUUCGACUGUUUGACAGUACACACUCUCUGAAGGCAUUUGGAAAUGGAAUGUAUGGAUUGCUGUUGGGUGGAGUAGUGAUGUUCUUCCUGCUGUCAAACGUAUGUCUAAUGUUGCAGUUGUUGUUCCCAGUCUGGUGCUAGCUUAUGGGCUGAUCUUUGGGUAUACCCAUGCCUGCCAUUCUACUUCAAUAUUCACAUUGUUAUCUCCUUCAUAUUAGUGAUCAGUAACACGAUAAUGUGACUAAUAAGUUCGUAUUCUCUUUAUAGGCAAUCCCUGCUGCCUCAAGACUGAAACAAAACAAAUUGGAGGCGAGUCAGAGGUGCAUUUCCAUUAAUCCAUCAAUGGAUAGAAUUCUGCUUGCAAACAGCGAGAGCAUUGCCUUUCAAGCAAGAGGUUAUCCCGAGCGCAUCUCCCUCUGCCCUUGAGAGUACUCUGGUUAAGUUGCCUGAAGAACUUUUGAAGGGUAAACCAAGUCUGGAUACUAACUUAAUUGCUGAGUACCCUGACGGAAAUUCUGGCCAGAUGUGAGUUUUUGGAGCCAUUAUCUGAAGCUACAUUGUCGGAUUAUGAGUGGCUGGUUGCUAAUCUGCAAAAAUCCACUCCUGUACUGAUCAACAAGAUGCAACAUUACAUGUCAUCAUUGAUCUUUAGCUAAAGGUACAUUGAAAAGUUAAUGGCACUGCAUACCAGUCAUUAUAAUUGGGUCAGGCAAUUGGGUCAGGGCAAUUGGGUCAGGGCAAUUAGGUCAGAGCAUAACUUCAUUAGGAAAAGAGGCUUCAGCUACGUUAAAUAUUACAGGAUGUACUGAUGGCUGAAGUUGUUGACGUUGUACGAGAAACGAAAGAUGAGUGUUUGUUUUGAACAAAGUUGUUGCCAAUCUUGCAGAGUUCGAGAAGAAAGAUCACGAAGCAAAUGCCACCGAUUUCUUCAUCACUGUAGCCUCCAUAGUUGAAGUUUCCUCAUUUGAAGCUGUUUAUGCAUAUGCUUUUUCCCUUCUCAAGUACAGGAAAUUGAAGAAUUAACCAGAUGUGAUAUGCUGAAAGAGGGAAGUUUCUCCCUUGAAUGUGGCCUUGUGAUUUGUCUUGAAGGAAUAGGAUGAUCACUGGCAAGAACCCUAUCAAGGUAGAUUUUAUGAUGUUAACAUAUUAUUAAGCAUUUUGUUACAUCAGCAAUGAUGCUUUCAUAGCAUGAAAGUGUUUAAAUUUAACUGAAUGAUCUUGAUUGAUCAAUUAUGAGUUUUAAUCGAGUAAAAACUAAAUACAAUAAUCGUUAACAAAUAUUGAAAUUGGGUAAAUAUGAUCUUGAUAUUGAUGAAUUUGAAAUCACAACCCACACAGGAAAUCACCCUGCGCGUGGGAUGGAAAUGUUUACUGCAGCGAUAUUGAAUAUGUCCACUGCUGGACUAAUUCUGAUUACCUAAUUGACUCAGGAUCGGCUGGCAAUAAUAACAGUUUAUUAACAAUGCACAGUCCGAGUACUUUUCCAGGAUCAGAUACGACGUGGUCUAAUGUUGAUAAUAAUAGAUUAUCAAAUGACAAAUCGUUGUUCUACUAUUGCAAGCCCCCAGAUUUAAGAAUCUUUUUCAGAAAUUAAAUACAUUCUGAGAGAUGCUGGUCUACUAUUGCAAGCCCCCAGGUUUAAGAAUCUUUUGACGGUAAUUUAUCACCUGUAACUGUGCCGGAAGAUUCAACUAGCACUGAAAAAGAUGAUAAAUUAAUUGAUAUGGAGAGUUUUCAUAUCACUUUUAAAUCAUCUUAUGUAAUUGUGAUGUUAGGAAGCAUUAGUGAUCUAUAUGUGAAUUAUUAUUGGCGCCAUUGGUGGUUUUAUCUUGUUAAAAUAUGGAUGACUUCCAGUUACUAUUUUGUUGCAGACAAUCUUCUUCAAUUAACAUAUGGUUUAAAAUCAUUAUGUAAAUCAAUCUAUUAAUUUUCAAGAUAUUUAACUGAGUUAAAACUAAGUGCACUCAAUAAAUCUCUUUUCCUUUAAAAAACUGUUACGCUUUAAUUUUAGUGCUUAAUAUUUAUUGAACUCCGAUACAGGGAAUUUGAAAUCAAACUCGUAACUACAUAUUAUCUAAUUGCAAGUUUCUAUCCAUAGCUGCUGAUUUGUAGUGAUUAUCUAAUUGACUGAGGUGACGACAAUUUUUUUUUUUUAAAUUUUCAAUAGCACAAUGUGGAAUUCAAUAAUUAAAUUCUCCUUUUUAAUUUGUUUCCAGUUAAAUUAUUAAUUACUUAAACUCUGUUUUAAGUCUUUAAGUUUAUGUGUUUAUGCAGAAUUGGAUUCUUGAGCGUGUUGGACACGACCAACAAUGAAAUUGACAGUAAAAAAACAAUACAACGUGUGGACUCCGGUAGAUGCCAUACAAGUCUACAACUUUACAAAUAAUAAUUGAGUAAGCAACUUUGAUUCUCGGGCCCUUCAAUGAAUUUCUAGCCCCGUUGACUCCGCCAACUAAAGUUUGUAAAAUAAAAAAAUACAUAGAAUUCCACUAAAUGCAAAACGCGUGGAAUUUAAUUUUCGGCCAUGUGGACCAAAACAUAAUUUAAUGAAAAAGGAAAAAAAUGAUAAGAUUUCUAAAAUAUGUGAAAGAUGAUCCAUAUUUUACUGAAACGACUUAUUAAAUUUUUCAAAGAUUUAGAAUAUUUAGUCAUAAAUUACGUGCAUGUUAAUUUUUCCGCCAUUGACUAUCAUAUUCUAAACUUAAUAGUACAUUUCUUGUUGAAGGGUACUUAGUCUCUCUUCUCCUCUUAUAAAAAUUAUAUUGAUGGAUUUCUUGUUAUAGUUAAUAGUCUUUAAGAACGGAUAACUUUAUUGUUUUCGUGACCAAAUUAUGUCCGCCUAAGGUUGUGACUAUUAAUAAAAUUAAUAUUUAAUGUUUAUGUUAAAAGAUAUAAGAUUUUAUGCGUUCAUUAAUUGUUAUUAGCUAAAGGAUGAAUUAUUUUUUCAACCCAAUCAGUUGAUGCAUCUGCAAGAGUUUUUUCUUUUAUUGACCAUAAUUAUGUUCCGGGUACAAUAAAUUGUCUUUGGUGCUUGGAAAAUAUGACUUCUUACUUCAAGUUUGAUAUGUCUCUCACCAUAAACUUACUGGAAAUAUAUCCUCAUCUACUGUCAUUUAUCUAAUAUCAAUUGAAGAUCUCACUUUUUCAAACUAUCACUUCCAAGUCUCAUUGUCACUUGGCCAUUCUUGGAUCAUUCAAAACCAAUCAAGUGUUGAAAUAAUCAAAUAUAUGCAAAAUUAGAGUCACGAUUUUUUGGUCCCCCAAAUUCUAAUUAUAUAACUUCUAUAUAUUUCAUUGCCAGGUCACGAACUUGUUGGCACAUUUUCCAAAUUCCUCUUCCAUCAGCUCUCACACGUUAACUUAAGUGGAAAGUUUCCAAGUUGAUUGCUAGAAAGCAACGCAAAAUCAGACACACUUGAUCUGUCCCCUAAUUCUCUUUUCUACGUUGAAAAAGAAAAAAAAAUAAAAUACAUAUAUAUAUAUAUAUAUAUAUAUCUAUGUAAAAAUAAAUAAUAAACUGAGUAAAAGUACAUUUGUUUAAUUAACAUCUGAUCGGGGCAUUUUUGGUGUAAGCCACAACUAAAAUCAAACAGCCCCUUAGCAUACUUCUUCCAUUUUAUCUGCUACUUUUGUGGAUCUUAUAGGGUGGGCAUGUGGACAGAAUUUAAAAGUUUUAAUAGGCUCAAAGAAGAAGAUGUGUUAAAUCUAAAGUUGUUGCACCUUCUGAUUAAAUAAAGUUGUACAAUUUCAUCAACUUGAAAGAAUUGACAUUAAUGAACUGGUCGCCUCUCCAUGUAUGAAGCCUUCUUAAAAGUUAAUUUUUAUUUCAGAAAAAAAAAAGUUUAAGUUACAUAUAUUACAGUAAGAUUUUUUGAGACCAAUUCCCUUCUUGAAAUAAUAAUAGAAAAGUAUUAAUUUAAAAAUAAAAUGAAUAUGUAUUGAUUAUAUCCUGAUUUUCAUCGAUUAUAGUUAGAGUUUCACCAAAUCAAUUCCCUUAUUCAAAUAAUACAGAAAAAAUAGUAAUUUAAUAGUAAAAUAAACAGGUGUUGAUUAUAUAUCCUAAGUUUCAUCGAUUAUGUGAUCAAAGUGGCAUUGUUGAUUUAUUUUUUGUUCAAUGUUAAUUUUUAGGUUAUAUAAAUUUCAAGGAUUUAAAAUCUUUGGCCAUGAAUUACACGCUUGUUAAUUUUCCUGCCAUUGACUGUCAUAUUCUAGACUUAAUGAUACCUUUCUUGAUCAAGGGUAAUUACUCUCUCUUCUCCUCUUAUAAAUUCCUCUUCCAUUAACAUCACUAGGAGUAUGUUGAUCUCUCAGACGUUAACUUGAGUGGAGAGUUUCCAAAUUGAUUGUUACAAAACAACACAAAAAGUAGACACACUUGAUCUGUCUAAUAAUUCUCUUUCGGUAAAAUUAAAUAAUUUUAGGGGAAUAUUCGGCCAACCUCUAUAAUUUCAGAGUGAUCAUUAAUUAAUUAAUCGAUACAAAUAUCUAAAGUGAUUAAAUGUGACUUGAAAUUUGAUCUCUAUCGAUUGGUUUACAAAUGGACGUACUUGUGCCUUUGUGGCGAUAAUCGAACAAGUACCCAUGAUUAUUAUUUUUUCCAAAAACUUUUUUACAACAAAUUCAUCUCGUCAAAAAUUCUAUGUUGCUAACUAACAAUAAUUGAGCACUUGGCCGCAUUGACUCCACGUCUUCACCUCUUUCUAAAUUCUAAGUAAAAACAUGGAAAUGUAAUUUCCACAAAAUGCCAAAUGUGUGGAAUUUAAUUUUUUGCCUUGUGGAUCAAAAUACAAAUGAAAGAAACAGAAGAAAAAAAAGGCCCAAAGACUUCUAAAAGAUGAAGAAGUCUUUGUGCCUUUUUAUAAUGGUGAAUUUUUUAAAAGAAAAAAAAUAACAACAUUUUUAUGGUUUGUUUUGAUAAUCAUAUUUACAUAUACUCUCUAAUUUUCAAAAUGGACACAUAAAUCUUUUUUUUUUACAAAAUAUAUAUUAUUCAUAUUUUUUUUUAUUUUUUUAUUAUCAUAUUUUUAUUUAUUAUAAAUGUUUAGAGCAAAUUUUUAGGUUGAAAUAUAAUAAAAAGGUAUAAUUGUUCUCUUAUUAAACACACAUACUUUUAUUAGUUUCUAUCCAUUUGUCAUCUCAAUCUCUCUCAAUUAUUCUUUAUUGCUAGCUCAAAACGCGUUGCUGUUGCAAAUUAUAGCAAAAUGACAAAUAUGGAAAAAAAGGGAAGAAAAUUAAUGCAUGAAAGACUUGGAGAAAACAACAAAAUAAGCCAACUAUGAGUUAGUUGGGUGUAUAAAUUGUUAGAUGUGUUAUAUACAAAUAGCGUAGAGCCCUCUAGUUGGUUCCAAAGACAGAAAGAGCGUGUGUGUUUUUUCACAGUUAGAGAUAUAGUUAGAAUGGGUGGUUCAAAAUCAAAAAUGAUGAUAAUGUUUAUUAUGUUAUUAAUAAUAUUUAAAAGUGGGUGGAGUGAGGGAUGUUUGGAUCACGAGAGAUUUGCUUUUUGAGACUCAAACAUUUCUUCAAUGAUCCUCUUAAUUCUCUUUACGACUGGGUAGAUGGUGAGGGAGCUACUGAUUGUUGUCAGUGGGAAAGGGUUGAGUGCAGCAACACCACAGGCCGAGUGAUAGCACUGGACCUUUCUUAUAUAUAUUCGGGAGAGUACAGCUGGUAUCUGAAUGCUUCUUUAUUUACUCCCUUCCAACAACUUGAGUCACUUGAUUUAACUCAAAACAAAAUAGCCGGAUGUGUUGAGAAUGAAGGUACUUUGUUUAAUUUAAUUAAUUUACUUUCUCCCCCCUAAUUUAAGUUGAAUAUCAAGACUGAGCAAUUAUACGCAUAUUCAUUUAGUCGACAAUUUUGACUUUUUUUUAAAUGAUUAAUUUUGAAAUUACACCAGUAUCUAUGAUCUUUUUUAUUUUAUUUUAUUUGCAGGUAUAGAGAGGCUAUCAAGAUUGAACAACUUGAAGAUGCUUAAUUUAAGUGGAAACUCAUUCAAUAAUAGCAUUUUAUCAUCUCUAACUCAUCUUUCAUCAUUAAGAUCAUUAAAUUUAUUGUGGAAUAGAUUGGAAGGAAGUAUUGACGUUAAAGGUACAUAAUUAAAACUUCAAGCUCUUUCAUUAACUUGCUAAAAUAAGAUUCAAGGCUUUGAAUUCAAUUUUUUUAUGAUUAAUAUUAAAAAAACAGUUUUAAGCAAUUUAUAAAAACAAGUUUUAAUGUUUCUUGUAAUUUCAUCUUGUACUUUCAUAUGUCUUGAAUUUAAGAUUAAAAAAAAAACUCUAAUAGCGAACCAAACACCUCCACAACUUCUUAUUAUUUGUGGUGAGGUUUGAAACAUUCAACUCAAUUUGUACUUAUUACAGAAUUUGAUUCUUUGAGAGAUUUAGAGGAGCUAGACAUUGGCGGGAACAAGAUUGACAAAUUUGUGGUCUCAAAAGGUACUACAAAUACCAUAAAAAAAUAUGCUAACUUUUACAAAUUAGUUAGAUUCUUUGCCAUUUGGUUUAUUAUUUUACAGGUUUGAGUAAGUUGAAGUCUCUCGGUUUAAGUGGUAUCAAACUCAAUCGUAGCAUCUUAUCUUCUCUGACUGUCUUUUCUUCGUUAAGAGAAUUACAUCUACGUGAUACGGGAUUCAAAGGAACAUUCGAUGUUCGAGGUAAGCCUAAGUCUUGCUUUCUCAUUUUAUAUAUGCCAACUAGAUUUGUGUAUCAUCGACAUAAUUUAAUAUUUAAUUUGAUAAGUUUGAAUGAAUUACAUGCUAAUUUAAACACACUUUUAUUUACUUUGUCAAUUAAUUAAUUAAUUAAUUAAUACUAUUUGGCUUGGUUUGGACGAAAUUCUCAUGAUGUUUUAAUUUCUUUAAAUUAAUUAAUUAAUUAACUCUGUUUUUAAGUCUUAAGUCUGGGCGUGUUUGCAGAAUUUGAUUCCUUUAACGACUUAGAAGUGUUGGAUAUGAGAUACAAUGAAAUCGACAAUCUUGUGGUUCCUCAAGGUAAACAAUUAAAAGGUACAGAUGUGGCCAAAUUUAUAAAUAAAUUGUUAAUUAAUUAAUUUUUUCGUAUUAUUAAUAAAGCUAAAUUCGUUGCUCCUUCCUUCUAAUUCUAAACAGAGUUGCACAAUUUCACCAACUUGGAAUAUUUGACAUUGGAAUCUUCCUCUCUCCAUAUAAGCCUUCUGCAAAGCAUUGCAUCAAUAUUCCCUUCGUUAAAAAAUCUGUCGAUGUCUUUUUGUGAAGUCAAUGGUGUCGUACGCGGUCAAGGUAAAAGAAAAGCGUUGAUUGUGAACUCACUCAAUGGUGUCCUACGUGUUCAACAUUUUUAUUUAUUUUAUUGUUUAAUGUUUCUGCUAGGUUUUCCUCAUUUCAAGAGUUUGGAACAUUUUGACAUGAGGUUCGCGCGCAUUGCGCUCAACACCAGCUUUCUUCAAAUCAUCGGUGAAUCGAUGCCCUCUCUUAAGUACUUAUUACUGUCAUAUUCUACUCUUGGCACUAACAGCAGCAGGAUUCUUCAUCAAGGUUAAUGAGAUGCUGCCACCCUCCCCUCUUAACCUAUAAUAUUAAUUUUCGAUUAAAUAUUUAAUUACACAAACCAAUCACUUAUUAUAAAAGAACAAUACGCAUUCAUUAAUUUUUAUAUUGUAUUAAUAAUUGAUGAAUUUAAUAAAUUUUCAGGCCUCUGUUCGUUGGUGCACCUGCAAGAGUUGUACAUUGAUAAUAAUGAUUUAAGAGGUAGCUUGCCUUGGUGCUUGGCAAAUAUGACAUCCCUCCGAAUAUUAGAUGUUUCUUCCAAUCAACUUACGGGAAGCAUCUCCUCAUCUCCCCUCGUUCAUUUGACAUCCAUUGAAAAGUUGGAUCUUUCAAACAAUCACUUUUGGAUCCCAAUUUCACUUGAACCACUUUUCAAUCACUCACGACUCAAGCUUUUCUAUGCUGACAACAAUGAAAUAAAAGCUGAAAUAACUGAGUCACAUUCUUUGACUGCCCCAAACUUCCAAUUAAAAUAUCUCUCAUUGUCUUCCGGUUACGAAGAUGGUGUCACAUUCCCCAAAUUCCUUUACCAUCAACAUGACCUGGAGUAUGUUGACCUCUCACAUAUAAACAUGAGCGGAGAAUUUCCAAAUUGGUUGUUGGAAAACAACACAAACUUAGAAUAUAUUUUUUUGGUUAAUGAUUCUCUUGCAGGACCUUUCCGGUUGCCAAUUCAUUCACACAAGCGGUUAAGACUGUUGGAUAUAUCCAACAACAACAUCAGAGGCCACAUUCCAGUAGAAAUUGGAGAUGUUUUACCGGGUUUAUUUUCUUUAAACAUUUUCAUGAAUGCUUUAGACGGUUGCAUUCCCUCUUCAUUUGGUAAUAUGAAAUUCCUCCAAUUUCUGGACUUAUCCAACAACCAAUUGACUGGUGAAAUCCCUAAGCACUUGGCCGUGGGUUGCGUCAACUUAGAGUCUCUUGCGUUGUCAAACAACAACUUAGAAGGUCAUAUGUUCUCCAGAAACUUCAACCUGACAAACUUGAAAUGGUUACAAUUGGAAAGCAAUCACUUCGUAGGAGAGAUCCCACAAAGUUUGUCUAAAUGCUCCUCACUAAAAGGAUUGUAUCUUAACAAUAAUAGUCUUUCGGGUAAGAUUCCACGAUGGUUGGGUAAUCUCACAUGGUUACAAUAUAUUACAAUGCCCAAUAAUCAUCUUGAAGGUCCUAUUCCAGUGGAGUUUUGUCAGCUUGAAUGGCUUCAGAUUUUGGACAUUUCAGACAACAACAUAUCUGGAAGUUUACCAUCUUGUUUCCAUCUUCUCUCUAUCAAACAAGUUCAUCUUUCAAAAAAAUAUGUUACAUGGACAGCUAAAAAGAGGUACAUUCUUUAAUUGCUCUUCCCUUGUGACAUUAGAUCUUAGUUAUAACCGCUUGAAUGGCAGCAUUCCGGAUUGGGUUGAUGGACUUUCUCGGUUAAGCCACCUUAUCUUGGCUCACAAUAAUCUUAAAGGUGAAGUGCCAGUUCAAUUGUGCAAAUUGAACCAACUACAAUUGUUAGAUCUUUCUAAUAAUAAUCUUCAUGGUCCUAUUCCUCUUUGCUUUGAUAACACCACACUUCAUGAAAGUUACAGCAAUAGUUCUAGUCCUGAUGAGCAAUUUGAAAUAUAUGUUUUCAUCGAAGGCCCUCAGGGAGGUGUAGAAAAGAAAAUCCAUGAAAUUUUUGAGUUCACAACAAAGAACAUUGCGUACAUUUACCAAGGAAAAGUGCUUAGCCUCCUAUCAGGACUUGAUCUUUCUUGCAACAAGCUAAUCGGUAAUAUUCCUCCUCAAAUUGGAAAUUUGACAAGGAUUCAAACAUUGAAUCUAUCGCACAACAACUUGACAGGAUCGAUCCCAUCAACAUUUUCAAACUUGAAGCAUGUCGAAAGUUUGGAUCUUUCCAACAACAAAUUGAAUGGGAAAAUCCCUCAUCAACUAGUGGAGUUAAAGACAUUGGAGGUUUUCAGUGUGGCAUACAAUAACUUAUCAGGCGAAAUUCUAGAAUGGAAAGCACAAUUUGCAACCUUCAACGGGAGUAGCUAUGAAGGAAAUACUUUUCUUUGUGGACUGCCAUUGCCCAUUUGCAGAUCACCAGCAACUACGCCGGAGGCUUCAAUUGGCAAUGAACGAGAUGAUAAUUUAAUUGACAUGGACAAUUUCUUUAUCACAUUUACAACAUCGUACGUAAUUGUGAUAUUCGGAAUUGUUAUUGUUUUAUAUGUAAAUUCUUAUUGGCGACGUAGAUGGUUUUACUUUGUUGAAAUGUGGAUAACUUCAUGUUAUUAUUUUAUUGUAGACAAUCUUAUUACAACAAGAUAUUGUCAUUGAAAUUAAUUAGGAGUUUAAUUACGAUUCUUUAAGUUCUAAUCAAGUUUGCUUAGGAAAUAAAUUUAUUUUUAUUUUUUAUUAAAACUGUAGUAGUAUUUAGCUCUAUAUAGCUUCCAACUUCCAAGCACUUCACAUUUGUCUCUACACUUCCAAACCCAUAUCUAUCCACCAUAACUUAUACUUCCCUAUACUGUGCAGCAUACUUAAAUAAGAGAACCAUCUCCAAUGUUAAAACCAGCCACUCUAUAACAUUCAUUUAGAAUAGUUUUAUUAUCAUACACAAGAAAUGAAACACCUAGAUGCACUUGAUCGCCUAUUUUACUUUAAAAAAUAAUGAUUAUGGUGCUAUCAUCAUCUUCUUCACUAGCAACAUUAACACCAAAUCCAGCGAUGGACCCAGACAUUUUAUCAAGAAAGGUAUAUAUAUAAUAAAGUUGAAGCUUGACAAAAAAUUCAGGAAGAUUAAUGCCUCGCCACAACAAGGGGCACAACAACAUCAAAGUAGAGAUGAAGCAAUAUUUUCAAAUCUAAAACUCUCAAAUCCACCCACCAAAAUUUCAUAUCUCCUCAACAAUUUUAAGAACUAAAGAUAAUUAGGAUCUAACAUUAGUUUUUUAUAUAUUAGUUUCAUAAUUUACAAAUCAAUGAAGAUGAAGAUUAUGCUAAUGAAUUCAAAUUAUACCAUAGAUUCUCGAGAUGUUACCAAAAAUUUCUAAGCCAAUCCCACAUAUUUCAUAAUUUUAAGACUAGAAAAUUUCAUUAGUUAGAAGUUUCAUUACCUUCAAGUGGAAGAUGAAGAACAUUAUACAAUUGAUUCAGAUUAUAUCAUACAUACUCCAAAUGCAACUAGAAAUUAACAAGUUCAUGCGCACAGAUUUCAUAACAUUAUGAUUGGAAAGUUUCACAAAGAGAAAUUCUAAAUUCAAUCUCUUGCAUCAAGGUAGUUUGAUUGAUUUGAGUUACUUUCUCAUCAAGCUACUAAUAUAACAUUCAAGUCAGGGAGAAAGUAAAUUAAAACGGGGAAGAAACAACAGUAAAAAUUUGUUGCUAAACAUGAUGUGUAUUUUUUUUUAAGGCAAUUUGGAAACACAGUUGUUACUACAGAUAUUCUCCUCAACUUAGAGAUAAAUACAAAUAUUAAAAUGCAUAUGAUCGCACAUAUUACUUGGAGCUUAGUAAGAUUUCAUUAAGAGAAGCAAUCAAACCACUUAUCAAUUGUUGCAAUCGUUCUAUAAGCUAAAAUAGCAAUAUAAUACAAGAAAAAGAACAUAUAGAUACUUGGCAAGAGUUCAUUAAGAAGUCGCAUCACAUUCGGGUGAGUUUGCUUCUGAUAUCUUGCUAGCUGGGGCUUUUUCUUGUCUUUCUACGUAUGCCGAGGGAAACCAACCAGCUUGGCCCUUGCAUUCACCUUCCGACCAUCCAGUAGGAGCCACCUUGAGAAGUUAUAACUAAAAGUCUAAAACAAUGAAUUAAACAAAAGUUGACCGUUCAAAGACCUAAGGGGAAAACUAAUUCUUUUACGUAGGAGGAGUGAAUUAGUUGUGAUCACUGAAAUAACAGCAUAACUAUGGAAGCAUAACAAGAUAUAAAUUCACACGUCUAUAAGGGUAAACUGGGUGGUUUAGAACUGAGCUAGCAACCCUACUAUAUUCUGAUUUGCACAUCAAUGUAAAAGGGAAUAUAUGGUAGGAAGAAAGAAAACCAACCAUCAGUUGUUAACUCAUUGCUUUUCAAUCAAAAUUUUAAGAACAAAAUGCCAUGUGCUUUGAACAUCAAAUAAGUAUAAGCAUUAGUUCUAAAUUCCACAUAUCAUAAGUUAGAAGGACAAGUCAAUAGCAUAGUAGAAAAAUCUAUGUGUUGUUAUUUAGAGGGGAAAGUACCUGGCGAACCACAACAUAAUCAUCAAUUGAAAGACUUAGCUCUCCAUUUGCUUGAGCAUCAAAUGGAUGUAUAACCUGCAAGAUAAUGGGAUAAAUAGAACUUAAUCUUAAAAAAAGCAUAACAAAAGCAGCAACAGUAGCAGCAGCGUUCAUUGUAACCACUAUGAUCAUGGCCAACAAAGAUAUAUUACAAACAAAAUUCCAUUUUUACUACGACAUUAAUAUGUACUAUAUGAUAUCAUGACGAUUGGGUUACCAAGAGCUAUCAAAGUCCAAUAAAUUCUGUAUAACUUUAGGUAGUUAUUCAAAUUAUGGAUCAGAUUUUAAAUCCGAAAUUUUGACUGCUCUCCACAAAACAUGGCCUAUGCACAAGAAAGUCAUAGAUAAUGAGGAUUACAAGUGUCUGACAUCUUUUGAGUGAUGGAUUUAACAUGAGAGCUUAUGGUCAGUCAAUUUCCUCUGCCUAGCAAUAUAAGCUUUCUCGGCCAGAUUUAUCAUCAAAUACAUAGAUUGGCCCCAAGUCACAUCCAAAUAAACAUAGUUUUUCUAGGUAAACCAAGUAAGGAGAAUCAUAAUUCAGACAUAAUCAUAAAAAGGCCCAUCUAACUUAAGAGAAAAUCUCAAAAAGAGGGAUGUUGAGCUAUCAGUCUUGUAUCUAUAAGCAAUAUCAAGACUUUACAUCACCUACUACAUCGUGAGUGGCUACACAACUUUCAGUGGUUUGUCUUUCUUUGGCAUGCCUAACUCAGCUUUGAUGUUGCUGAGAUAUUGAUAGUAAAGACACAUGAUACUUCUAGCCCAUGCAUUCUAUCUAGCUCAUCCGACAACUAUCUCUUUUUUAAUUCAUUAGUGUUUGCUAAACCUCAUGCUUAAAAGUCCUAUUCUCCUAAACAAAGCUUCCUAAGAAUGACUUCCUCAGCACCACAUUUGGACACUUUUAGAGCAAUUUUAUUUGGGGGAAAAGAAUUUUCAAGGUGUUAACUAAUAAAUUUUAAAAAAUAAUUACAAUUUGUCCUACAAUUAUAUGACAAUUUAUCUGGGAUGAAAGGAUACAGACAGACAUCUUCCACUUUCAAGACUAAUCACUACUUCCGUAGAUGUUUUGCAAUAAUACAAAUACUUGACCAGAUGGUAGAAAAAAAUUUUAUUGCUCCAAAAUUAAAAUAAGAAUGCAAUAUGUUAAGCAAAAGACUGUGCAACAUCAAAUUAAUUGAUAAGUUUGUAAUUCAGUAAAUUAACAACUUUCAUGGUAAAAUACAACAAAUUUCUUUUCAAAAAAAAAAAAAAAAAAUUAAAAGACGGCAUUCAAUUUUUUGGGCAUCUUAUUUCUUAAGAUUUUCCAGGAGGAGGGCACUAGAGGGACUUUCACCUAUGCAAGAGAGCAGAAGCCUUACUUUCGCUAUAAAGUAGACGUCAUUCUGAUUAAUAUGCGUUUGCAAAUCAGCUCCAUUUGAAUCAGUAUUCUGAUAGACACGUGAGGCAUUUACAUCCAUUUCCAAAGUCACAUGUUGCGAGGAGGACUCAUUUGAUUGCUCCUCUAGGAUCAUCUAAUUCAAGUAGCAAGGGUUGGAAGAGAAUAAAAAGUCACAAUUAUUCUUUUGCAUAAGUGAGACGAAAAUGAUAAAUGCAAUAUUAUCAGCAGUAAACAAGAAGAGAACACUCCAAGGAAUAGAUAGAUGCCGACAAGCAAGUUAAAAUGCACAGUUCCAAACCUCCGCAUACAACUUCUCUAAAAUAGCAAUAAUGUGUUGAUGAUAUGUUUUCUCAGCAUCUACCUGCAAAGGCCUGAGACCAGGAAAACAACAAUAAAACCACUAGCUAAAGGAGAAAGUAAAGAAAGAAAUACACUUGACAUAAAUCUUGACAAGAAGCACAAUUUAAGACAUAACAAACCCCAAUCAGAUUGUUUAGAACUACCAUUCGUUAUUUCGUUAUUGUAGCAUUUCGAACAAGUGUUGACUUAAUUCAACAUUGUUGGAAAGAUAGGCUUUUAGAAGCGGAAGAAAGCCUCUCAAACCAAAGUGAUUGUCCUUGUAUUGAUCAAGGGAUGUAAACAUAUUACAUUUGCAGGAUGAGUUUUAAUCACUCCCCUGAUUUAUUUGGGUUGCAGUAAAACUAAGCGAGCAACUGUUUGACUUUCAAGCAACAUCUAAAUCAGCUAUUAAAAUUCAAAUAAAAUUAUAAUAGAAUAAUAACAGGCCAUCUUGCAUAAAAAAUUAAGUUUAAUUUGUGAAUUUUUUUCUAUAGACAUGUUAGUUCCUGCUAUUGAAAUGUUAAAAGCAUUGAAAAAUUAUUCAAUAAAUUAUGCAAACAUUAAAAUAGAGGACAUAUUAAAAAGUUUCUAAUUACAAUGUUAAGAUUUCCUAUAUUUUAGCAUUUGCAUAUUUUAAUUUAAUUUAAAAGUUACGUCAAUCAACUUUGGGCGUGAAGAUUUUAGCUUCUACGAGACUUGAUUGGAAUAUGCAUAAGGAAGAGUGUUAAAAUAUGAUGCAUCCAACGAAAGACAAACCACGUGUAGUCUUUUAAUUAAGCCAAAGUAGCAGCUCAAACAAAUGACACUUGGACCAACAUGCAAUCAUGAAGUGGCCGGUAAAAGGACAAAUGCAACUUUGGCUUAAAUAAAAAAUAACAUGUGACUUGACUUUUGCUGACAUGCAUCAUGUAUUACAAGACAACAGAAAUCAGUAUGAUAGUACUAAAAGUUGACAAUAACAUGAAGAUAAGAGCAGAAUGUCAACACCUGCAUAGGCACACACAAGAAAGUAUUAACAUAUAUACCAUAGCAAAAAGUCUUUGAUAUGUCAUCUGUUGCUGCUGUGAUUCAACUGACAGCAUGGCAGCUGUCGCUUCUCUACCAAGAGCCAUUAUUGUAGAUUUAAGCUCGGUCAAUCUUGCUUCUGCAUUUCGAAGCUUCACAGCACUCUCUGCUGAUAUAUCAGAUUUCCUUAUCUUUGAUCGGUGCCUAAAUACUUCAGCUGCCUGGUGAAAAUAUUCAAUAUAAAUCUAACAUAAUUCUCAUCUUGCCUUAUACAUGCAUAUGUUACCUCAAAGCUUGCCUGGGCUUCAAACUUCAUGUCGAAGUUGUCAUAACGAUGAGUCAGGUGUCGAGCAUCUUCCAAAGGUGCUCCGUUGAUUAACGCCCGUAGUGGCUCAGAUACCUACAUGUCCAAAAACCUGUAACAUAGUUAGAAAAAUGAAAAGAAAGAGCGAAACCUCAAUUAAAAAGUUCCUCCAACAUAAUCAUGGAAUUUGGGCCUACUUCAAGGAUAUAUAUAAGAUAAUUUAUGCAAUUUUGGGUCUUAGGAUGAUUCAUAUUAGGUUAGUGUUCUUCUCUUCUGUAUUUAAGGUUAAAAUAGAAAUAAACCUAUGCAAAUAUCUAAAUUAGGGCUGUAAGACUUCCACAUGCAUCCUUCAUCUCAUGGAUUUGAUUUACUAUAGAUGCAAGUGUCUUUAUCGAAAAUGCUUGGAGUCAAUUGAGAGAACUCACAGCCAAUAACUUGUCACAUGCUAGUCUUUGCUAUGAUGCAAGAAGUCACAAGGUCUCUUCAACAUUUGAACCAAUAAAAUUAUUAAGUCAUGGAUGUCACUAGCAAUGAUUUCAAUAUAAAACAUUAAAUAUUUCAAGUUGUAACUUUAAAAUGGAUUCUUUUAUUCAAUAUCUUAGAACUAAGUUUCCUUAUGAGAAGAUAAUAGUUUCAGUAGUAAUUACAUGAAAUUUUCUAUAUUUGAAUUAUUUUCUAGUUAGGGAUGAACUAACCUGAUCAUGAAGAAUCCCAAGCAAAGUUUCCCUCUCAUUUUCCAUCAAAUCAUGUGAAGUGCCAAAUUGAAGAGCAGCUCUUGCAGCGCAAGAAUUGUCACUUUGAUUCUCCGCUCCAUACUUGCAACAAUCUUCAGCCAACUUUCUCGCUACAAUAUUUGAAUACAAAAAUAUUGUACACAAGAACCAGUCAAGAAAAUAAAAAAAAAAUCAAAUAUAUAUAACGAGAGCAAGAGCAAACAAACAACCUAUUUCCAUUUGUUUCAAGCUUACUGCAACAAACCCUUCAACGCCACGGACAAUAUUCCUCUGAAAAUGCUGUGCUACAGAGCAUAUAUUCCAAAUUAUUGUUCAGAUAAAACCAUAGAAACCAUCAUAAUUAUCAACAUACAUUAAGCUCCGUUUGGUAAAACUUGCAACUUCAGUCUAGAAAAUACAGUUUGUUUGUACCAUAUUUGACAAAAUUAUAUUUAAAAAUCAUAACUAAUUACCAAAAGCCACAAUAAAUCAUAUCAAACAGAGUCUUAUUAUUAGCUAAAGGAGGAUGGUGCCUUAGCUGCCCUGGUGGAAUUGUAUAGAUUUUAAAGUUGUUGGUGACACUCAAUUUCAGCUUCAUGAACCGCAAUAUUUUCAAUACCAAGAUGGAGCAGAUGCUUCAAUGCUGCCUGUACAAAUCAUAAAAAACUAAUAAAAAUAAAUAAAAUCGAUAAAUUCACUAACUAAAAGUCUAAAUAUAAUUUUUGAAAAAAGAAAAGAAACGGACUUGCUGCUGCUUGGCGACUUGUUCUCGGUGCUUGAUUGCCUGUUCUUGAUAGCUUCCAUACUGUUUCUUUCAAAAAGCAACGACGCUCAGCUCAUGGAGGUGGAAAAAAAAAGUAUGAUCGAGAAAAAUAAAAAGCGAUGAAUAAUUUUUUGACAAAAAGCGAAAAUAAAAAGGCAUGAAUAAUGAAUAAUUUUUGACAAAAAGCUCUUUCCAGAAAAUAAAAAAGAAAAAAAGAAAAAAGAAAAUUAUAAGUUUGAAAGGAGUAGAUGAUAGUGGAAGUGUGCGGUGUGGCUGCCAGCUACUUGAAUUGUAUUGUCGGGUAAGGUAAUAGUAGAGAAAUUUUUUUUUUGAAGAAAAAUGGGUAAUUUUUAAAAACCUCCCCUGAGGUUUGGCUUGUUGUAAGUAGAUGGCGAGAAUCCAUUUAUUUGUAAAAAACCCCCUACGUUUUUGCUCCGCUUGGUUGCCGUUUGGGCAAUUGUGGCUUGUUGACAUUUCGCAAUAAAACAAAUCUUUUGCAACUUUCGUUUCCUUGAGAACAAUAGCUAGAUUUCUCAAUCUGUUUCAUCCAACACUUCAAAAAUUUCAACUUUUAUGAGUUAUUGCAUUCUCUGGCAAAGUAGACUUCUUCUAAUUUUAUCACAGUGCUUUCAGGAACAAGAAUGGGAUCCAUUAACAUCCCCUCAAAUUUUACAGCUUCCUUACAGCUAUACACUGCUGUAACACGAAGUUUAAUGAUUCCAUCGCCAAAUAGUCCCCAAAAUCUAUUCUUCCCCAUAUUGAACAACUUAAGUUCACAACACUUGCAUUCUAAAGGCUUCCACUAACAUCUAAUAUCUCAAGACUCAACGUUGCUUUACAAUAAUUGUUAUUACUACCAAACAAACAUGAAGAAACCCCGAUUAUCGGAUAAAUCAACCAAAAUGAACAAGAGAAGAACCCAAAACAAGUGAAUCGCUAGAGCAAAACCCCCAACCCAUAUCCCUAAUCCCACACUCAAAAAAACCCAAUUUCUCUCCAAAGUCAUUGACACUAGCAUCACUACUAGACUCUAAUUCCAAUCCUAGAUUACAUUUAAUGUUAACCCAACUAAAAUGAAUGUUCUUACUACAAUACGCAUCGUUUACACUCUCAAACAACGCGCUGAACUUACUCUUAAACGAUCCCACAUUGGUCAAACACUCAUCACUCACAUCGACAUCCAAGAAUUCACUCAAAAACUUCAUAGACUCGACAAUUGGAGAAAACAAAACCACUAAACUCAACUUUAUACAAGCAUACCCAUCGAGAAUCUUACCGUCAUUAACCGAAUCACAACAAAUCACCGGGUCCCACGCGCAGUCGUGAACGAGCUUACGCAUGGACGGGGCAACAUUUAACCCCCGCGGCAAAAACGACGAAGCUUUGGAAAAAUUGUNUUUUUAAAAGGCAAAAAUAACAACACUUCUAUGGUUUGUUUUGAUAAUCACAUUUACAUAUACUCUCUAAUUUUCAAAAUGGACACAUAAAUCUUUUUUUUUCUACAAAUGUAUAUUAUUCGUAUUUUUUAUUAUUUUUAAUAUCAUAUUGUUAUUUAUUAUAAAUGUUUAAAGUAAAUUUUUAGGUUAAAAUAUAAUAAAAGGGUAUAAUCGUUCUCUUAUUAAACACCCAUACUUUUAGUUUCUAUCCAUUUGUCAUCUCAAUCUCUCUCAAUUAUUCUUUAUUGCUAAAAACGCGUUUUGUUGCAAAUUAUAGCAAAAAGACAAAUAUGGAAAAAAAAAAAGGAAGAAAUUAGUGCAUGAAAGACUUGAGAAAAACAACGAAGUAAGUCAACUAUAAUCUAGCUGGGUGUAUAAAUUGUUUGAUGCUUUAUAAGCAAAUAACAAACAGAGACAGACAGUGUGUGUUCGUUUUUUCAUAGUUAAAGAUAUAGUUAGAAUGGGUGGUUCAAAAUCAAAAAUGGCGAUAAUGUUUGUUAUGUUAUUAAUAAUAUUUAAAAGUGGGUGGAGUGAGGGAUGUUUGGAUCACGAGAGAUUUGCUCUUUUGCGACUGCAACAUUUCUUCAAUGAUCCUCGUAAUUCUCUUUACAACUGGGUCGAUGAUGAGGGAGCUACUGAUUGUUGUCAGUGGGAAAGGGUUGAGUGCAGCAACACCACAGGCCGAGUGAUAGCGCUAGACCUUUUUGAAAUGUAUUCGGGAGUACAGCUGGUAUCUGAAUGCUUCUUUGUUUACUCCCUUCCAACAACUUGAGUCACUUGAUUUAACUGCCAACAAAAUAGCCGGUUGUGUUGAGAAUGAAGGUGCUUCGUUUAAUUUAAUUAAUUUACUUUCUCCCCCCUAAUUUAAGUUGAAUAUCAAGACCGAGCAACUAUACGCAUAUUCAUUUAGUCGACAAUUUUGACUUUUUUUUAAGUGAUUAAUUAAUUUUAAAAUUACACCAAUAUCUAUGAUUUUUUUUUUUUUAAUUUUGCUUGCAGGUCUAGAGAGGCUAUCAAGAUUGAACAACUUGAAGAUGCUUAAUUUAAGUGAAAACUCUUUGAAAAAUAGCAUUUUAUCAUCUCUAACUCAUCUUUCAUCAUUAAGCUCAUUAAAUUUAUUUUUAAAUAGAUUGGAAGGAAGUAUUGACUUUAAAGGUACAUAAUUAAAACUUCAUCCCUUCUCCAAGCUCUUUCAUUAACUUGCUAAAAUAAGACUCAAGGCUUUGAAUUCAAUUUUUUUUAUGAUUAGUAUUAAAAAAAACAGUUUUUAAGCAAUUUUAUAAAUACAAGUUUUAAUGGUUAUCGUAAUUUCAUCUUGUAAUUUCAUAUGUCUUGAAUUUAAGAUUAAAAAAAACUCUAAUAGCGAACCAAACACCUCCACAACUUAUUAUUAUUAUUAUUAUUAUUAUUAUUUGUGGUGAGGUUGGAAACAUUCAACUUAAUUUGUACUUAUUACAGAAUUUGAUUCUUUGAGAGAUUUAGAGGAGCUAGACAUUGGCGGGAACAAGAUUGACAAAUUUGUGGUCUCAAAAGUACUACAAAUACCACAAAAAUGUAAACUUUUACAAAUUAGCUGGAUUCUUUGCCAUUUGGUUUAUUAUUUUACAGGUUUGAGUAAGUUGAAGUCUCUUGAUUUAAGUGGUAUCAAACUCAACCGUAGUAUCUUAUCUUCUCUAACUGUCUUUUCUUCAUUAAAGAAUUACAUCUACGUAAUAUCAUAUUCAAAGGAACAUUUGAUGUUCGAGGUAAGCCUAAGCCUUGCUUUCUCAUUUUCUAUAUGCCAACUAGAUUUGUGUAUCAUCGGGCAUAAUUUAAUAUUUAAUUUGAUAAGUCUGAAGGAAUUACAUGCUAAUUUAAACAUACUUUUAUUUACUUUGUCAAUUAAUUAAUUAAUUAAUUACUAUUUGACAUUGGACGGUUCCUCUCUCCAUAUAAGCCUUCUGCAAAGCAUUGCAUCAUUCACUUCGUUAAAAAAUCUGUCGAUGUCUGAUUGUGAAGUCAAUGGUGUCCUACGUGGUCAAGGUAAAAGAAAAGUGUUGAUUGUGAAUAAGCUGUUAAUUAAUUAAUGUUGUUGCUCCUUGCUUCUAAACAGAGUUGCGCAAUUUCACCAACUUGGAAUAUUUGAAUUGGAUUCUUCCUCGCUCCAUAUAAGCCUUCUACAAUUGCUUGAACAAUUUAUUUAUUUAUUUAUUUAUUAUUAUUGUUGUUGUUGUUGUUGUUGAAGUGGGGUGGGCAAGCGUUCACUCAGUUAAUAUGUGGGGAAUUAAAUAUUACAAUCCAAGGUAGAAUUGUGGAAAAUUAAAGCUAAAUGAGAAAUAUGGAAAGAAAGGAAGAAAGUUAAGGGCAUGAAAGACUGGGAGAAUACUAAAAACCACCAAAUAAGUCAACUGAAAACUAGCUGAGGCCUGGGUGUACAAAUUGUUAGAUGUUUGUUAUAAAUAACAUAGAGCCAUCUUGUUGGUUGCAGAGGCAGAGAGACAGAGAGUGUGCAUUUUGUCCAGUUAAAAAUGAUAAAAUUUAUCAUUUGUUUAUAUUGAUUUAUUAACUCUAUUUUAAGUCUUAAGUCUUGGCGUCUUGGCAUGUUUGCAGAAUUUGAUUCCUUGAGCAACUUAGAGGAGUUGGACAUGAGCGGCAAUGAAAUAGACAAUUUCGAGGUUCCUCAAGGUACACAAUUAAAAUAUUAUUUAAUUACAUUAAUUUAAUUCGUUUGAUUAGGGAAGGCCCAAAAUGUACAAAAACAUAAUUAGAAAAAAUAAAGAAACAGAGAAUUCAUAUUAUUUCAAAUAACAAAAGGUAAUACUAUUAUUUCAAAAACAGAUUGUAAUAAAGAUUUGAUUCCAAUUCUUUAAUCUUUACAGUGAUUGAAAAACGAUACUACUUCCCAAAGCAUAAAAUACGAAUUGACUCUCAAUUAAAUUAAUCAUUUAUUUCGUUUAGGUCUAAAUUUAGAAAAAUGAAUUUUGAUUCUCUUGAAUCAUUUCCUAAUAUUAUUAUUCAACAGGUUACAGAGGUUUGAGGAAGCUGAAAAGCCUGCAUCUAUCGGGAGUUGGAAUUAGAGAUGGAAGCAAGUUGUUACAGUCAAUGGGAUCAUUUCCAUCCCUCAACGCUCUUUACCUGAGCAAUAAUAAUUUUACCGGUACAACGUCAACUACUCAAGGUAAGUAAAAGGUACAGAUGUGGCCAAAUUUAUAAAUAAACUGUUAAUUAAUUAAUUUUCUGUAUUAUUAAUAAAGCUAAAUUUUUUGCUCAUUCCUUCUAAUUCUAAACAGAGUUGCACAAUUUCACCAACUUGGAAUAUUUGACAUUGGACGAUUCCUCUCUCCAUAUAAGCCUUCUGCAAAGCAUUGCAUCAAUAUUCCCUUCGUUGAAAAAACUGUCGAUGUCUUAUUGUGAAGUCAAUGGUGUCGUACAUGGUCAAGGUAAAAGAAAAGUGUUGGUUGUGCACUCACUCAGUGGUGUCCUACGUGUUCAAUAUUUUUAUUUAUUUAUUUUAUUGUUUAAUGAGAUGCUUCCACCCUCCCCUUUAAAUCUAUAAUAUUAAUUUUCGAUAAUAUAUAAUUAUAGAAACCAAUCACUUAUAAAAGAAUGCUAUGCAUUUGCCAAUUUUUUUAUAUUUUACUGAUUGAUGAAUUAAUAAAUUUUCAGGCCUCUGUUCGUUGGUGCAUCUACAAGAGUUGUACAUUGCAACUCUUGUAGUAAUUAAUUAAUUAAGUAUUAGUUAAUUAAUUAAUUAAUUAAUUUUCUGUAUUAUUAAUAAAGCUAAUUUUUUUGCUCAUUCCUUCUAAUUCUGAACAGAGUUGCACAAUUUCACCAACUUGGAAUAUUUGGCAUUGGACUCUUCCUCUCUCCAUAUAAGCCUUCUGCAAAGCAUUGCAUCAUUAUUCCCUUCAUUAAAAAAUCUGUCGAUGUCUAGUUGUGAAGUCAAUGGUGUCGUACGCAGUCAAGGUAAAAGAAAAGGGUUGAAUGUGAACUCACUCAAUGGUGUCCUACGUGUUCAACAUUUUUAUUUAUUUAUUUUAUUGUUUAAUCUUUCUGCUAGGUUUUCCUCAUUUCAAGAGUUUGGAACAUUUUGACAUGGAUUUCACGCGCAUUGCACUCAACACUAGCUUUAUUGCACUCAACACUAGCUUUCUUCAAAUCAUCAGUGAAUCGAUGCCUUCUCUUAAGUACUUAUCACUAUCAUAUUAUACUCUUGGAACUAAUAGCAGCGGGACUCUUGAUCAAGGUUAACGAGAUGCUCCCACCCUCCCCUCCUAAUCUAUAAUAUUAAUUUUUUAUUUAAUAUAAUUACACAAACGAAUCACUUAUAAAAGAAUGAUAUGCAUUUGUUAAUUUUUUUAUUGUACUGAUGGAUGAAUUAAUAAAUUUUCAGGCCUCUGUUCGUUGGUGCAUCUACAAGAGUUGUACAUUGCAAGCAAUGAUUUAAGAGGUAGCUUGCCUUGGUGCAUGGCAAAUAUGACAUCCCUCAGAAUAUUAGAUGUUUCUUCUAAUCAACUUACUGGAAGCAUCUCCUCAUCUCCCCUCGUUCAUUUGACAUCCAUUGAAGAGCUGAUGCUUUCAAACAAUUACUUCCAGAUCCCAAUUUCACUUGAACCACUUUUCAAUUACUCAAGACUCAAGAUUUUCAAUGCUGAGAACAACGAAAUAAAAGCUGAAAUAACUGAGUCACAUUCUUUGAUCGCCCCAAAAUUCCAAUUAAAUACUCUCUCAUUGUCUUCCAAUUACGGAGACGGUUUCAUAUUCCCCAAAUUCCUUUACCAUCAACAUGACCUGGAGUAUGUUGAUCUCUCACACAUAAAGAUGAAUGGAGAAUUUCCAAAUUGGUUGUUGGAAAACAACACAAAAUUAGAAACUCUUUUCUGGUUAAUGAUUCUCUUGCAGGACCUUUUCGGUUGCCAAUUCAUUCACACAAGCGGUUAAGACAGUUGGAUGUCUCCAACAACAACAUUCGAGGCCACAUUCCAGUAAAAAUUGGAGAUGUUUUACCAAGUUUAUACGUUUUCAACAAUUCCAUGAAUGCUUUAGACGGUAGCAUUCCCUCUUCAUUUGGUAAUAUGAAAUUCCUCCAAAUUCUGGACUUAUCCAACAAUCACUUGACUGGUGAAAUCCCCGAGCACUUGGCCGUGGGUUGCGUCAACUUGCAGUUUCUUGCAUUAUCAAAUAACAACCUACAAGGUCAUUUGUUCUCUAGAAAUUUUAACUUGACAAACUUGCAAUGGUUACAAUUGGAGGGCAAUCGCUUCGUAGGUGAGAUCCCACAAAGUUUGUCUAAAUGCUCCUCACUAGAAGGAUUGUACCUUAACAAUAAUAGUCUUUUAGGUAAGAUUCCACGAUGGUUGGGUAAUCUGACACGGUUACAAUAUAUUAUAAUGCCCAAUAAUCAUCUUGAAGGCCCUAUUCCAGUGGAGUUUUGCCAGCUUGAUUCGCUUCAGAUUUUGGACAUUUCAGACAACAACAUAUCUGGAAGUUUACCAUCUUGUUUCCAUCCUCUCUCUAUCAAACAAGUUCAUCUUUCAAAAAAUAUGUUACAUGGACAGCUAAAAAGAGGUACAUUCUUUAAUUGCUCUUCCCUUGUGACAUUAGAUCUUAGCUAUAACCGCUUGAAUGGCAGCAUUCCGGAUUGGGUUGAUGGGCUUUCUCAGUUAAGCCACCUUAUCUUAGGUCACAAUAAUCUUGAAGGUGAAGUGUCAGUUCAAUUGUGCGAAUUGAACCAACUACAAUUGUUAGAUCUUUCUAAUAAUAAUCUUCACGGUCCUAUUCCUCCUUGCUUUGAUAACACCACACUUCAUGAAAGUUACAGCAAUAGUUCUAGUCCUGAUGAGCAAUUUGAAAUAUUUUUUUCCAUCGAAGGCCAUCAGGGAUUUUUAGAAAAGCAAAACAUGAAAUUUUUUGAGUUCACAACAAAGAACAUUGCGUACAUUUACCAAGGAAAAGUGCUUAGCCUCCUAUCAGGACUUGAUCUUUCUUUGCAACAAUGCUUAAUUGGUCAUAUUCCUCCUCAAAUUGUGAAAUUUGACAAGGAUUCAAACAUUGAAUCUCUCGCACAAUAACUUGACAGGAUCGAUCCCAUCAACAUUUUCAAACUUGAAGCAUGUCGAAAGUUUGGAUCUUUCCAACAACAAAUUGAAUGGGAAAAUCCCUCAUCAACUAGUGGAGUUAAAGACAUUGGAGGUUUUCAAUGUGGCAUACAAUAACUUAUCAGGCGAAAUUUCCAGAAUGGAAAGCACAAUUUGCAACCUUCAACGAGAGUAGCUAUGAGGGAAAUACUUUUCUUUGUGGACUGCCAUUGCCCAUUUGCAGAUCACCAGCAACUAUGCCGGAGGCUUCAAUUUGGCAAUGAACAAGAUGAUAAUUUAAUUGAUUAUGGACAGUUUCUUUAUCACAUUUACAACAUCGUACGUAAUUGUGAUAUUCGGAAUUGUUAUUGUUUUAUAUGUAAAUUCUUAUUGGCGACGUAGAUGGUUUUACUUUGUUGAAAUGUGGAUAACUUAAUGUUACUAUUUUUGUUUAAACAAUCUUAUUGCAACAAGAUAUUGUCAUUGAAAUUAAUUAGCAGUUUAAUUACGAUUCUUUAAGUUCUAAUCAAGUUUGCUUAGGAAAUAAUUUUUUUUUUAUUUUUUUAUUAAAAUUGUAGUAGUAUUUAGCGCUAUAUAGCUUCCAACUUGGUAGAAAGCUCCAUUUUUUGUUUGGCUACAGUAAAAGCAUGUUGUUUUAUUCUUCUUAUACUUUACGCCUGCAUCAGCUUAAAUCACUUCUUAAACGCUUGCUUUAACUGCACCGCUUCGUACUGCUCUAUAUAUGUAACGGUUAUGCGGUUGUAGCUCACGGCUCAAGCUACGCGUUUGUUUGACGUGGUAGUUACGUUAUGAUGUUUCGAGUCUGUUAAACAUUCGGUGAUAAGAUUAGUUACAACAAACCUACUAGUUUUAUAAAAUUCAAGUGAGAUGGAAUAAAAUAAAAAAUAAAUAUAAAAUUGGCUUUUAUUUUUUUAGGUUAACCAUAUUUGUGUUCUCUUCGGGCACUACUACAAUUGUUCCCUAUACAUCAGUUACACUCACGUAUCAUCGACACGAAAAAUGAAAUCUAAUAUCACCUGUUUAGUUAAAGAAUCACUCAUGAAAAAAAAUUACCAUUUUGAUUGAAGAUCCAUAUUUUGAACUACCAAUUAAUGUUCAUCAAGAACAGAGUGUGGCCGUUAAGUAGAAAAACUAUUUUUGGACAAAUUAUUAAAUUCCAAUAUUGUAUCCAUAUGCAAACGAUGCCUGAAGCAGAGCCUCCAAACAAUGACCAGGGCACAAAACAAGAGUGUAGUAAUCAAGUGUAUUGUCUCAUAAUCAAUUAAAAGCAGAUAUACAGGAUACCAUAUUCAAUUCCAAAUAACAAAAGCAUAAUGAGGAUGAGAAGAACAAUGAUCACUCAAAUAUUUCUUCACUUUGGUUGUCAAUUAUCUAUUCAAAUUAAUCAGUGUCAUUAUGGACUUAUUUAUUUAGAAGAGCGGGUGAUAAAUAUAUUCAAUAUGUGAACAAGAAGUUGAUUAACUUUAUGAUCAUUUGGAAGGUCGGCCGUGUCAUCACUCGUCAAACACAUUGCAUCGAUCCACCAGCAUGAACCGACCGGAUUAUGCCCAAAAAGUUGAAAUAUCAAUAAAAAAAACAAUUAAUUAAAGUCGAAGAUGGGUCCUUUACAUUAUGUUUUGUUUUCGUAUUAGGUAGGAGGUUAUUAUAUUAUAUCAUGUAAUUAAUUUAUUAUUACUCAACACUAAGUAAUAACUUAACUAUAUAAAGACAACAAGAAGAUAAAAUGAUAUAUAAAAAAAAAAAGAAUUUCAAAGAGAUAGCAACAUACAAUAGACUGAAGCCAUUUGAUCUGCUCAUUGAUUUCAGCCUUAAACUUGUAAAUAGUUACUGUCAAAUAUUCUAUUCAUACGAAAAAAAUGUUUAGAUAUCUUACUAUAAAUAUAGCCGUUUGACUGUCUUAAUAAAGUCACACACAACCAUUCUUAUUAAAUUAGCAAGAUCAAACACUGCCCUGGAUCUUGAACAGAUCAACACAAGAUGCACAACUUAUGAUUGAACCAGAAACAAUCAAAUCUUUAGCAAGAACAAUUAAUCAGAGUCAAGAAACAAGUUUAAUGAAUAUAAAACCUAUAAUUGAAACAACAUAGCAAGAAAAAAAUACAGAUUUUACACGGUUCAGUUGUACCUAGGAUGGCACAACCUACACCACGAGAGAAGCUUUCUGGUGAGAUUUUAUUGAUGAUCAAAGAAGAAUCUUUUGACAAAGCUAAUAAUAGAGAUUUCAGAGAAUAAGCUGUAACCCUCUCUCCCUCUUCAAUCUCUCUCUAUUUUGUUCCCAUUGAUGACCCCAAUCUGCUUAGUUAUCCAGCUUUAUAGCUGCAUCAGUAACAAACCAGCAACCCAGAUUGAGCAGAUUGACGACACGUGGAUAACGGCUUUAACGAACCUGGUAAGAACUGCUCACAUGUUCGUCACGCGUGCUGCUUAAAUGAUGGCCAAAACGACUUCAAACAAAUGUCGUUUUGAGGCUUAUGAAUUACAAGUGAUAACACGAGCUUGUCUCAUGACUUUUAAAUGCAACAACGUGCCCACAACGCCGUCGUUUUACUCUGUUGAGUUUGAUUCAUUACUAAGCUUUACGACUGGCAAUGGAGAAGAUGAUAAUUUAAUUGACACGGACAGUUUUUUAUAUCACUUUUACAACAUCCUAUGCAAUUGUAAUAUUGGGAAUUAUUGAUGUUUUAUUCUGUGAAUCCUCAUUGGCAAAAACUAGUGGUUUUAUCUUUGUUGAAAUAUAGAUGACCUCUCGUUACUGUUUUAUUAUAAACAUAUAUUUCGUAAGUGAAACUAUAUGUUUAUAAUAAAUUAACAUAUAGUUUUGUUACAUUUCUGCCUCAUUAAGAUUCUCAAAUACCAGUCAGGUUUGCUUAAGAAAUAAAUUUUUUCCAUUAAAAUUGCAGUAGUAUUUCCAAGCAUAUCGCAUUUUCUAUGAGUUUUCAUAAAUUAAUUAAUCUGCGGUGCCAAUAUCAGAUUUAGUUUUUCAAACUAAAUAAUCAAGAAAGCAAACAUACAAAUAUACAGUUUAGAGGGUAAACUAGGUAGGUGGUUUAGAUUUUAGAACUAAGCCAGCUACCUCGCUAAAUUCCGAUUCGUACAGUGAACUGCAAGAAACUGAGAAAACAAUGUAUUUAUAAUUUAAUAGAAUCAUAAGAAAACAAUGCAGUCAUUGCUCAAUAUAAGAUGAUGAUUUCGGAGAGGCACAUUGUUUUCAAGUUAAUUUGAUCCGUUUAUAAGAGAUGAAGUGGAAUGAAGUUGAAAGUUUAAAUAACAAAUCCUUGUUCUUGAGUUUUACGACGUCGUUACUCCUUCAAGUGGCAGAUUAUGCAAGUGAAUGCAGAAACACAAUGCAUCAUCCGCGGGGAUGAUACAUCAAAAGCGGGAUUUGUUUAUGCCUGCAGAUUAGCAAUUUCACUCAUAUAGAAAAUUAAUUUUUUAUAUAUACUAAUCAACACUAAAUUGAUUAUGUGUUGUAUGUUUAUAUGCUAAUCAACACGAAAUUAUAUUGAAUUAUUAACAUUCAUAUUCCUAAUAAAAAUUAUUUUCCAUCAGUAUUCAAAAUUUUCACUUAUAGAAAAUGCGUUUUACGUGAAUACUAGUUAUUGUGUAAAUUUGAAUGAUAGCGAAAAUAAACCUAUUUGAAAACUGUAAGGGUGUGUUGGGAUAUUUUACAACUGUCGGAAUCUGGUAGGAUAUUGCACCAUUUGCCCAAUAUUUUUAGACGUACUCAACCGGUAUUCAAGAUAAGUAAAAUUUACAAGCGUGGCAAAAUAAAAAAAAAUUAAAUUCGUAACUUGUAAACGAAUUUUCCUGACAUGUAUAGUAAAUGAAGUUGUUGAUCCUUUCUUUGGAUUAUUUCAGCUCUGGUUGUUGGUCACCGAUGAGCCGAAGUCUUAUUUUAAUUUUAUUUAAACUCAUCAUAAGAUUCGUGGAGCACCUAACUAACUUAACUGACUGCGCAGAUCAUCUCAACAUGGCAUAUUUAACCAUCAUUCAAGUGAUGGGUUUAAUAAGACUGCUUUUGUUCUAUCAACUAUCAAGUUCCUCUGCCUCUAAGCAGAAUUACUAUUGAAGGGCCAAAAGAAAAUGAAAACGUGUGAGCUCCAACAACCACCCCACAAAUUCAAUGACGAUGCUCGGAGAGGGUUAGGUUGGGCCUCUGAGAAAAAAAAAAAUUAUUUUGUUAAAAAGUUACCCUUAUUGAAACCUGUAUAAACAUUUUAUAUUAAUUAGUUAUGUCGCCUCUUCAACGAUGAUCAAAUUCUUAUCUGAGCUCAUCAUUUAAUGAGUAAACAUGUAUUUUAAUGAUCUCAAUUAAUAUUUAGAACAAAUAUUUUAAGAAGUAAAGCUCAUUAUAUCUUCCAUUAUUAUGUAUUUCUUUAAUUUCUUAUUUACAUAAUUAUAUUGUACAUUAAAAAUGUAUUGAAUUUGAAGAAAAAAAAAUUCAACUCAAAAAAAAAAAAAAAUGCUGGUAGCUUCGUAAUAAUUACUGUAUUGACUGCACCAGAUAAAGUUUUGUAAAAUAAUAAGUUCUCAUAAGUGGUUUUUCAUUUUUAAUUUUUUUUCCGGCACACCUGAUCAAGAAUUCUAUUUUGUUAACUAAUCAAUUGCAAAGCAUAAGUGUUGAACGGUACAAAAAAAUUUAAAAAAAUACACUUAAAACGUGGGGGUAGGGUAACGGCUUCACUCAAAUCGUUAGGUAGAAAUUGUGGAAAACUUCAAAGCGAAAUGAGAAAUAUAGAAAAAAAGAAGAGGUGGAUUUUUUCUAGUGAAAUUUCUAUGGGUAACGGCUCACUCAUCCUUCUAUGAAUUUCUAGCUGUAUUGACCCCAACUGCUAAAGUUUUGUAAAAAUAAAAAUAAAAAUAAAAAAACUGGAAUUUCAACAAAAUUCAAAACGUUUGAAAUUAAUAUUUUGGCCAUGUGGAACAAAAUGUAAAUUAAGUAAAAAUAUAAAUCUCAAUUGCUUAGUAUGGUUAGGAUUUUGUGAGCAUCACUAAAAAGUGAAAACUAUGAAUGAUAGAGGUGAUGUUUGCAACAUGAAUAAAUGAUGAACUGAAUCAAUUGAUGAUCGUAAUUACAUAAUGAACAAAAUUUACAAAAUCAACAAAAGUUAAUAAAAAAUUUAUUUAAUAAUAAAAAAUCAAUAAAACUUAUUAUUUAAGGGCGCUCUAACCAUGGAAUACCAUAAUCAUAAUCUUCUUUUAAGAAAAUUAUAACUUAUUAUUUUACAGGAUUGAUCCAUUUGGAAUGAAGUGGUCUCAAGUUGAAAGUAAUUAAUUUAUUGAAUAACUUUCGACUUAUUAAUAGUUAUAUCAAGGGUGUUUUACCUCAUCAUGUCUUCAAGUGGAAGAUGAAGACUAUGCAAGUGAAUUCAGGAAUAUUGCAUGCCUGUUGUCUAAAGCAUUACCUCACAAGGUUUCAUGAGAAACGAAAGAUGUGUUUGCUUUGAACAAUUAAAGUUACUGCUACGAACCUCCCCAAAGGUCAAGAAGACAGAACAGGAAGCUAAUGCCAUCAAUGUCUUGUUCAUUAUAGCUGCUGGGUAGUUAGGUGUAGUUUCCUCAUUUGAAGCUGUCUAUACAUAGGCAUUUCCCUGCUUAUGUACAAAUAAAUGAACAACCUUGAAGCUUUAUUAUUCGCAACAAAAAGGGAUUACUAAUUGGAGAAGACUAUACAGAGUUUUCUCUCACACUUUGCUCUCUGUCAAUUUCAUCCAGAAGUCCCUCUGAAAGCUUCUCCCAAAACAGUUAGUCAUCUUUUAUGCUCUGUUUUCUGAAAACAGAGUCCUAACUAAAUUAAUUGACUGUACAGUGCAUUUCAACAUAGCAUAUUUAACCGUUUUAACAGUUAUUUGGACCGUCUUCAGAGGUAACAUCAACAAACUCAUUCAUAUGCUUAAUAAUGAACGAAUAGUCUUGGAUUGAUGUUUUGCAGCAAGAGCAACACGACACAAUCUGGAUUCAACCUCCUCCUUUCUAACAGGGGAUUUCGAUUUGAGUUACUUUGUGCUCAAGCAAAUUCACAUCAUAGUUUUGAUUCUUUAGAUAUGAAUUCAUCUCAUUACAUAUAUCAGAUUAAGUGUAACAAAAUUUGUAAUUUACUGCGAAAAGAAUAUGCACUAAAAAAUGAUUUCAAGACUAUUUGACUACAAAAAGCAGCUGUCAGAGUGCACUAAAAAUUUCUGUAGGAUAUUUUGUAGCUGUUUAAUAUGUUAUGAUGGGCAUAUAAUUCUCAAAUUUUGAUGCCUCUCAGCGAAAAAUAUAUCAAAGUUACGGAUGAUAUCACGUAAAACAUGCAUGGCUCAGGCUCAGGCUCAGGUAAGAAAGCCACAGAAAAUGGAAAAUCUCACUGUCACGACUCACGUCACGCAUCAUUCAAGUGAUGGAUUUAACAAGACUGCUUAUGUUCUAUCAAAUUCCUCUGCCUCUCAGAAGAUAACUUUUCUGGGCCAAAUUUCUCAUCUAAAGCAUAUUAUGCCCCAAAGUCACAGAUAACAAAAUGGGGCACUACCGAUUAUGAAAGAGAACUAGUAGUUGUCAGAAGCCUAAGCCAAAUUCCGGUAGUAAGAAGAGGCCUUUCUUGAGUUUAGAUUAUGUGUUCGAGUUUUAAUAAAUGCCUAAGUUAAUAAUAAUAACAACAGUAAUAAUAAACUAAAAAGCAUAAUUACUAUUGAAUGGUAAAAAAAAAAAUGAAAAUGUGUGAACUCCAAUAACCACCCCAGUGGCGAAUUUUGGAGAGGGCUAGGCCGGGCUUCUUAGAAAUUAUUUUUAUUUAAUUACAAAAUCACCUUUACUGAAACCUAUAUAAAAUUUUUUAUAUUAAUUAAUUAUGUUGCCUCUUCAAUUAUCAUUAAAUUCUUGUCCGUUCAUAAUUUGAUGGAUAAAUGUGUAUUUCAAUAAUUUCAAAUAAUGUCUAGAACAAAUAUUUUGAAUUAUAAAACUCAUUAUGUCCUGCAUUACUAGAUGUAUCUAUAAUUUAUUAUUUACAAAUUAUAUUGUAUGAUAAAAAUGUAUUGAAUUUUUGUUUAAAAAAAAGUUCGGCUCACUCAGAAAAAAAUGUUAUUAGCUUCGCCACUGCACAAAUCUAGAAUAAUAAUUAUUCCUUAUUAUAUUGACUGCACCAAGCAAUAAACUAAUAAGUUCUCAUCAGUGGUUUUUAAUCUUUUUAAUUCUUUUUACCGCACACCUGAUCAAGAAUUUUAUUUUGUUAACUAAUCAAUUGCAAAGCAUAUAUAAGUGUUGAACGGUACACAAGAUUGGAAAAAAAAAAUCUUAAAAAACGUGCGGAUUCGGGUGGCCACACCAGAAAUCUAUUUACAAUAAUUAGCUUUGAUGCUGGGAAUCUUUUAAUUUCUGGCCGUAUUGAAGUUUUUAAAAUAAUAAGUUCCCCUUCUCGUUUUUUUUUUUUUUUAAAUAUAUAUGCUUAUAACAAUUUUAGAAUAAUGAUUCAUUUGUAGAAGAACUUAUGAUUUCCCAUUAAUAUUAAUAUUGAAGUGGGGUGGGUCAAAUCUCAAUUGCUUGAAGAAUUUAUGUAUUAUUAAAUAUUACCAUCCAAGGUAGAAUUGUGGAAAAUUAAAGCAAAAUGACAAGUAUGGAAAGGAAGGCUGAAAGUAAGGCAUGACGAAAGGCUUUGAGAAGGCUGAAGACUACCAAAGAAGUCAACUGAAAACUAGCUGGGGCCUGAGUGUAUAAAUUGUUAGAUGCGUUUGUUAUAAAUAACAUAGAGCCCUUUUGUUAUUUAUAGUUAUAGAGAAAGAGAGAAUGUGUGUUUUUUAAUAGUUAGAGAUAUAGCUAGAAUGGGUUGCUCAAAAUCCAAAAUAGUGACAAUGUUAGUUCUCGUAUUGAUAAUAUUGGGGGGGGGGGGGGGGGGGGGGGGGGGGUGUUGGGAGGUCGAGUGAGGGAUGUUUGGAGCAUGAGCAAUUUGAUCUUUUGCGGCUUAAACAUUUCUUCAAUUAAUAUCGAUCUGGGAGAGUGGUAUCUGAAUGCUUCUCUAUUUACUUCCUUUCAACAACUUGGUAACAAAAUAGCCGGCUGCAUGCGUUGAGAAUGAAGGUGCUUCAUUUAAUUUAAUUUACUUAAUUUCUCCCUCCUAAUUAAUGUCUAUAAUCAUUAGGAGGAACAAGGGAUUUUAUUAACUCAAAUAUAUCUAAUGGAUCUCAUUCUUUGGUUUUACUUGCAGGGCUAGAAGCAGGUGUCAUCUAACAGCUGCUUUGAUAAUUUCCCUCCCCUUCAUCUUUGAUGGAAAGAUGAAAUAAAAACAAAUUGGUGAAAAUGGUAUUGGUACCUGAGGCUAUGUAAUCUAAUUCAAAAACUGCACCAUCAAAACGAUUACAUAAGUCUCAGAAGAAUCAAAUAUCAGUUUGCAAAAUAUCAAUUGCUGGAGGUUUGAUUCUAACUUCCGCUCUUCAUUUUUAUGGCAUAUUGUGUUGUACUUGCAUCCGAAAAUCAUAUUUUAGUUUACUUGCACUCAAUGCUUGGAUUAAAGUUUUUUUGGGGGGGGGGGGGGGAUUGAAGAAGACUAAAAUUACACCAAAAAAGAGUUGAGCGAGAGCGGGUUUUGUCUUCAUUUAAGGAGCUCUUUAUAAAUUUUGGGAUUUUUUUCCUGAGAAAAUUUAUGCCAACUCAUUCUUUGCUUCUUUUCUGAAGGGACACAUGCAACCGAAAGUAUAUUCUUGAAUUCUCCAGGAUAAGAGACAUACGUUUAGAUUCUGGAGCAUUUAAAACAAUGUCAAAUUUUAGAUUGCUGAAAUUUUAUAUAUCCGAGUAUGAUGGUGUUCCAAUUAUAAGCUCCAGGGUGCAACUUCACUGAGGUUUAGAAUGCCUUCCUAUAGAAUUGAGAAAUCUCCAUUGGCAUAAAUAUCUUUUGAAAAUACUGACAUCAGAUUUUGAAUUGGAGAACCUGAUUGGACUCAGCUUGCCCUGUAGUAAGGUUAAGCAAAUUUGGAAAAGAGAAAAGGUAUAAUGUAUUACUAUUACCAAAGUAUCUAUUUUUCUUUCUUUAAGUAUUUAUAAUGAAUAACUUUGAAAUUCAAUGAUGCUCAUUUAGUAUAGUUAUGUAUCUUUGGUUAUAGGAAGCUGUCAAGUUAAAAUCUAUAGACCUUCACCACCCCUUUAUCUCAAUAGGAUCCCAGAAAUACUAAAUCUUAAAAAAAUAAAUCUUUCAAAUUGUGAAAGCAUGCUUACGUUACCCCCGUAUAUCCACAAUUUCAACUAGCUGAGUAUGUUGUGUUUCAGGGAUGCAAAAUUCAUUUUGUUUCUCAUGAAAGGAUUGACUUGUCCGGAUGUAUUAGGGUUAGUAAACCAACUAAUCCCAUAAUUUGUUGAUGUAGGGUCCUAACAAAUUAUUGCAGUAGAUUGUAGAUCAGUACACUAUUCGAAAACGUAUUUGAUCCACACAGUGAAGUGGAUAUUGGACCAAUUUGAUGAUAAUGAAUUUCUUUCAAUCUCAAUCUUUUUUCUUUUUAGCAACAUGACUAGUCAUUGUGCAAAUUCAAACUCUGACAAUAAUUUCUCAAUCGGUUUCUAAGAUGAUGACCAUGCAUGUAUAUGUAUAUGCGUGUGUAUAUGUGUGUGUGUGUAGAGAGAGAGAGAGAGAUCACACGUGUGUGAUUUCCUUUUGCCAAUAGGAUAUGCAGAGAGCUUGAUCUUACCCAAUAGCGAAACAAACUUCCUAAUAAGUGAAGGUAUAGUAUAAAUACUUAUACUUUCAUGUUAUUUUGUUCAUCAGUAGCUUGAUUAUUUUAUAUGCGUCUUCGAUUUUAAUUUUCUUUCCCUAUAAUCGCUAUUAUCUUUGAACUGGUCAUAAUUUGCCCAUAAGAUUUCUCAUGUUGUUUUGAGGUGCAACGGAUUUUGAAUUUAGUGACAAGCAGUGGAAGCCAGAAGGCAAAUUAUGAAAAUGGAUAAAGAUCUAUAAUUAGCUGUUAUGGGAUGUCACAUAUCAUAUUGAUGGUAACGUUAUAUAUAUGUACAUAUAAUUAAUGGGGUUGGCUCACGAGCCCAUUAAUAAUGGUAUAUUAGCUUAUAUACUUCAAACAAUGUACUAUGAAGCAAUUUCACAAAUACUUGUUAGCUUAUGUUGAGCUUUAUUGAAUCAGUAGUUCACAGUUCAAUAAAAUGCAGGUUUGCUAUUUGAAGUACAUGGUUAUGGUGCGUACAUUCUUCAUAAGGCUAACUACUAAUUUAUCAUUGAAACUUGAAAAAUGUGAUAGAGAGAUGUAGAUAACAGCCGCAAAACACUGAGAUUGAAAAUCAGGGCUACUAAAUUCUAUUAAAAGUCCUUAAAAUAGACAGCGAUCACCCUGAAAUGUAUAUACUGAAACUAAGAAAUAUUAAUCGCAAAGUUAUGCAUUAAUAGAACUAUUGACUACUUAUCUUUAGCAUAAAGUAUAUUUUUAACUACAGCUUUCUGCUUUGUUCUAAGAACUAGGCAAAAGUGGUGUAUCUUCAAUCCAAUCAACAUAUAUACCACUUAUCUUCCUCUUCACUUCUGUCUAUUUUGAUUUGCACUUCAUAUCCUGCACUUGCUGCUUAGAAAUAGUCUUUAUUCUGGACAUUGAAAGUAGAAAAAGUACUUGAAACAAUCAUUGGCACAGCCCGAGAUUCCAUUGAAUCGUGGACUCCAAGCUUUCAUAGUUCUAUAAAGAAGAUGACAAAACUUCAUACAACUGGCAUUCUGCUUUUAACAUUUGCACAACCUGAGCGAGUUAGCAAGCCCCUUGUUGCGUUCCCAUUGAAUAGACCUACUUCUGUUAUCCGCAGAAGAUCCACCACUCAAAAUGUUUAUCACCAGGCUAUUCUUAAACUGAGCCUAAACUGAGUAGAAACUUCCGCACAUCUCUCAGCAUUUACAUGAAGAAAUCGACAACUAUCCUCAUCUCUCAGCAUUCUACAAAGUUGCAUUUCACUAAGCAAUCUAUCCUCUCCAUUCCUAGCAAAGUGACAUUGAUUCCCGUAUUUGUAAUCGCCUAACUUGGGUUUUGGGCAUAGCGUGGUCUUAAAAUUACCACCCAAUACUUUGUUCAGUGCCACUGGCAUCCACAAGCUCUAGCCCUGUUAGUUGAAUCAUAUUCAAUGGGACAGUGAGGCAGCAUUUCACUAACAUAUUCAAUUUGACUACUUAUAUUGACGCAAAUAUUAGAAUUUGAAAUCACUUCUUUUAUUGGAAUAUUAUAUUAAUAUGACCCCAAAUGAAAGUUCUUGAAUGGAAAUGAUUUUUAUUUACUUUUCGAACAGAUUCAAGAAAACCCAGAGAACACAAAAUUUACACAGUAAUAUGAUUAAGAGCUGAGAACGUACAUGUAGUAAAUGUCUAUCAAAAAACACCCAAGGGUUUCUUUAAAAUUAGUAACUAGUAAACAAAAAGAAAGAAUCAUUUUACAUUUUUAGCAACUUUGGGGUGAGUGAGUGAGUGAGAAAUUGAAACCCUCAAGUGAUGACAACAGUAAGAUUCAGUAUGAAGUGAAACCCCAAUUUGAAAUGUAGGCAUGAGUUGCUGAGUCAGUAGAUGAAGCUAUAAAUAGGCAUUCGGUUUCCUUCUUUUCGGUUUGGAGGGCCAUGGAAUAGUGUAUUGGAGUGGGCUCCAAGUAAUAGCCUCUAUCACUGGAACGACACAUCUAUAAAAUGUGAUACAUGGGGAAGGAUUGGGCAUUUUAUUCUUAGAUUAGCCCCUUAUUUAGGGUGUAUAUUAAGCAGAUUAUAUAUUACAUGGAGAUGGAGUUUAUGAAAUAGAUUAAAAAGAAAAGGAAAUUUUGGUGCCUAAAGUUUGCCACUUGGAAUAUUUCGGUGUCUAAAAUUCACUCACCACUUAUUUCAUGUUUGAUUAUAUGUUGAAAAGAUAUUAAAAUAGUAUAAUGCUAUUAAGGCUUAACGUAUAUUUUUUAUUAGUAGAGUGUAGAAUUUUUAAGAAAUAAAUUAUUAAAUUAUUAUAACUAACAUAUUAUUUUAAAGUUGUGUUAUGAAAAAAAUGAAAUAAAAAUGUACAGUAAAUAAGAAUAUUUUAAAACUUUUAUCUUUUUAAAAUUAGUUUUUAACAUAAGGUGAACUAUUUUUUUUUUAAAAUCACAUAUUCUAGUUAAAAUCAAAUAUGUAUUUAUACGAAGCUUGUAAUUUUUUUUUUUAGUACUGAUAUUUGAAUAUUAUCAAUAAAAAAAAGGGUAAUGUUCAUGCUGCAUUAUUUUUGUAGCACACAAAAGGACAACACCGUUUAUGGUAUAAUACUAUCGCUUCUGUUAUGAUAAUUUUUUUUGUGGCCAAAUAUCUUUUUUUUUUUUAAGUAAAAAAAAGUGGACAAAAUGCAAAUCAGUUUUUAAUCCUCAAUCUCUCCCAAAAUAUAUAUUUCGGUGUCUAAAAAUUCACUCACAAAACUAUAGCUGACAAAAAGUUACUAACAAAAAGUUAGGUCCAUGGGUUGUUAAAACUAUAGCUGACAAAAAGUUACUAACAAAAACAGAAUGUCCAUUUUAUAACUUUCUUAAAAAACUUUCCUUAACUUUUUAAACAAAAAGUUAUUUCCAAUUUUUAUUUUGUUAUAAUGUUUAUAACAAAAUUCGUAGUUAACUAAACUCUUCUUAUACCCUUUCUCAACUGCCAUACCCUAACCCACUAAACCACGCUCAAUUAAGGCCAUCAGAUUCUCCCGGGCCCACAUUAAUCCAACUGCUCACAGAGACCGACAGCCUCUCUAUCUCCAUUUCAAGCUCCCUCUUCAACUGGCUUCUGCUACCGUCCUACUCUUUCUCGGCUUCGGAGUCCGUAUUUGCUCGGCCUGUCCCACGAAGCUCCCUCUCACUCCAAUUGUCGCCCCACAAGACCAAUUGCUUAAUCAAGACACCGAACAAGAAAAGGAUGAGAAGUUGAAACAAGAAUUUGAGAAUUGGAAAUAAAAAACGUACGCAUUGACCGUGCCUUUGAGAGUCGUUUCUCUUCAGAACUCAGUGCCUCAAUCUUGGAUUAAGGAUUUUAUGCGAAGUCAGGGAAAGAGAUUGAAGUUUCAGAUGAAUUUGUGUGCUAGCAUUGAUGGGAUCUUUAACAAUUUAUCUGUGCCCUUUAACAAAGUUAAGGCUAAGUCAGCUUCUUAUAUGGCUGCUGAUUUGGUUAGUGUUGGUGAUUCAUGGCUUAGUUUUGCCAUUAAAAAGAGAUUGAUUGAGCCAAUGGCUGGAGCUGAAGACCAAGAUUGGUUCAAAUGCUUAAGUCACAAAUGGAAGGUAACAUCUUUGUCUUUGAUCCUCGAGGUAAAAUAUGGGCGGCACCGUACAGGUGGGGCACAACGGUGAUAGCCUACAAGAAAAGUAAAUUUCGAAAGCAUAAUUUGGCUCCGAUUGAGGUAAUAAUUUUCUUUAAACUCAUUUAGUUUUAUAUCAAACAAAAUCAAGACUGCCUUUCUCUUCAAUAUUUUUUAUGAUAAUAUCUUUAGAAGCAUCUCAUUGACGGGUAACAAUGGCAUCCCUGAAAGAGUCUAUAAACUCAAUGAUAUUAUCUUCUACAAAUGGUUCAUUAAACUUUGUCGUUGUACUCAAAUGUACACUCAGAUCAAUGAGAAGCUAUGCUACGUUAGCAUGUAGUGAUGGCACUUAAUAAGUGAGUUGCUAGGAUGUGAACUAGAAAAAUUAAAUAUUGUCUCCUUGGGUAUGCUAGCUGGUAAGUCAGGGUUAAUAUCAGAGCUUAAGAUAGUAUAACCGUGAGAACCUAUUGACUGCCAAUUAAAAUAUCCAUUGAAAUGUCUAGGGAGUUAUGAAGGUGGAGGUAACUUCCAAUUUCUAAGGCCACAGAGUAGACAUCAUCCAGGAUCCUAGGAAAGUCCAGUUAACCUCCUGCUCGAUGCAAUUAAUAAAUUUGGUCAAUGCCACUGAAACCUGCUAACUGACGUCACAAUGCGACAUGAGCACUUCAAAAUGGGACAGACGGUCAGUAGCACUAAAUUUUUCUUGCCCAAGAUUGAGCAAUUGGUCUAACUACUAAUCCCUAUUGUAGGUUGAUCAUUAUUUUUUCAAUUAUGUUCAGUUUGACCCAAAAAGUUGCAGAAUCUUGAGCUGAAUAUUGUCACUGAACACUGUCAAUGUCAUUUAGCAUAGCCAACUAACUUGAUGUUAAAACAAACACACAGUGUGUCUCAUGUCUCACAAUUCAAAUUAUCAUCUGUAAUGUUGGAGAAUUUUUCCAAUGUAUGAAGUAUGCUUUGAUACGUGGGUUACCUUGGAGAAGAUAUCUCAAAAUAAAGAAUAUGGGGAGAAAACAGUUCAGUAGUUUAUUAUUCUGUAGUCAAGUUUUGUCUCGAAAAUGGUCAAAAUUUAAAUGAAUAAGGACAGGGGAUCUUCAUUCUUUUUUCCCUUUUUUAUACCAAGAUAUCUCUCAACCUUUAUAUAAUCCCCACUGGAUAUCUGCUUCUAAUAAUUAAAAUAAAAAUUUCACCGCUCUAACAAUAAAAAGUAACAUCUUUCCUCAAAUAAUUUACAGUUCCUCAUCAUCUUAGUGUGAGACUAUCAGUACAUUCCAAAAACAUAAUAAAACUGGUUUGAUCCUGUUUAUUGAUGUUUAAAUGUUGUUCAUUGUGACAGGUAGAAAUGAUGAGGCGAAGUUUAUUUGGACAUCAAUUAGUAAGAUCUUGUUUGAAGUUGUUUUCUGAAAUGAACUGCCAAAUGGUAGUUUUUUGGGGGCAUUUGAUGGCUCUUUUUUUUUCCUCAUUUUCAACAUGUGCCUGCUUGGAACAUGAAGGAUUAGGCUGCAGAGUUGUUAUAUAUUUUGAGAUGCUCUGGUCAUUGCACAAUUUGUUCACACUGGAAAUUAGAAUGAGAAAUUUGUUGAUGCUGUUUUGAGAGAUCUGCAUUCUAUGCACAAUAACAUGAUUAAUGAAAAUGCAUUGUAGGACUGGAAAGAUCUGUGGCAGCCUGAGCUCGCAGGAAGAAUUUCAAUGGUUAAUUCUCCCCGAGAGGUUAUUGGUUCAGUUUUGAAGUAUAGGGGAACAUCAUACAAUUCAAACUAUAUUGAUUCGCAAGUUGCUGGUGGGAAGAUUGCUGUUCAGCAGAAUCUGGCAUUACUGGCAAACCAGGUACUCUUACAGAAAUCAUAUCUGGUCAUUGCAUGUUAUUGCCUGACAACUGAUUUUGUUUGUAAAAGUCUGCUUCUUCAUACAUAUGAAUGCAUAUGUUAGUGUUUUCUUCUCCUUUUCAUACAUAUAAAUGCAUAUGUUAGUGUUGUCUUUUCCUUUUCACACAUAUUAAUACAUAUGUUGGUGUUCUCUCCUGAGAUGGAUGCAAUAAAGGCUUUUGCUCCUAAAUUUAGCUGAAGAAAUGGCAAGGGAUGUGAGAUUCUGUCUCAUUAAAUUAACAAAAACCCAAAACAAUGAAAAUCCAUAAUAAUGUGGUGUGGGUAAAUUGGCUCCAUUUGGUUCGUUUCCUUAAUGUGAAUGCGCGAGCAAUAGAGACUAACAAAAUGAAGUGACAACAAGAAGUCAGUGUCCUUUGAUGGAUGCAUUUUUAGGCAGAAAUAUGUUUGUAAUUGACCAAAUUUGUCUGGCAUGCCAAUUUCAAAAAAAUUAAAUUAUGUGGUUAUUAGCUGUAAUGAAGGGGGAUAGUAGGUGCAAUCAGGUGUAUCCAGGAAAGUUCAACAAAGUUUUGGUAUGGCGUAGUGAAAUUGGUUUGUGCAACUCAGGAGUCUUUCAGGUGAACGAUGAUAGGUUUUGAUUUAUGAAUAUUAUAAAUCUACUGUGCAUAGUAUUCUAGUAGAAUCAUCUAUAAGUUCUAGUUAUUGUAUACUUUGCCCGGUUUGAGUUAAGGGCACAUGUAAUAUGAAAGAUAGUUGUCGCAUCUUUUAGGUUACCUAACAUUUGAUCAAUCCUAUUAUGGGGGCUUCAAGAUGUCUAACAAUAUGUAGAAUGCCCAUGCUCCUCCCCAUUGUUUAUCUUCUACAAUAAUUUGUUUUAGAUGCUAAUAUCUUUGUCGAUACCGGUAACAAUAUUACAAUAUCUGCGUUUAUUGGGUUUUACAUAGGUUCGACUGUUUGACAGUACACACUAUCUGAAGGCAUUUGCAAUUGGAGAUGUAUGGGUUGCUGUUGGGUGGAUUAGUGAUGUUCUUCCUGCUGUCAAACAUAUGUCUAAUGUUGCUGUUGUUGUUCCCAAGUCUGGUGCUAGCUUAUGGGCUGAUCUUUGGGUAUACCCAUGCCUGCCAUUCUACUUCAAUAUUCACAUUGUUAUCUCCUUCAUAUUAGUGAUCAGUAAACACGAUAAUGUGACUAAUAAGUUCGUAUUCUCUUUAUAGGCAAUCCCUGCUGCCUCAAGACUUGAAACAAAACAAAUUGGAGGGCGAGUCAGAGGUGCAUUUCCAUUAAUCCAUCAAUGGAUAGAAUUCUGCUUGCAAACAGCGAGAGCAUUGCCUUUCAAGCAAGAGGUUAUCCCGAGCGCAUCUCCCUCUGCCCUUGAGAGUACUCUGGUUAAGUUGCCUGAAGAACUUUUCAAGGGUAAACCAAGUCUGGAUACUAACUUAAUUGCUGGAGUACCCCCGACUGAAAUUCUGGCCAGAUGUGAGUUUUUGGAGCCUUUAUUUGAAGCUACAUUGUCGGAUUAUGAGUGGCUGGUUACUAAUCUGCAAAAAUCCACUCCUGUACUGAUCAACAAGAUGCAACAUUACAUGUCAUCAUUGAUCUUUAGCUAAAGGUACAUUGAAAAGUUAAUGGCACUGCAUACCAGUCAUUAUAAUUGGGUCAGGGCAAUUAGGUCAGAGCAUAACUUCAUUAGGAAAAGAUGCUUCAGCUACGUUAAAUAUUACAGGAUGUACUGAGAUGGCUGAAGCUGUUGAGGUUUUACGAGAAUCGAAAGAUAGUGUUUGUUUGAACAAAGUUGUUGCCAAUCUUGCAGAGUUCGAGAAGAAAGAUCACGAAGUGAAUGCCACCGAUUUCUUCAUCAUUGUAGCCUCCAUAGUUGAAGUUUCCUCAUUUGAAGCUGUUUAUGCAUAUGUUUUUUCCCUGCUCAAGUACAGGAAAUUGAAGAAUUAACCAGAUGUGAUAUGCUGAAAGAGGGAAGUUUUCUUCCUUGAAUGUGGUCUUUGUGAUUUGUCUUGAAGGAAUAGGGUGAUCACUGGCAAGAACCCUAUCAAGGUAGAUUUUAUGAUGUUAACAUAUCAUUAAGCAUUUUGUUACAUCAGCAAUGAUGCUUUCAUAGCAGCAUGAAAGUGUUUAAAUUUAACUGAAUGAUCUUGAUUGAUCAAUUAUGAGUUUUAAUCGAGUAAAAACUAAAUACAAUCAUCGUUAACAAAUAUUGAAAUUGGGUAAAUAAGAUCUUGAUAUUGAAGAAUUUGAAAUCACAACCCACACAGGAAAUCACCCUUCGCGUGGGGAUGGAGAUGUUUACUGCAGCGAUAUUGAAUAUGUCCACCGCUCUUUGGGUUAUGGUGCGACUUGCCCUGAAACAAUGGAAAAGAAUAAUUAAUAAUUUAACGCCAAGACAUAAAAUUAAAACGUGUGGACUCCGGUAGCUGCCCUACAAGUCUACAACUCUACAAACAUUAACUCUACAAACAUUAAAACGUGUGGACUCCGGUAGCUGCCCUACAAGUCUACAACUCUACGAGAAUAAUUUCUAGCCCUGUUGACUCCACUAACUAAAGAAAUUUCAAAACGUACAUAGAAUUCCACAACAAGCAAAACGUAUGGAAUUUAAUUUUUUGCCGUGUGGAACAAAAUACAAUUUAACAAAAAAGGAUAAGAAAAAUGGUAAGAUUUCUAAAAUGCAUGGAAGGUGAUUCAUAUUUUACUGAAACGACUUGUCCUGAACAUUAAGACGAUUGAUUUUUUUUUUUUUUUUAAUAACAUCAACUUCCAUAUCUUUCUAACCCCUAGAAUAUGCUCACGUUCAAGUCUAUCUUGGUAAUUUGAAAAAGAAAAUCAAAUCAAAUCAACACCAAAACAAUGAAAAGUAAAACUUUUGAAUUUCAACUUUAAACUUUUGUUAACCCCUAGAAUAUUCAGCGUUUUCAAAUUCUUCCGAUUGCAUAUCUUCUUCCUCCAUCAAUGCAAUAUUUGAACGAUUAUGAAAGAGUUUAAGAACAUAAAAAAUCUCCAAGGUUUAUACGGUAUAACAAAUUUAAAUUCUCAAUUACAAUAGAUAAUAAUUAAACUAAUAAUUUUUUAUGUACUUAUUUUAGUAAUUUCACCUAAGAAUAAUAUUGUAAUUAGAAAAAAAAAUCUAAUAAGUAGGGUGGUCUUAUACAAAAUCAACUGUACUGUGAUGAGUUUCCUUUUGUUAAUAAUUUUAGUCUAAUUUCAAUUGUACUGUGAUCGCUUCUCAAGGUAAGUGAAAGUUACAGAUGUGGCAAAAUAAAUAAUUAAGUUAACAAAAUGCUAACUAAUUUUCCUCAAUACCUAGGGUUGUACAAUUUCACCAACCUGGAAGAAUUGACAUUAAUGGACUGGUCUCCUCCCCAUAUAAUUAUAAUCCUUCUAGAAAGCUAUUUUUUAUUAAAUAUUUGCUUUUAAGUUAAUUUCAAUUAAAAAAUGUUUUAAGUUAUAUAUACUCUAAUGAGAUUCUGAAUUCCUUUAUUCCAAUAAUAAUGAAAACGUAUUAAAUUAGAAAUGAAAAAAUUGGUGUUGAUGAUUCAACCUAUUUGGAUAGAUUACGUGAAUAAAAUUAAAAUUUUGAUUUAAUUUUUGUUUAUUGUUAAUUCUCAGGCUAUCUUAAUUUCAAGAAUUUAGAAUGUUAAUUUGGUCAUGGAUUUCAACCCGUGAGUGUCAUAUUCUAGACUUAAUGGUACCAUUCUUUGAUUGAGGGCAAUGACUCUCACUCCUCUUGUAAAAAAAUAUUUUCAACUAUUUUGAUGACUUAAAAAUUGAUAGAUUUAUUGUUGUCAUGACCAAAUUAUUCAUUUUAAUGAAAUAUAAUUAAUGCAUCAAAGUUACCAGGUUUAUGUUCUAUCUUAAUGCGCUUUUUUUUUUUUUUUCAGUUAUAGCUUCUGCUUACGUCUGUUUCAUUUUUUUUUAAUAAAAAAACAAGGGAAGGUUUUUCCGAGUCAUCCAUUAUUUGAUUACCGUCAAUCAAGAAAACAACCAAAUUAAUUUCUCUCCAAAAUUUCCAAAAGCUAGAAAAUUUUGUUAUUUGAAAAUAACAUCAUUAAUUAUAGAGUGGAUCAAACCGCGUUAUUGUCUUUCAUAAAAUUGAUGUCUUUUUAAGAGUCAAUACUUUUUAUUUACGCAAACCAGUCGACAUCACACAUAUACUCUUUAAUUUGAUAAAUGGUUACACAAAUUUUGUUUACAAAAAUAUAUUAUUCAUGUUCUGUAUUAUUUUUUAACAUCAUAUUUUUAUUUAUUAUAAUUGUUUAAAGUUAAUUGUUAGGUUGAUAUAUAAUAAAAACGUAUAAUCGUUCUCUUACUAAACACACAUACUCAUAGUUUCUGUUCAUUUGUCAUCUCAAUCUAUCUCAUUUAUCCUUUGUUGAUAGCUCAAAACGCGUCACUGUGGAAAAUUAUAGCAAAACGACAAAUAUGGAAAAAAAUGGGAAGAAAAUUAAUGCAUGAAAGAGUUGCAGAAGACAACCAAAUAAGUCAACUAUACGCUAGUUGGGUGUAUAAAUUGUUAGAUGUGUUAUAAACAAAUAGCAUAGAGCCUUGGUUGGUUACAGAGAUAGAAAAAGUGUGUGUGUUUUUUAGAACUUAAAGAUAUAGUUAGAAUGGGUGGUUCAAAAUCAAAAAUGGUGAUAAUGUUUGUUCUGUUAUUAAUAAUAUUAGAAGGUGGGUGGAGUGAAGGAUGUUUGGAUCACGAGAGAUUUGCUCUUUUGCGACUCAAACAUUUCUUCGAUGAUACUGGUAGUUAUCUUUACAACUGGGGAGAUGGUGAGGGAGCUACUGAUUGUUGUCAGUGGGAAAGGGUUGAGUGCAGCAACACCACAGGCCGAGUGAUAGCGCUAGACCUUUUUGGCACGUAUCGGCGAGAGUACAGCUGGUAUUUGAAUGCUUCUUUGUUUACUCCCUUCCAACAACUUGAGUCACUUGAUUUACAUGGCAAAAAUAUAGCUGGUUUUGUUGAGAAUGAAGGUGCUUCGUCUAAUUCAAUUAAAUUACAUUUCGCUCUCCUAAUUUAAGUCGAAUAUCAAGACUGAGCAGCUAUAUGCAUAUUCAUUCAAUUGACAAUUUUUACAUAUUUUUUAAAAUGUUUAAUUUUGAAAUUACACCAAACAUCAUAUGUGAUCUUUGUUUUGAUUUUACUUGCAGGUCUAGAAAGAUUGAGCAACUUGAAGAGGCUUGAUUUAAGUCAUAACUUGUUCAACAAUAGCAUCUUAUCAUCUGUGGCUCAUCUUUCAUCACUAACAUCAUUAGAUUUAUCUGAAAAUAGAUUGGAAGGAAGUAUUAAUGUUAAAGGUACGUAAUUAAAACGUCAUCGCUUUUCCCAACUCUUUCAUUAACAUGUUAAAAUAAGAUUCAAGGCUUUGAAUUCAAUUUUUUUUAUGAGUAAAUAUUAGAAAAAUAGUUUUAAGCAAUUCAUAAAUACAAUUUUCAAUGUUUCUCAUAAUUACUCUAACUGUGAAGCAAAUACCCCAUGACUAAUUUAUCAUUUUGUCCAGUUAAAAAUGAUAAAAUUUAUCAUUUGUUUAUAUUGAUUUAUUAACUCUAUUUUAAGUCUUAAGUCUUGGCGUCUUGGCAUGUUUGCAGAAUUUGAUUCCUUGAGCAACUUAGAGGAGUUGGACAUGAGCUACAAUGAAAUAGACAAUUUCGAGGUUCCUCAAGGUAAACAAUUAAAAUAUUAUUUAAUUACAUUAAUUUAAUUCGUUUGAUUAGGGAAGACCCAAAAUGUACAAAAACAUAAUUAAAAAAAAAUAAAGAAACAGAGAAUUCAUAUUAUUUCAAAAAACAAAAGGUAAUACUAUUAUUUCAAAAAAAGAAUGUAAUAAAGAUUUGAUUCCGGUUCUUUAAUCUUUAUAGCAAUUGAACAACAAUGUUGCUCUUUUCCUAAAGCAUAAAAUAUGAAAUGAGUCAUAAUUGAAUUAGUCAUUUAUUUUGUUUAGAUCUAAAUUUAGACAAUAAAUUUUGAUUUUUUUUUCAAUCCUAUCCUUAUUAUUAUUGUUAAACAGGUUACAGAGGUUUGAGGAAGUUGAAAAGCCUCUAUCUAUCGAAUGUUGGAGUUAGAGAUGGAAGCAAGUUGUUACAGUCUAUGGGAUCAUUCCCAUCCCUCAACACUCUUUACCUGAAGGAUAAUAAUUUUACCGAUAUAGCGACAACUACUACUCAAGGUAAGUAAAAGGUACAUAUGUGGCCAAAUUUAUAAAUAAAUUGUUAAUUAAUUAAUUUUUCCGUAUUAUUAAUAAAGCUAAAUUCGUCGCUCAUUCCUUCUAAUUCUAAACAGAGUUGGCAAUUUCACCAACUUGGAGUAUUUGACAUUGGACUUGUCCUCACUCCAUUUAAGCCUUCUGCAAUUGCUUGAAGAAUGAAUUUAUUUAUUUAUUUAUUAUUAUUAUUAUUGUUGUUGUUGUUGUUGUUGUUGUUGAAGUGAGGUGGGCAAGCGUUCACUCAAUUAAUAUGUGAGGAAUUAAUAAUUACAAUCCAAGGUAGAAUUGUGGAAAAUUAAAGCAAAAUGAGAAAUAUGGAAAGAAAGGAAGAAAGUUAAGGGCAUGAAAGACUAGGAGAAGACUAAAGACCACCAAAUAAGUCAACUGAAAACUAGCUGGGGCCUGGGUGUACAAAUUGUUAGAUGUGUUUGUUAUAAAUAACAUAGAGCCAUCUUGUUGGUUGCAGAGGCAGAGAGACACAGAGUGUGCAUUUUAUUAAUUAAAAAUAUAUAUAAAAUGGGUGGUUCAAAAUCCAAAAUGGUGAUAAUGUUAGUUUUGUUAGUAUUAAUAAUAUUAGAAGGGAGGUGGCGUGAGGGAUGUUUGGUGCAUGAGAGAUUUGGUCUUUCGAGACUUAAAACAUUUCUUCAAUUCUCCUUAUAAUUUUUGUCACGACUGACCGUUGUCAAUAGAAUGGGGCUGGGUGCAGGGUUGAUUUACGUUAGAACAAUAUAGCCGGUAGUGUUGAGAAUGAAGGUGUUUCAUUUAAUUUAAUUAAUUUACUUUCUCCCUCCUAAUUUAAGUGGAAUAUCAAGACAGAACAAUUAUAUGCAUCUUCGUUCAGUUGACAAUUUUGACAUAUUUUUUUAAGUGAUUAAUUUUGAAAUUACACCAAACAUUAUUUGUGAUCUCUGUUUUGACUUUACUUGCAGCGCUAGAGACGUUAUCAAGAUUGAGCAACUUGACGAUACUUGAUUUAAGUUAUAACUUGUUCAAUAAUAGCAUCUUGUCAUUUGUUGCCCGUCUUUCAUCAUUAACAUCAUUAGAUUUAUCUUACAAUGGAUUGGAAGGAAGUAUUAAUGUUAAAGGUACGUAAUUAAAACGUCAUCGCUUCUCCCAACUCUUCCAUUAACAUGCUAAAAUAAGAUUCAAGGCUUUGAAUUCAAUUUUUUUUUAUGAGUAAUAUUAGAAAAAUAGUUUUAAGCAAUUCAUAAAUACAAUUUUCAAUGUUUCUCAUAAUUUCAUCUUGUACUUUUGUAUGUCUUGACUUUAAGAUUAAAAAAAAAUUACUCUAACUGUGAAGCAAAUACCCCAUGACUAAUUUACAAUUUUGUCCAGUUAAAAAUGAUAAAAUUUAGGGAAAUUAUCAUUUGUAUACCCUUAGUUUACUCUAUUAUCAAAAAUACUACAACACUUUGAGGGUGUAUCAAUCGUCCACCCUAAGUUGACAAAAUGUAUUAGCCAACCACCAAACCGUUAGUUGCCGUUUAAAUAUGAUAACAUCAUAAGGGUAAUCUGGUCUUUUCAUAUGAUACAAGUGAUAAUUUAAGGGUAUACAAGUGAUAAAAAGAGAGUUUAAGGGAUACAAGUGAUAAUUUUCAAGGGUAAAAUCGUCAAUUUACUGUAAUUCCAUUAACUUUCAAACGGCAAUUAACAGUUUGGUGGUCGGUUGAUACAUUUCAUCAACUUAGGGUGGACGAUUGAUACACCCUUAAAGUGUUGUAGUAUUUUUGAUAAUAAAGCAAAUAUAGGGUAUACGAAUGAUAAUUUCCCUAAAAUUUAUCAUUUGUUUAUAUUGAUUUAUUAACUCUAUUUUAAGUCUUAAGUCUUAAGUCUUGGCAUGUUUGCAGAAUUUGAUUCCUUGAGCAACUUAGAGGAGUUGGACAUGAGCGGCAAUGAAAUAGACAAUUUCAAGGUUCCUCAAGGUAAACAAUUAAAAUAUUAUUUAAUUACAUUAAUUUAAUUCGUUUGAUUAGGGAAGACCCAAAAUGUACAAAAACAUAAUUAAAAAAAAAUAAAGAAACAGAGAAUUCAUAUUAUUUCAAAAAACAAAAGGUAAUACUAUUAUUUCAAAAAAAGAAUGUAAUAAAGAUUUGAUUCCGGUUCUUUAAUCUUUAUAGCAAUUGAAAAACAAUGUUGCUCUUUUCCUAAAGCAUAAAAUAUGAAAUGAGUCAUAAUUGAAUUAGUCAUUUAUUUUGUUUAGAUCUAAAUUUAGACAAUAAAUUUUGAUUUUUUUUUCAAUUCUAUCCUUAUUAUUAUUGUUAAACAGGUUACAGAGGUUUGAGGAAGUUGAAAAGCCUCUAUCUAUCGAAUGUUGGAGUUAGAGAUGGAAGCAAGUUGUUACAGUCUAUGGGAUCAUUCCCAUCCCUCAACACUCUUUACCUGAAGGAUAAUAAUUUUACCGAUAUAGCGACAACUACUACUCAAGGUAAGUAAAAGGUACAGAUGUGGCCAAAUUUAUAAAUAAACUGUUAAUUAAUUAAUUUUCUGUAUUAUUAAUAAAGCUAAAUUUUUGCUCAUUCCCUCUAAUUCUAAACAGAGUUGCACAAUUUCACCAACUUGGAAUAUUUGACAUUGCACGGUUCCUCUCUCCAUAUAAGCCUUCUGCAAAGCAUUGCAUCAAUAUUCCCUUCGUUAAAAAAUCUGUCGAUAUCUUAUUGUGAAGUCAAUGGUGUCGUACAUGGUCAAGGUAAAAGAAAAGUGUUGGUUGUGCACUCACUGAGUGUUGUCCUACGUAUUCAAUAUUUUUAUUUAUUUAUUUUAUUGUUUAAUGUUUCUGCUAGGUUUUCCUCAUUUCAAGAGUUUGGAACAUUUGGGCAUGAUGUCCACGCGCAUUGCACUCAACACCAACUUUCUUCAAGUCAUCAGUGAAUCGAUGCCUUCUCUUAAGUACUUAUCACUGUCAUAUUCUACUCUUGGCACUAACAGCAGCAGGAUUCUUGAUCGAGGUUAAUCAGAUGCUCCCACCCUCCAUUCUUAAUCUAUAAUAUUAAUUUUCAGUUAAAUAUUUAAUUACACAAACCAAUCACUUAUUAUAAAAGAACAAUACGCAUUCAUUAAUUUUUAUAUUAUAUUAAUUGAUGAAUUUAAUAAAUUCCAGGCCUCUGUUCGCCGGUGCAUCUGCAAGAGUUAUACAUUGGUUCUAACGAUUUAAGAGGUAGCUUGCCUUGGUGCAUGACAAAUUUGACAUCCCUCCGAAUAUUAGAUGUUUCUUCCAAUCAACUUACUGGAAGCAUCUCCUCGUCUCCCCUCAUUCAUUUGACAUCCAUUGAAAAGCUGUAUCUUUCAAACAAUCACUUCCAGAUCCCAAUUUCACUUGAACCACUUUUCAAUCAUUCAAGACUCAAGACUUUUUAUGCUGACAACAACGAACUAAAUGCAGAAAUAACUCAGUCACAUUCUUUGACCGCCCCAAACUUCCAAUUAUCACGUCUCUCAUUGUCUUCCGGUUAUGAAGAUGGCGUCACAUUCCCCAAAUUCCUUUACCAUCAACAUGAUCUGGAGACUGUUGAGCUCUCACAUAUAAAGAUGAAUGGAGAAUUUCCAACUUGGUUGUUGGAAAACAACACAAAAUUGAGACAACUUUCUCUCGUCAAUGAUUCUCUUGGAGGACCUUUCCGGUUGCCAAUUCAUUCACACAAGCGGUUAGGAAUGUUGGAUAUAUCCAACAACAACUUCCGAGGCCACAUUCCAAUAGAAAUUGGAGAUGUUUUACCAAGUCUAUACCUUUUCAACAAUUCCAUGAAUGCUUUAGACGGUAGCAUUCCCUCUUCAUUUGGUAAUAUGAAAUUCCUCCAAAUUCUGGACUUAUCCAACAAUCACUUGACUGGUGAAAUCCCCGAGCACUUGGCCGUUGGUUGCGUCAACUUGCAGUCUCUUGCAUUAUCAAAUAACAACCUACAAGGUCACAUGUUCUCUAGAAAUUUUAACUUGAUAAACUUGAAAUGGUUACAAUUGGAGGGCAAUCGCUUCAUAGGUGAGAUCCCACAAAGUUUGUCUAAAUGCUCCUCACUAGAAGGAUUGUAUCUUAACAAUAAUAGUCUUUCGGGUAAGAUUCCACGAUGGUUGGGUAAUCUCACAUGGUUACAAUAUAUUAUAAUGCCCAAUAAUCAUCUUGAAGGCCCUAUUCCAGUGGAGUUUUGUCAGCUUGAUUUGCUUCAGAUUUUGGACAUUUCAGACAACAACAUAUCUGGAAGUUUACCAUCUUGUUUCCAUCCUCUCUCUAUCAAACAAGUUCAUCUUUCAAAAAAUAUGUUACAUGGACAGCUAAAAAGAGGUACAUUCUUUAAUUGCUCUUCCCUUGUGAUAUUAGAUCUUAGCUAUAAUCGCUUGAAUGGCAGCAUUCCGGAUUGGGUUGAUGGGCUUUCUCAGUUAAGCCACCUUAUCUUAGGUCAUAAUAAUCUUGAAGGUGAAGUGCUAGUUCAAUUGUGCGAAUUGAACCAACUACAAUUGUUAGAUCUUUCUAAUAAUAAUCUUCACGGUCCUAUUCCUCCUUGCUUUGAUAACACCACACUUUAUGAAAGUUACAGCAAUAGUUCUAGUCUUGAUGAGCAAUUUGAAAUAUUUUUUUCCAUCGAAAGCCCUCAGGGAAAUGUAGAAAAGCAAAUCCAUGAAAUUUUUGAGUUCACAACAAAGAACAUUGUGUACAUUUACCAAGGAAAAGUGCUUAGCCUCCUAUCAGGACUUGAUCUUUCUUGCAACAAGCUAAUUGGUCCUAUUCCUCCUCAAAUUGGAAAUUUGACAAGGAUUCAAACAUUGAAUCUAUCACACAACGACUUGAUAGGAUUGAUCCCAUCAACAUUUUCAAACUUGAAGCAUGUCGAAAGUUUGGAUCUUUCCAACAACAAAUUGAAUGGGAAAAUCCCUCAUCAACUAGUGGAGUUAAAGACAUUGGAGGUUUUCAGUGUGGCAUACAAUAACUUAUCAGGCGAAAUUCCAGAAUGGACUGCACAAUUUGCAACCUUCAAUGAGAGUAGCUAUGAGGGAAAUACUUUUCUUUGUGGAUUGCCAUUGCCCAUUUGCAGAUCACCAGCAACUAUGUCGGAGGCUUCAAUUGGCAAUGAACGAGAUGAUAAUUUAAUUGACAUGGACAAUUUCUUUAUCACAUUUACAACAUCGUACGUAAUUGUGAUAUUUGCAAUUGUUAUUAUUUUAUAUGUAAAUUCUUAUUGGCGACGUAGAUGGUUUUACUUUGUUGAAAUGUGGAUAACUUCAUCUUACUAUUUUGUUGUAGACAAUCUUAUUCCAACAAGAUUUUAUCAUUGAAAUUAAUUAGUAGUUUAAUUACGAUUCUUUAAGUACUAAUCAAGUUUGUUUAGGAAAUAUUUUUUUAUUAAAAUUGUAGUAGUAUUUAGCAUUAUAUAGCUUCCAACUUCCAAGCACUUCACAUUUGUCUCUACACUUAAAAAACUGAGUGAUCAUGUUUUGCAGAUCUGGAUUUGGAGCAGGAUGGAUCCAAACCCAUAUCUGUCCACCGUAACUUAUAGCUUCCCUAUACUGUGCAGCAUACUUAAAUAAGAGAACCAUCUCCAAUGUUAAAAGCAUUCACUCUAUAACAUUCAUUUAGAAACUAUAUUCAGAAUAAUUUUAUAAUUAAACACAAGAAAUGAAACACACAGAUACACUUGAUCGCCUAUUUUACUCUAAAAAAGAACGAUUAUUGUGCUAUCAUCAUCUUCUUCACUAGCAACAUUAACACCAAAUCGAUGGACCCAUACAUUUCAUCAAGAAAGGUCUAUAUCCAAUAAAGUUGAAGCCUAACAAAAAAUUCAAGAAGAUUCAUGCCUCGCCACAACAAGGGGCACAACAACAUCAAAGUAGAGAUUAAGCAGUAUUCUCAAAGCUAAAACUCUCAAAUCCACCCACCAGAAUUUCAUAUCUCCUCAACAAUUUUAAGAACUAAAGAUAAUUAGGAUUUAACAUUAGUUUUUUAUAUAUUAGUUUCAUAAUUUACAAAUCAAUGAAGAUGAAGAUUAUGCUAAUAAAUUCAAAUUAUACCAUACAUUCUCUAGAUGUUACCAAAAAUUUCUAAGUCAAUCCCACAUAUUUCAUAAUUUUAAGACUAGAAAAUUUCACUAGUUAGAAGUUUCAUUACCUUCAAGUGGAAGAUGAAGAACAUUAUACAAGUGAUUCAGAUUAUAUCAUACAUACUCCAAAUGCAACUAGAAAUUAACAAGUUCAUGCACACAUAUUUCAUAACAUUAUGAUUGAAAAGUUUCACAGAGAAAUUCUAAAUUCAAUCUCUUGCAUGAAGGCAAUUUGAUUGAUUUGAGUUACUUUCUUAUCAAGCUACUAAUAUAACAUUCAAGUCAGGGAGAAAAUAAAUUAAAACUGGGAAGAAAUAACAGUAAAAAUUUGUUGCUCAACAUGAUGUGUAUUUUUUUUCAAGGCAAUUUGGAAACACAAUUGUUACCACAGAUAUUCUUCUCAACUUGGAGAUAAAUACAAAUAUUAAAAUGCAUAUGAUCGCACAUACUACUUCGAGUUUAGUAAGAUUUCAUUAAAAGAAGCAAUCAAACCACUUAUCAAUUGUCGCAGUCGUUCUAUAAACUAAAAUAGCAAUAUAAUACAAGAAAAAGAACAUAUAGAUACUUGGCAAGAGUUCAUUAAGAAGUCACAUCACAUUCAGGUGAGGAGUUUGCUUCUGAUAUCUUGCUAGCUGGGGCUUUUUCUUGUCUUUCUACGUAUGCCGAGGGAAACCAACCAGCUUGGCCCUUGCAUUCACCUUCCGACCAUCCAAUAGGAGCCACCUUGAGAAGUUAUAACUAAAAUGGUGAAUUAAACAAAAGUUGACCGUUCAAAGACCUAAGGGGAAAACUAAUUCUUUUACGUAGGAGGAGUGAAUUAGUUGUGAUCACUGAAAUAACAGCAUAACUAUGGAAGCAUAACAAGAUAUAAAUUCACACGUCUAUAAGGGUAAACUGGGUGGUUGAGAACUGAGCUAGCAACCCUACUAUAUUCUGAUUUGCACUUCAAUGUAAAAGGGAAUAUAUGGUAGGAAGAAAGAAAACCAACCAUCAUUUGUUAACUCAUUGCUUUUCAAUCAAAAUUUUAAGAACAAAAUGCCAUGUGCUUUGAACAUCAAAUAAGUAUAAGCAUUAGUUCUAAAUUCCACAUAUCAUAAGUUGUUAGAAGGAUAAGUUAAUAGCAGAGUAGAAAAAUCUAUGUGUUGGUAUUUAGAGGGGAAAGUACCUGGCGAACCACAACAUAAUCAUCAAUUGAAAGACUUAGCUCUCCAUUUGCUUGAGCAUCAAAUGGAUGUAUAACCUGCAAGAUAAUGGGAUAAAUAGAACAUAAAAAAAGCAUAACAAAAGCGGCAACAGUAGCAGCAACGUUCAUUGUAACCACUAUGAUCAUGGCCAACAAAGAUAUAUUAGAAACAAAAUUCCAUUUUUACUACGACAUUAAUAUGUACUAUACGAUAUCAUGACGAUUGGGUUACUAAGAGCUAUCAAAGUCUAAUAAGUUCUGUAUAACUUUAUGUAGUUAUUUAAAUUAUGGAUCAGAUUUUAAAUUUGAAAUUUUGACUGCUCUCCACAAAACAUGGCCUAUGCACAAGAAAGUCAUAGAUAAUGAGGAUUACAAGUGUCCGACAUCUUUUGAGUGAUGGAUUUAACAUGAGAGCUUAUGGUCAGUCAAUUUCCUCUGCCUAGCAAUAUAAGCUUUCUCGGCCAGAUUUAUCAUCAAAUACAUAGAUUGCCCCCAAGUCACAUCCAUAUAAACAUAGUUUUUCUAGGUAAACCAAGUAAGGAGUAUCAUAAUUCAGACAUAAUCAUAAAAAGGCCCAUCUAACUUAAGAGAAAAUCUCAAAAAGAGGGAUGCUGAGCUAUCAGUCUUGUAUCUAUAAGCAAUAUCAAGACUUUACGUCACCUGCUACAUCGUGAGUGGCUACACAACUUUCAGUGGUUUGUCUUUCUUUGGCACGCCUAACUCAGCUUUGAUGUUGCUGAGAUAUUGAUAGUAGAGACACAUGAUACUUCUAGCUCAUGCAUUCUAUCUAACUCAUCCAACAACUAUCUCUUUUUUAAUUCAUUAGUGUUUGCUAAACCUCAUGCUUAAAAGUCCUGUUCUCCUAAACAAAGUUUCCUAAGAAUGACUUCCUUAGCACCACAGUUGGACACUUUUAGAGCAAUUUUAUUUGGGGGAAAAGAAUUUUCAAGGUGUUAACUAAUAAAUUUUAAAAAAUAAUUACAAUUUGUCCUACGAUCAUAUGACAAUUUAUCUGGGAUGAAAGGAUACAGAUAGACAUCUUCCACUUUCAAGACUAAUCACUACUUCCGUAGAUGUUGUGCAAUAAUACAAAUACUUGACCAGAUGGUAGAAAAAAAUUUUAUUGCUCCAAAAUUAAAAUAAGAAUGCAAUAUGUUAAGCAAAAGGCUGUGCAACAUCAAAUUAAUUGAUAAGUUUGUAAUUCAGUAAAUUAACAACUUUCAUGGUAAAAUACA
rnacentral:lncRNA from 1 species